AUUUUUUUUUGUCCUUGGCUUAUAACUUUAGGUUUCUUUAUUUUGCUUUUCAAAAGGAAGAUGUCCUAGUAACUCAAUUUUCUUAACGACUAUCCACUGCAUCUUUUAGCUCAGUGCACUAAAAUAAUUUUAUCGAUUUUUUCCUUUCCUAGGUUGAUGUUGGUAAAAAUUAAAACGUACUAUCUCUGUUUAUUUUUAUAAGACGUUUUAGACUUUCAGACACUGUUCAAAACAAUACAAAUCAAACUGUCUGAAUGUCUUAUAAAAACAAACGGAGGGAGUAUUUAACUUUACAACUGGUCUCAUUAUGUUUUACUAUAAAUAUGCUUUCACUGAUUCAUUGUUGCUUAUAUGCUCCACACCUAAUUCUCCCUUUUCGGAAUGUUUGUUUUGAGGAAAAGAUUUAUUGCAUCCUAAAAGAAAUUCUUGUUUUUUUUAGCCCGAACGCCCUGCUGACCUGGUAGAGGGUAAAAACGGGAAGAGGAGCAAAUGCGGUGUCCCGGACAGGCAGGAUCCGAAUAUUCCGCUCGCCCGUAGGUUGGCCCGUGUCGUUAAAUAGGCCACCCCCUCCGUCCAAUGGGGCUAACCCGAAAUUCACAGGAAAAAUCACUGAACUAUGAGUGCAGACCUAAACCGAGACUACGAGAUUGGCGAGGAGAUCGGGCGCGGGCGGUUCGGCGUCGUCCACCGCUGCACGUCGCGCUCCACCGGCGAGGCCUUCGCCGUCAAGUCCGUGGACCGCGCCAACCUCGCCGACGACCUCGACCGGGAGCUGGCGGAGAUCGAGCCCAAGCUGGCCCAGCUCGCCGGCGCGGGGAACCCGGGCGUCGUGCAGGUGCACGCCGUCUACGAGGACGACACGUGGACCCACAUGGUCAUGGACCUCUGCUCCGGCCCGGACCUGCUCGACUGGGUCCGCCUCCGCCGCGGCGCGCCCGUGCCGGAGCCCGUCGCCGCGGACAUCAUCGCGCAGCUCGCCCAGGCGCUCGCGCUCUGCCACCGUCGCGGGGUGGCCCACCGCGACGUGAAGCCUGACAACGUCGUCCUGGACGUCGACGACGACGGUGAAAACAGCUCCCCGCGCGCGCGGCUCGCGGACUUCGGGUCGGCCGCGUGGAUCGGCGCCGACGGCGGCCGCGCCGAGGGCCUCGUGGGCACCCCACACUACGUCGCGCCCGAGGUUGUUUCCGGCGGCCACUACGGCGAGAAGGCGGACGUGUGGAGCGCGGGCGUGGUGAUGUACGUGCUGCUCUCCGGCGGAGCGCUCCCCUUCGGCGGCGAGACGGCGAAGGACGUGCUCUCGGCCGUGAUGCGGGGCAGCGUUAGGUUCCCCCCGAGGCUGUUCUCCGGCGUGUCUCCGGCCGCCAAGGACCUCAUGAGGCGGAUGAUGUGCCGCGACGAGUGGCGACGCUUCUCCGCCGAGCAAGUUCUCCGUAAGCACGCGCUAAUCCCUACCACAUCUUUGUCUUUGAACCGGAAAAAUCAUGUCCUCCCCAGUUUUCAUCCGAGAUUAGAUCCAGGAAUUAACAUUUGGUCGUGUUUGUAAUGCAGGCCACCCGUGGAUCGUGAGCGGCGGAGGAGCCCGGGCGAUGGAGCAGCCAACCUGAACAGCCACCGGAUCCGAGACACGCCAGAGCAGAUCGAGGCAGAUUUAGACCAUGCCGCCCGUGGGACCCCGGCUCCGCAGAGAAGUAGAAAUAGUCGGCGAUCGAGACGCACCGGCCGACGCUGUCAAUACGGUUUUUGUACACAAGGCCGCGCAGAUACAUACGGUAGUACGUAUCGCGCUACGGCAGUAGAUCGAGUGAAUCUUAGAAGAAGAGCAGUAGCAGCUCCUCUUGGACCUGUUUUUGUCCAGCUUUAUCCUUUGUUGUGUGCGAUGCUGCAUGUCAUGAUGGAUGAUGCAGCAGGAGUUUUUGUAUAUAUUCUAGCGUGCGUACGUCUUGUACAAACUAAUGGAGUUGGAAUAAUAUAAGAUGAUCUAUAAGCCUAGCUUGUGCUUUGCUUCCCUUUUAAUUCAAGCUUGCAAUGUGCCUCUCGGCCGUCCCCCGCCGUAUCGAGGAUAUUCUAACAGCUUUAGGUAACACUCCACUCGCUAAGUCUCAAGUUGCAACGAAAUCUUCAGUCAGCUGUCAUACAAGUUUCUCCUUAUUCAAAUAGGAGUAAUAAACAAGGAGAAACAAUCGAAGAGCUGCUAAGACAGCCCUGGUUAUGUACUCCCUCCUUUCGUAAAUAUAUAAGUCUUUCUAGAGAUUUUAACGUGUGAGUAUGACAUGGCUCGGGGAGGACACAUGAUGUACUAGGGUAGGAGCAGAGAAAGACCAUGGAAAUUGUAUAACCCGCUCCUCUGCAGCCUCAAACUCUUUGGAUCAAGCUCGAGUGUCUAUUUCCCAAGCAACAAUAAACUCAAAAGGAGCAGUACAACUGCAACUCUCUCUUGUAUCCAGACCAGACCUUCGACGGCCCGGCGAAAAUGACCUGACAUCCGACUGAUGAGAAACCAUCCUUUGCCCUGCCUUUUCUUCCGUUCCACGACUCUCCCUCUCGCUGCAAGUACGCGCUGUACGUACGAGUGGUACAACGUCAGGAGUGGGGUAUGCCGACCUGUCACGCAUCUGGGAGCCUCGCUGCCUCCGCCGGACGAUGAGCAUAUUCGCCGGCUUAUUCCCACCCCGGCCCUGCCGCGUACUCGGACAGCUGUCGCAGCCCGCGGUUUCUUCGCCGUGAUGCUACCUUCGUCCGCAAGCGAACCGGAAUCCAGUGGAGGUGGAUGUGGAGCCGGCCGGGCGGCAGCGAAGCGCACGCGGUACGGCCGAACGUGGCCGGGUCGUACGGGCCGGGCCCAACGUGGGCGCCUCCGCCUCGCACGCCUUGACUUUGCUAUAAGCGGUUGGGGGAGUAACGUGAUAGGCUCUCCGCCUUAUUCGAUCUCUCCCCUCCUCUCUCCGAUGGCCUUGGCGUGUAGGGCGGGGAUUCAUUUGGCGCUUCCUCUAUCGGGUUUCCGUUUGUUAGUACUAUGAGCGACCUUCUAGAAUGCGUGUCCAAUAAUUUAGGUAGGUCAGUGCUAUGCGCUCAUAGGAAUGAAGAGAUGACCGGACCAACUUGAUUGACCGGCAGCGGGCAUGGGACCGGACCAACUCGUUCGGCCUCAGCACAGCGGCUGGCGCUAUUUCGGACCAUCGCCCGACCCUUUUUAGGCUCUGGGGCCGAUCUAGGCCCCUGUCACGUCGCCAGGGGUCGGCCACAAGACGUUUAAAUUCAAACUUCACGUUUCUCGCUACCAAAAAAGUCACAAGUCCGGCGAUCAGCGUCACAAGUCCGGCAUCACCAUGCCACAGUUCGACGAUCAAAUGACAUAAAAGUUCGAUGUUCAAAAGGAAGGAUGCGUAGGCAAUUCAUCAAACGGAGGUGCCGUCCAGCGGCGCGUCCAGUUGCGUCGGACUUGCGGGAAUCAGCGUGCGUAGGCUGGUCGGCGUCGGCGAGGCUUCUGUGCUUGACGUCGCUCGGGCUUGGCGGUGUCGGCUUUCUAGGAACCAGGGUAUCCGGACUUGCCUGCCUGUGGCCCACGGCACUCCAUCCGCGGCCUGGUACGGCCACCUUCAGCAUCGACAACGCAAGACCCUCGUGAGGGGCCAAGCCUCGCGAGGCGGACGACGCCAAGACCUCCAGAGGGAGUGGCCUCACUAGGCUGGCUCCUGAGGAGCGGAGAUUCCUAUGCAGGCGCCCACCUCGUGAGGUUAAGGUGACGCAACCCAUGACAACCAAGGCCAGGCGGGCGCCAGCGGGCGCAGUAUAGCAGGUUUCCUCUUCGGUGCAAAGAAGGCAAGCACAGUCGCAGAGUCCCGAGGAAUCAGCCAAAGGUUUUCAUUUCCGUGCUACAAGACCAAGAAAUGGCAGGACGGGGGUCAUCGCCGAGCCCACCAUGACGUCACGACCAGAAGCUUUGCAGCGAAGACCACCUUUCGUCAGGAUAAGAUGUACUAUUUGUCUAUCUUCAAAAUUGGCCGUUGUGGGAUCUCUCCCCGCCUUCAUUUUGGGGAAGAGGACCAAGGCCACUAUAAAUAUAGGUUAGUCACCACCAUAGAUGGGGAUCGAGCCAUCCGAACCCUCACCAGCCCAUACCAACACAAGAACAGGCCUCCUGAGGUUGUUCUUCCUUUGUACUAGUUCAUCCUCAGCCCACCUCGAAGCUAAUCCACCACAAAGCAGAAGUAGGGUCUUACACCGUGAUGACCCACAAGUAUAGGGGAUCGCAACAGUUUUCGAGGGUAGAGUAUUCAACCCAAAUUUAUAGAUUCGACACAAGGGAAGCCAAAAAAUAUUUGAAGGUAUUACCAGCUGUGUUGUCAAUUCAACCACACCUGGAGAUUAAUUAUCUGCAGCAAAGUGAUCAGUAACAAAGUAAUAUGAUAGUUUUGAUAAUAGUGACAGCAGUAACAGUGAUAGCAGUAGUAGUAACUUAGCAAGAACAAUAUAAGAUAAAUUCGUAGGCAUUAGAUCGGUAAUUUGUUGGAUGAUAUUCAUCAUGAGAUAGUUAUAAUCUAGGGCGAUACGGCACUAGCUCCAGUUCGUCAAUAUAAUGUAGGCAUUUAUUCCGUAAAUAGUCAUAUGUGCUUAUGGAAAUAACUUGCAUGACAUCUUUUGUCCUACCCUCCCGUGGCAGCGGGGUCCUAUUGGAUACUAAGGGAUAUUAAGGCCUCCUUUUAAUAAAGAACCGGAACAAAGCAUUAACACAUAGUGAAUACAUGAACUCCUCAAACUACGGUCAUCACCGGGAGUGGUCCCGACUAUUGUCACUGCGGGGUUGCCGGAUCAUAACACGUAGUAGGUGACUAUAACUUGCAAGAUCGGAUCUAGAUCAUGAAUAUAAUGGUGAUAACAUAAACGGUUCAGAUCCAAAUUCAUGGCACCCGGGCCCAAAGUGACAAACAUUAAGCAUGGCAAAGUCAUAGCAACAUCAAUCUUAGAACAUAGUGGAUACUAGGGCUCAAGCCCUAACAAAACUAACUCGAUUACAUGAUGAAUCUCAUCCAACUCCUCACCGACCAGCGAGCCUACGAAGGAAUUACUCAUUUCUGGUGGGGAGCAUCAUGGAAUUGGCGAUGGAGAAGGGUUGGUGAUGACGAAGAACGAAAAUCCCCUCUCCGGAGCCCCAAACGGGCUCCAGAUCUGGCCUCCCGAUGAAGAACAGGAGGUGACGGCGGCUCCGUCUCGUGGAUCGCGAUAAUUCUUUCUCCCUGAUUUUUUUCUGAAAAAGAAGGAUUUUAUGGCGUCGGUUUCAAGGUCUGCGGGGCCACCAGGUGGGGACAACCCACCUGGGCGCGCCAGGAGGGGGCGCGCCCUGGUGGGUUGUGCCCACCCAGGUGCCCCCCUCCGGUGGAUCUUUGCUCCAGAAAUUCUUAUUUAUUGUAUAAAAAAUCCUCACAAAGUUUCGUUCCAUUCCAAGAACUUUUAUUUCUGCACAAAAACAACACAAUGGUAGUUCUGCUGAAAACAGCGUCAGUUCGGGGUUAGUUUCAUUCAAAUCAUGCAAAUUAGAGUCCAAAACAGGAGGAAAAGUGUUAGGAAAAGUAGAUACGUCGGAAACGUAUCAACUCCCCCAAGCUUAAACAUUUGCUUCUCCUCAAGCAAUUCAGUUGAUAAACUGAAAGUGAAAAAGAAAAACUUUUAUGAACUCUUUUGCUCUUGUUUGCAUAAAUAAGCUUAAACAGCAACCAGGUUUUCAGCCAACAUUAUAACUAACCAUGCCGACAAUAACUUUUAAAGAUUAUAUUAACUCAUAUCAAUGACAUAAUCAGCUAGCGAGCAAUAAUAAGAUAUCUCAGACAACAACAUGUUGUCAAACAACCAUGAUAUAAUAUGACAAUAGUGGUAUCUCGCUAGCCCUUUCUGAGACCGUAAAACAUAAAUGCAGAGCACCUCCAAAGUUCAUCCAGCGACUAAACAUUGUAAUUCAUGGUAGAAAAGAUCCAGUCAUGAUGCACCCAACAUUAGCUACACACAAUGCAUAAGCAUGACAACAGUGCUCUCAGGUUCUGGCGCUUAUUUUAGAAGGUGAUGACACAACAUAAAAGUAAAUAGAUAGUACCUUCGUAGAGGGAGGCAGUGAUCUGCAGAGGUGCCAGAGCUCAAGUUUUUAAAACAGAGGUAAAUGAUAUUUUGAGACAUGCACCCUUCUCGUUUACUUCACGACCAUCAGUUAUCAACAUCUUCCAUGCUAAGCACGCUAGUGGCAGUUCCCAAGCGAUUAAAGUAAAGGCUUUGACUCCAUUGGGAGUUUUUGUUUGAUUAUUUGUAAGCUUUUUCUGUUUGCAAUUUGGGACUGGGCAUCCCUAUUACCGCCCUUUUCUCGUGUGAUGGCGAGUGAAUAAACACUCUACCUGAGAAUAACCCGCUUAGCAUGGAAGAUACCGACCACCUCCUGUCGUUCCAUGAACGAUCCAGGCACACAAAAAAGAUAUUUAUUAGAAGUUUUUAGAGGUGGCACAUGCAAAUUUACUUAGCACGGCAGGGUAAUACCGUAUAUAGGUAGGUAUGGUGGACUCAUCUGGAAUAACUUGGGUUCAAGGUUUUUGAUGUACAACAGAAUUCUCACUUAGUACAGGCGAAGGCUAGCAAAUAGAUUGAGAAGCGGCCAGCUAGAGAGCAACAACGGUCAUGAACAUGCAUUAUGCAUAAGUAACAUUAGACACCAACAUGAGUAGGAUAUGAACACCAUGAACAUAAAUAUCAUAGAGGCUAUGUUGGUUUUGAUUCAACUACAUGCAUGAACAUGUGCCAAGUCAAGCUACUCGAACAUUCAGAGGAGGAUACCAUAUCAUCAUACUACAUCACAAUCAUUUUAACGCAAUGUUGAUAUCCAAGAUAAAUCAUUAUCCACUCCUAACUACUUAUGCAUGGCAUGAGAAUCUAUAAUCUCUAAUUGUCAUUGCAAACAUGUUUAAUUAUAAUGGGCUGAAUCAUGGAUACUAGGUUAAACAUAUUUACACAAACAGAACAAGUCGAGUUCAUACCCGUUUCUCUCCGCCGCGGCCAAUUCAUCGAAUAUCAUCAUUAUUACCUUUCACUUGCACGAACGAACGAUGUGAAAAUAAUAAUAGUGCAAGAGUGCCAUGGACUAAGCUGGAAUCUGCAAACAUUUUAUUCAAAAGGAGAAGACAAGGUAAAAUGGGAUCUUUAUUAGAUCAACAGUUAUUCAUGUGAGAGCCACUCAACAUUUUCAUCGUGGUCUUCUCCUCGGUGCAACUCGAAUAAAAAGAAAAGAAGUUCAGAGAAACACACUGAUUUUUUUUGGAGUUUUUGGUUUUCCUGAACAAGCAAAUAAAAGGGAAAAGCAAAAACGAGAAAAACUAUUUACACGGGAAAGCUCCCAACAAGCAAAAGAAGAAAAAGGAAAUCUUUUUGGGUUUUUUUAAGUACUACAACUAAGCAUGCAUAAAAAGUAAACUAACUACAACUUUUUUUUUUGUUUUUAUAAAGUUUUUCAAACACACAAGAAGAAAGCGAGAAAAUUAAUCUGAGCAUGGAUGAUACAAUGAAAAAGUGUGAAUACGGACAAAUGAAAAUAAGUGAGCAUGAAUGUAAUGUCGGUGAGAAACCCGUACUCCCCCAAGCUUAGGAUUUUGGCCUAACUUAGUAAAAAGUUAGUAGCCUGGAUGGUAGUUGGGGUACUAAGGAGCAGGCAUCCACUCAUCCCACUGCUAGGGGUCUUCCUCUGCUACAACCUGGUUGUUUUGGUAGGCGAUGAUGUCCGCAGACAUAAUCCUAUAUCUGCCCCUAGCAACAGGAUCAAACAAAGCAGGAGCAGGCAAUGGAAUAAUAUCACGAGUCCUCACACUAAAAACCAGGUUAUAUGGAAUAGGGAUGCCAGGAGAGUUGUUAUCAGUGAAAUGGUGGUGAUCCAUGGCUGCGUGAUCUAGGUAAACUUUGGUAAGAGGGUGAUCAUGAAGGCGUAUCUCAAUAUUGAAGUGAGCCGCCAAACGAGUAGCGAAAAUCCCACCAUGUAUUUUACCCUUGGACUUAUUAAUGUGGAGGCGACGAGCCACAAUAGCUCCCAAGUUAUAAGUGUUGUCACCCUCUAGUGCACGACGUAAAAUAGCAAGGUCUGGUGAACUGAGUGCACCCACCUUCUCUCUAGCAAGCAAGCAUUUUGCAAUGAAAAGAGCAAAGUAAUGAACAACAGGAAAAUGCAAGCCAGUGGUAGUGAUAGCUGACACCCAUCUCUCAUCUCCCACUGUCAAGGUGCGAUAAAAGGCCUCAAACUCUGUCGGCCUAGUCUCGGCUAAGCUCCCGUUAGAAGGGAUCAUGCAUAUGUUACAAAAUUCAGUAAGUGGUAUCUGACGGGUUUCAACAUAUAAGUUAAACUGCACCUUAGGAGGAUUAUUCCUAGAAAGGAAAUUAAAACUUUGAACAAAGAUGUUUGUGAGGAGAUGAUACUGUUCACAUUCAUUUGCAAUGAAGUCGGUGAGGCCGGCAUUGGCAGCAUAUUGUGUGAACUCCUGAAGGAUUCCAGCCUCUUCCAUGAACUGGGUAUGCGGCCAUUCGCACGGCCGUACCUCUGCCAACCUCCGAGGAUGGAGAUCACUGUCAGACGACUCCCCAAUAACACCCUUGGAGUUCUUCUUAGAAGCAAACUUCCUAAAGAUAUUCAUCCUUUUCCUAUGAACAAAAUUCUGAAAUUUUAGGUCAUAAAUUUUUCUCAACAAAACUUCACAAAAUUGAUAGCAACUACUCAUAGGGAUACAUAGAGGCCAUAGCAAGCAUUCAAACUACUUAGAACUCUAAGAAUUCAACAUGCAAGCUCAUCUACAGCAGCACCAAGAGUAGCUAAUUAUUCAAAAUAUAAACCACUAAAACAAAAACUAAUUGGACAAACGGUGGAGUCACAUACCAAGCAACAAUCCCUCGAAAUAGUUUCGGAAACGGAGCUUCGAGCAAAGAGAUAGAAAUCCGCGGGUUUGAGAGCAAGAACACAUGAGAGAGAGCAAUGGAGAAUUUUUUCUGGAGGUAAGUGAUGAUGUGGUGUAAAGAGAUAAAUGAGGGGGCCCACGUGGGGACCACAACCCACCAGGGCGCGCAUGGGGGUCCUGGCGCGCCCAGGUGGGUUGCGCCCACCUGGUGCACCUCCCUCUGAUAUUAUUUGCACCAGAAAUUCUUAAAUAUUCAGAAAAUAUCGUAUUAAAUUUUUAGAGCAUUCUGAAAACUUUUAUUUUUGGGUCAUUUUUUAUUGCACGGGAAAUUCAGAAAACAGACAAAACAUGGCAUUUUAUUUUAUUUAACUAAUAAAAACAGAAAACAAAAAGUAGGGACAUAAGGUAGUGCUUACUAAAUUCAUCAAUUGCAUACCGCUAAAAAAUGAUCUAUUAAUAAGGUUGAUCAAGUCUUAUUUACAACCACUUUCGAUUAGCAUGAAACCGAAGAACUAUCGUAAAUCACUAAGUUACCUCAACGGGGAUAUGAAUGUCCCAAACAAUAAGCAUUUCAUAUUUCUUUUGGACAGUAGGUAGAGGUAUUUGAAAACUUCCAAUAGUGAUUGUCGGAGAUUUUUCAAUACAUUAAUACCAUUCACUUGGAAUUGUUUCUUCGGAAAGUGCACUCUAUGCUCAUUACCAUUGAUAUGAAAAGUGACCUUGCUUUUAUUGCAACCAAUAACAUCCCCUGCAGUGUUCAAGAAGGGUCUACCAAGGAUAAUUGACAUGUUGUUGUCCUCGGGCAUCUCAAGUAUAACAAAGUUAGUCAAAAUAGUAACAUUAGCAACAACAACGGGCACAUCCUCACAGAUACCGAUAGGUAUGGCAGUUGAUUUGUCAGCCAUUUGCAAAGAUAUUUCAGUAGGUGUGAGUUUAUUCAAGUCAAGUCAUUUAUAUAAAGAGAAAGGCAUGACACUAACACCAGCUCCUAAAUCACACAAAGCAGUUUUGACAUAAUUGUUUUUGAUAGAGCAAGGUAUAAUUGGUAUUCCCAGAUCUCCAAGUUUUUUAGGUACUCCAUCUUUAAAAGUAUAAUUAGCAAGCAUAGUGGAGAUUUUAGCUUCCGAUAUCUUUCUCUUAUUGGUGAUGAUGUCUUUCAUGUAGUUUGCAUAAGGAGGCAUUUUCAAGAUAUCAGUCAAGCGAGUACGCAAAAAGACUGGCCUCAGCAUUUUAGCAAAGCGUUCAAAUUCUUCGUCAUCUUUCUUUUUAGUUGACUUGGGUGGAAAAGGCAUAGGUUUUUGAACCCACAGUUCUCUUUCUUUACCAUGUUUUCUAGCCACAAAGUCACUUUUAUCAUACUUUUUAUUCUUAGGUUGUGGGUUAUCAAGAUCAACAGGUGGUUCUAUCUCAACAUCAUUGUCUGGUUCUUUAUUAUUUGUUUGAGCAUCUUCAUGAACCUCAUCAUUAUCUUUUUAAUUAUCAGAAAGUGAGUGUUCAUUACCAGACUGAGUUUCAGCAUCAGAGAUAGAAGUUCCAUUAUCAUUAUCAGGAGGUUUUUCUAUUUCAGGUUCACUAGAAGCAUGCAAAGUCAUAUCAUUUUUCUUCUUCUUUUUUCUUUCUAGAAGGACUAGGUGCAUCAGUGUUAACUCUUUGUGAAUCUUUUUCUAUUCUUUUUGGGUGUCCCUCGGGAUAAAGUGGUUCCUGAGUCAUUUUACCUCCUCUAGUUGCAACUCUAACAGCAAAGUCAUGUAUAUUACUCAUUUCAUUUCAUCAAGCAAUUCUCUUUGAGAUUUAGCAACUUGUUCUAACUGAGUUUGAACCAUAGAAGCAUACUUUCCAACACCUCUAACAUCAUUUGAGAUUCUAAAUAACAAGUCACUCAAGCGAGCAAGCAUAUCAGAAUUAUAUUUCAGUUGUUUCAUAACAUUUGCAUUGAAGUGAUCUUGUUUUCUAAUGUAGUUUUCAAACUCAUAAAGGCAUUCACUAGGGUGCAUAUUGUGAGGAUUGUCAUUAUCAUUGAACUUCAUUAGAGAAUUUACCUCUACCACCUUAGGCAGUGGUGGUGUAUUAAGCCCAUGUAUUUCUUCAAUAUGAGGUAAUUUUUAACAUCCUCAGCUUUAAUACCUUUUUCCUUCAUAGAUUUGUUUGCCUCUUGCAUAUCUUCAGGACUGAGAUAUAAUAUACCCCUCUUCUUUGGAGUGGGCUUAGGCGGUGGUUUAGGAAGAGUCCAAUCAUCAUAAUUUUUCAAUAUGUUAUUCAAUAAUUCUUCGGCUUGUCCAACAGUUCGUUCCCUAAAAACACAACCAGCACAACUGUCUAGGAAAUCCCUAGAAGCAUCGGUUAGUCUAUUAUAGAAGAUAUCAAGUAUUUCAUUUUUCUUAAGAGGGUGAUCAGGCAAAGAAUUAAGUAGCUGGCAAAGCCUCCCCCAAGCUUGUGGGAGACUCUCUUCUUUAGUUUGCACAAAGUUAAAUAUUUCAUGUAAGGCAGCUUGUUUCUUAUGAGCAGGAAAAUAUUUUUUAGAGAAGUAAUAGAUCAUAUCCUGUGGACUACGCACAUAACCGGAAGCAAGAGUAUUGUACCAAGCUUUAGCAUCACCCUUUAAUGAGAAAGGAAAUAAUUUGAGAAUAAAGUAAUAGCGAGUUUUCUCAUCAUGAGUAAAAAGGGUGGCUAUGUCAUUCAACUUAGUAAGAUGAGCCACAACUAUUUCAGUUUCAUAACCAUGCAAAGGAUCAGAUUCAACCAAAGUAAUUAACUUUGGGUCGGCAGAGAAUUCAUAAUCCUUAUCAUCAAUAAAUAUCGGUGAAGUAGCAAACUUAGGAUCAUAUUUCAUUCUAGUAUUCAGAGAUUUUUCUUUAUACUUGCAUAAUAAUUUCUCUAGAUCAUCUCUAUCCUUACAACCAAGAAUAUCUCUAGUUGUUUCCUCAUUCAUAACAUAACCUUCCGGUACCUUAGGCAAUUCAUAUCUAGGAAGGCUAGUUCUAGCAGGUGUUUCAGGAGUUUCAGUUUCAAGCUCAUCAUCAGAUCCAACAACAUCAUGUUGUAUUACUCUAGCAAUUUGUUCAUCAAGAAAUUCACCAAGUGGCACAUCAUCAUUAUCAAGCAAGGUACUAGCAUCAUCAUAAGUAUUAUCCAUAGCAGAAGUAGCAUCAUCAAUAACUUGCGACAUAUCAGAAUUGAUAGCAUGUGGUGGUGUUGCAAGUUUACUUAUAACAGAAGGUGAAUCUAAAGCAGAACUGGAUGGCAGUUCCUUACCUCCCCUCGUCUUAGAGGGAUAAAUCUUAGUCUUAGCAUCCUUCAGAUUCUUCAUAGUGAUAAAUUGAUAAUAAUCCCAAGUGACUCAACAAAUAUAGCUAUGCACCCUGGCAACGGCGCCAGAAAAAGGUCUUGAUAACCCACAAGUAUAGGGGAUCACAAUAGUUUUCGAGGGUAGAGUAUUCAAUCCAAAUUUAUAGAUUCGACACAAGGGGAGCCAAAGAAUAUUUAAAGGUAUUAGCAGCUGAGUUGUCAAUUCAGCCACACCUGGAGAUUAAUUAUCUGCAGCAAAGUGAUCAGUAACAAAGUAAUAUGAUAGUUUUGAUAAUAGUGACAACAGUAACAAUAACGGCAACAGUGAUAGCAGCAGUAGUAGUAACUUAGCAAGAACAAUAUAAGAUAAAUUCGUAGGCAUUGGAUCGGUAAUUUGCUGGAUGAUAUUCAUCAUGAGACAGUUAUAACCUAGGGCGAUACGACACUAGCUCCAGUUCGUCAAUAUAUGUAGGCAUGUAUUCCAUAAAUAGUCAUACGUGCUUAUGGAAAUAACUUGCAUGACAUCUUUUGUCCUACCCUCCCGUGGCAGCGGGGUCCUAUUGGAAACUAAGGGAUAUUAAGGCCUCCUUUUAAUAGAGAACCGGAACAAAGCAUUAACACAUAGUGAAUACAUGAACUCCUCAAACUACGGUCAUCACCGGGAGUGGUCCCGACUAUUGUCACUCCGAGGUUGCCGGAUCAUAACACAUAGUAGGUGACUAUAACUUGCAAGAUCGAAUCUAGAACAUGGAUAUAAUGGUGAUAACAUAAACGGUUCAGAUCUGAAUACAUGGCACCCGGGCCCAAAGUGACAAGCCCCUGAAAGGGCAUGCCCUCGCAUCAUGGAGGUCUACCGCGAACACAUUGAGCUAAGUCACCCUAACCACACCCAGUAGCAGCACGGACAUCACGACAUAAUAUAAAAAUAACGAGCAUAUCAUAAUGGCGCAAGUGCCAUGGUUCAUUACACGCCCCAACAGGGCCCUCUACUCUUUUUUGAUGCAGGAGAAAGGAAGAAACAAAAGCAAGCCGCGCGACCACAACAGCCCCCGAGGCCCGGCUCCAGCGGCAAUCGAGCUCAGUCGAAGUCUUCCUCUUGUUUCACUGGGGUGCGCCGGCGAUGCAGCUCAUCGCCCUCCCCGGUCCGAGCCCAGCGGCGUGGCGGCUCGUCGUAGUCGCGAUCGCUCGUGCUCUGCCCAGGAGAGGAGCCCCCGCUGCUGGAGGCGGCGCGGCCGUUGCCAAGGGCAAGCUCACCGCCAGCGACGGCGCCAUCGUCGUCGUCCUCGUUGUCGCUGUCGCUCUACGGGCAGCACCCCAGGCAUCGGCCGCCUUCCCCAAAGACCCUGAAGUAGAGGGUCGCGACGCCGUCGUACCUGAAGUGGAGGGUGCACCUCCCAUGCAGGCCGCGCGCGCGGGCAAACGGCUGCCACCCGCGGUUCAGGAACACAUUGCCAGCGGCGGUGAUCUCAACAUCCACCCAUGAGGCCUUGCUACAGCAGUUGUCGGCCUGCAGCCAGAGGCCACCAGGCCCUCCGGUCGGCAGCGCGCUCGCGAAGGAACGCGGAAGCUGGAACCAGAUGCCCGCUGGCCUCUCCGACCACAUGACGAAUUCCGGAGGCACGUCGGCUGAGUGGGAGUGCGAUCGUGGCGGCCGAAUGAUCAUCGCGCGCCUUCCCCUGUCGCCAAGGUCGCCCCGUCCGCGGCAGCCCCUGCCGCGGGAAGAAGCUCCGCCACGACCGCUGGAGGAGCGCGCCCGCGCCCCCGAGGGUCCGCCGCCGGGGUCGUCGCGUGCUUUCGGGGCCGCCCGCGGCCUCUCUUGGGCGGAGGUGAACCUGGCCCCUCCUUGGGGGCCUUCCCCUUCUCCGCCGCGGAAAACCUCCUCACCGGAGCCAUGGAUGCUUCUACGAGACGGCAAGAUAGGAAGGAAGAAGAACGAGCAAGCAGCGGGAAGAUGGACAUGAGCAGCCCCCCCCUCCCCAUUUAUAGCCAGAAGGAGGCCAACCGCCGGCCUCCAUGAUCCGCAGUAAUGAUGAUCUUUUUUGCAUGCAGCAGGCUGUUGUCAAGUCGAACGGUUGCCGAGGCCGCGUGGGGAAGUGGAGACACCCAUGUCCCAUCAAGCGCCACGCGUCGACCGGGUCCGCAUGCGGUUGGGGCCCGCGGCACUUCGCCCUUGCCCUUUGGCUUCGCCUUGAAACCAAGUCCGAGCGCGCCUUGGGCCCGGGGCUACUGCCGGCGUUCUAGGAAGCAGGGUACCCAGACUUCCUGCCUGCGGCCCACGGCGUGGCUCCAUCAGCGGCCUGGUACGGCCACCUUCAGCAUCGACAACACAAGACCCUCGCGAGGGGGCCAAACCUCGCGAGGCGGACGACCCCAAGACCUCCAGAGGGAGUGGCCUCCCUAGGCUGGCUCCUGAGGAGCGGAGAUUCAUAUGCAGGCGCCCACCUCGUGAGGUUAAGGUGAGGCAAGCCAUGACGACCAAGGCCAGGCGGGCGCCAACGGGCGCAGUACAGCAGGUUUCCUCUUCGGUGCUAAGGAGGCAAGCGCAGGCGCCCGAGGAAUUAGCCAAAGGUUUCCAUUUCCGUGCUACAAGACCAAGACUGCCAGGACGGCAGGACGGAGGUCAUCACCGAGCCCACCACGACGUCACGACCAGAUGCUUUGCAAGCGAAGACCACCUUUCGUCAGCAUAAGGUGUACUAUUUGUCUCCCUUCAAAAUUGGUCGUUGUGGGAUCCCUUCCCGCCUUAAUUUUGGGGGAAGAGGACCAAGGCCACUAUAAACAUAGGUUAGCCACCACCAUAGAAGGGGAUCGAGCCAUCCGAACCCUCACCAGCCCAUAUCAACAGAAGAACAGGCCUCCUGAGGCUGUUCUUCCUCUCUACUAGUUCAUCAUCAGCCCACCUCGAGGCUAAUCCACCACAAAGCAGGAGUAGGGUCUUACACCGCAAGGUGGCCCGAACCUAGGUAAACGGCCGUGUCUCUUUCCUUUCCCGUUCAUCGAGCUAGGCCGUGAGAGAAACGAGUUGAGUUCUUCGCACGCACCCUAGAGUUUGAAUCUUUCUUGGGUCUGCGGAGCCCUGAAUCCGAUAGGCGGCAGCGUUGGGGUCAGAGUGGGAGUUGGCGUCGCCGUCGAUGUCAUCUGGUUCAGGAUGAGGCCACGCUCCGCCAGGUACCACGCCUUGACCUGCUCAUCCAUCGUUGCCAUGUCCACCCCCCAUCAGGAAAGCCAGGUCGGUGUUCCCCUUCUUCGCGGCGACAUUGGUCCGAAGCAGGUCGAGCUUGACGGCGUUGUUCGUCAUCAACACCGACCAUCGCGCCUCGGUUUUCUCUUCCCUCUGGGCGGCUCGGGUCUUGGCAUCGGUGAUGCAAUGCUCGAUGGACUCUUGCAAACGCGCGGUAGCCGGCUCGGCGUGUGUCGCCUACUUGGCCCGUUUGUUGUCGUCCGGGCGCCCGUCGGCCGCGCCCGGCGUCGGCGUGUCCGGCUUGUACGUCUCCUUGGCCUUGGAGAGGGUGCGCCGGACUUCCACCCACUUCUCGCACUUCUCGAUCCGGGAGAACACGUGGAGGUACUUGAAAUCUUGGUCGGUGUCGCUGUCCUGCUGAAACAUGGCGAACAUCUGAACCAUCUGCGCCGAGGAACAAGUGUCGACGGCGCACACACACGGUGAAAAUGAGCAAGAGACCGGCGGCAUACCUGACCCUCGAUGUUGGCGCCGCUCUCCGGGCGAGCCGCGAUCUCCUCAACGAUCCCAUGCCAUUUGUUGCACGCCGUUUGGAUGAGCCCCCAAUGGUUCGCCAUGGCCUUCGAGCCGCGCUGCAUGUGGACGCCGGUGAAGUACGGGUCGACCAGUUUGCGCUCAUCGAACUCCGACUUGACGCGCUCCCAGUACGUGUCGGCGCUCUGGUUCGUGCCGAUGAUCGGGUCGAGGCAGACGAUCUUCCAUGCUUCGACGAGGCACUCGUCUUCUUUGGACGUCCACUUGACGUGCGGCUCGCCAGUCCUGGCUGCACGCUUCUUUUUCCCUCUCCUCACUGGAGCAGGCGCCGGCUCCUCCUCCUCCUCCUCUUCUGGCUCCUCCUCGCCGUAGUCUAGCUCGUCGUACAUGUCGUCAUCCAGGUCCAUUGUAUCUUCUUGGGCAUUGAACUCGGGGGAGGCGGCGACGGUGGCCAAGCCGGUCGUGAUGAUGUCGUCCAUGUCAGCCUCCGUCGCGUCGGGGUUGCCGAGAUGCGACGAUGAGCCUUGUGAGAAGAGCCCGCCAUGGCACAAAGGCGGCGUCGUGGAGGAUGCGUAAGCCGGUGGGGAGUAGGUGUACGGGGGUACUGGACGCCGGCGAACGCGGGCGAGGGCGUGCGCUGCGCGGGGUGGCCAUGUGGAAAGGUGAUGUUGGGGUUGAACCCGCCGUGCGCGUCACCGUCGGCGUAGCCAGGCGAGGUCGUGCAGCCCCAGGGAGACGCCGAGAAGCCAGCCGGCGACCCGACGCUCUGCUGGCUCCAGGGAGCGUGUGGGCCGUGGCCACAGGGCGUAUUCAUCAUCCCCGCGUGAGACGCCUCUACCUGUUCCACCGCAUGAUCCGCCUGCUCCGCCACGGCAGCCGCCGCCCUGUCUCGGGCCUUCUUGGCGUUGAGCCUGUUCUGUCGGUCGGUGGUGACAGCCUCCCGGCGCUGAACCUCCGCCUUCCAGUCGGCGUUUGACAUGCCCGAGGGUUUGGACGGCGGCGCCCUCUGCUUCGAUUGGGCAGCGUUGGCAUCAGUAGCGGCGCGAGGGGCGGCGUACUUCUUCGGCGGCAUGGCGGCCGGAUGGAGGGGAGAUGGAGGAGAAUGGCGGGAGAAGGCGGGGGAAGGGGAGAUGGAGGGAAACGGAGGGGGGAAAGCGGGAGGAUCGGCGGGAAAAGGUCUUUCUCUCGCCGACAGAGCGGACCCACACGCCUUUUCGCUUCGGCCGGCGCCCCUAGGCAUCCCCCGGGGGCUUGUGUUCGGCUCGGGUUCGCCGGUUGUUAUUUCGGACCAAACCGACGAUAAACGAGAUCCUGAGGGCGCGAUUGGGCCGAUUUUUGGGCGCCGGCGCUAAAAAAUGGCCUGGGGGUCUGUUGGGGGCGCGGAUGGAGAUGCUGUUACUGAGCUAAACCUGGUCGGGCCUCGGCCCGCGGGCCGGGCCUCUUCCUUAAACGGCAAAAACGCAGGCCCGGGCCCGGCCCGACCCGUGCUUCGGGCUCAAAUCCUAGGCGUGAGCCCGGCCCGUGGACUAGGUCGGGCCGGGUCAGGUCGGGCCGACCGGGCAGGGCUGCCCAUGGCCAGGACUACUCGCGUGCUUGGCUGCCCAAGCCGGGAUCCUCAAGCCCAUUAGGGCGCGGACGGCCUCCUGCAGGGUUUCUCUCUAUGCAGACGAUGUUGGCAUUUUCGCCAACCCAUUCAAAGAUGAGAUCGACGCAAUCGCUAAGAUCCUUGCCUGUUUUGAGGAUGCAUCGGGCCUCAUCACAAAUGUCAGCAAAACUGAGGUGUUCCCCAUUCGCUGCCAAGACAUCGAUCUCUCGGCAAUCCUCUCAGCCUUCCCGGCCAAGCUGGCCUCAUUCCCCGGCCGAUACCUUGAUCUCCCACUGCAUACCAGGCGGCUCAGAAGGGUUGACCUCCAACCUCUUCUAGACAAGGCCAUGGGCAGGUUGCCGGGCUGGAAGGGGAAGAACCUGGCGCGACUGGGCAGGGUCUCCCUUGCAAAGUCCGUGCUAUGCGCCAUCGCAAAUCAUCACCUCACGGCUUUCGCGCUUCCCGCUUGGGCAAUCCAGAAGCUCGGUAAGAUCACUCGUAACUUCAUCUGGUGUGGGAAGACUCAGAAAACGCAUCUGGCAGACACUCUCUGGUCGACUGGAAGACUGUCUGCCGGCCUAAGCCCAUAGGGGGUAUGGGAAUCACGGACCUCGAGAGAUUUGGUUGGGCGCUCCAACUUCGCUGGCCUUGGCUUAUGUGGACUGAUCCUGGCCGCCAAUGGGUGGGCUCUGCGGUGCCCUGCGAUGGCACGGAUAUGGCGCUCUUCAGGGCUUCUACCACCAUCUCCUUGGGCAAUGGGAGAAAAUCCUUAUUCUGGCAUGACGACUGGACAGGACGGGGUCCCCUGUCUCGGGCCUUCCCGGAGCUGUACAAAAUUGCCACCAGGAAGAGGAGAACUAUGAUGAAGGAGCUCCAGGAGGAGAACUGGAUCAGAUCGGUGGCCCGUCUUUCAUCGCAUGCCCACCUACAGGAGUUCAUUGCCCUCGCAUCAGCUAUCUCUCAGGUUGUGUUGAACCCGUACCAGGAGGACUCCAUCACUUGGCGAUGGACCCCCAAUGGCAUAUACUCUGCUGCUUCGGCCUACGCGGCCCAGUUCCCUGCAUCCUACCCCAGGUUCUCCCCAACCAAGAUUUGGGAGGCACACGCUGAGCCAAAAUGCAAGUUCUUCGCCUGGCUUGUGCUCCAUAGAAAAAUCCUCACGGCCGACAUGCUUGCCAUUCGUGGAUGGCCGCACGACCCUCGCUGCCCCCUUUGCCUGGGGGCACCGGAGACGGCCACUCAUCUCUGCAAGGACUGCCCGUUUGCUGCCGCAGUUUGGUCUCACGUCCAGGUGUGGACGGGAGAGGACUCUGGGGCCACGCCCACGUUGCCCCCUUCGAUGGGGAUUUCGGACUGGUGGGAUUCGUUCACCACCAAUUUGCCCAAGGAUGACAGAAGAAGGCGUAGCGGGCGUUUUCUUUACACCAUCUGGAACAUCUGGAAGGAGCGAAACCGACGCAUCUUCAAUGGAACUCGCCUCACGCACCUAGAUGUAGCAGCUAUUGCCUUCGACGACAUCAAGCAAAGGACUUUGGCCUUUGGCCGCGCACAAGUGGCAGCCGGUAUCGGUUUAUUAGUGCCAUCGUGCUGUUUUUUUCUAGGGGUUUUUGUCCGGUUUCUCUAAAAAAACCGGAUCUCUGCUGUACAUAAACUAUCUUCUUCGUAUAUGAAACGGCAGUGCUCCUGCCGGAUCCUCAAAAAGAACCUGGCCUGACCUAACCUUCUCGAUGAUAAUUUGAGACUAUCAAUUUCAAGAGUAAUUAGAUAUACGCUGAAGGCCCCUUACAGUUAAUCUAAUGAGUUCUGUUCUAAAAAGAGGUUUUCAAAAAUAAAAUCUAAUGAGUUCUAUUCUGGGGCUAGUUGCGCCGCUAGUUAGGUCAACAUGGAGAGCAUACAAAAUUGACCAUGGCUUCGCUCAUCGGUACCACUACUGGUACAGAUGGCUUAAUUUAAGAUCCAAGAGUGGUUUUUUAAGUAACAAAGUGUUGAAUUCAUGUGCUUAGUAGAACUACGAGAGACUGCAUGUUACCAUGGUCGCCUUGGAAUACGGGAUUCUCUGGACGGCUGGUUUUUCUAUUCUUAGAACUCACUUUGUAUAAAUUAAUUAGUGUACCCAUCUCUUUCACAAAACAGGCAGCUUUCAACGGAAGUAUACAAAUUGAAGCCUGAUAUGUCCAAAUUAAAGCUGGCUUGACGUAUCAAUUCGAUAUGUUGUUUUUUCAAAUGAUGUGUGAUCGUACAUCUACGCAGGCACAUCAAUUAUAUACGUGGGGGACAUGAUUGAAGAACAAUCCAGCUAGUGGACUAGUCAGUCAUCAACUUCAUUUCUUCAAGGAGAAGCCAUGAAAAAGAGUAUUAUGAUUGAUUUGAUUGAGCAACCUCUCAUUAGAAAACAAUGGCAGUUUUACGGUCUUUCAGUUAGCCAGAAUGCUAGAUGACCACAAACAACCUAUAUAUUAUGUCUUGUGGACACAAUAUAGACGAUGCCAAACAUAAUAUUUUGCGAGAAAUAAUUUGGACUAGAUAUAUGUGCAGGACAUCAAACACAUCAUCACUUUAAACUAUCAAGGGAGUCAGGUUAUAUUUCAAGUCGACAUCCUUAGCCAUUUAAUUAACAUCUUUUCAUCCUUUGUGCAUGUACGUAUCUCAUAUGAAGUAUCAAGUAUUGUUCCGAAGGGUUGUUUUGGCUCUGGUGAGCAUAUGCUUCUGGAUGAACAGUAAAUAAAUUUAUAAAAACUGGGUUUUUUAUGGAUGUUCAUGUUAGUCUAACAAAGCGUGUUUGACAAUUUUCACGCGAAACGAGGUAGCAGUGCUUCGUCAUCGUCAGUAAAAAGAAAAACAAAUUAAAGUGUAACAUUUGGCAUUCGAUUUAUUUUUUUCACACAAGUGAAAAUGCUUAAGCUUUGCCAGUAAAAAUUUGCAGGUAGCAUUUGGGUGUGACAAUGAACACAUCUAAUUUUAUUUGAUUUUUUUUUUACAUUUGCAAAAAAUAUUUUUGGCGGAACGGUGCAUAUGCUUUCAAAAGCCGAAUUGGAUUUCUAGAAUUGUUCAUUUAUCUUCUAAAUUUGAUGUCACGCCAGUACGUGGAUAGAUGAAGAGAUCGGACCUUGUUCUGUACCAUGGAAUCUGCACCGUGGAGUCCCCUCCAUGUGAUGGAUGGGGCAGCAGCGCGGAGGGGGGUGGCAUGUCACGUUGAGGGUUGAGUGAGGGGUGCUUCUCACGGACCGGCAAGACACGUGGUGGUGGACUGGUGGUGCUGCUACACACCGGUGUCGCUGGCGGAGCGGAGGUGUACACGAAUGUAAAGCGCUCCCAGGUGCAGCCAACAUGCACGGUCGGUGUCUUUCCGUCAGUCAGGAACGUGAUGAGACAGAUCCUUAUCUCUUCUUCUUCCUUGGGCCGCCCUUAUCUUGGACAGCAUGAUUGCGCUACGCUCCAUAAUACGGAGUAUGUGCUCUGAGAUAGUACUAGCUUAGCUUUUCCGAGAGUGAGGGGAUUGUCUACAAGUGCUCGCCCUUAUCUUAAACAACAUCAUUGCGCUACGUGACCUACCUAGCUAGAGUGAAAGUAUGAACUUGUCAAUAAGUCAUGAGUACCUUGCCGGUUAUGCCCAGUGACACCGGCACUCCGGCAGCUCGGUUGAACGAUGCCUAACCUAAAAAGCAUCUAAAAGCGGAUUGGAUUAACUUGAUCGGAUUGAAGAUGCUAUAACUAUGAGCAGUUUCUGUAAGGGUUAGGAAGUGAGCAGUCCAUUGCUCGAGAAAAUAGAGUAUGGUAGAGCGAUGCAACUUUCAACUUUGCUAUGGGAAACCUUGCAUGUGCCGUGUUCGUCAGUGUGCUCCGGUGUCGCCUCAAGAUAACCCUUCGUCGGACACAUGGCCAACAACAACAAAUAGGUGUGUCGCGCGCCCAUUGGGACCUCGCACACUCGUACUAGCUCCGACGUCCCUGUCAUUUGUUGCGUCGCGCUACAAAGGCGCUCGUUAGUACGUGGUGGGUAUUGCGUGUAUCGCCACUCACUCGCGCGCCUGGCAACGCUGUCCCUUAUCUUCUGAAGAUGAAGAGGGCAAACGGGGUAACAAGUCAUGAUGAGCCUCCGGAAUCCGUACCGUACUACCGUUUGUUGGAAGUUGGAGCUGACCUACUAGCUGUCUCGUCGAAGGCAAUGGUAGGUACUCCCUCCGUUUCAAGAUACUUGUCCUGAAAAUGGAUAAAAUAGAUGUAUUUAUAACUAAAUUAAGUCUAGAUACAACCAUUUUUAGGACAAGUAUUUUCGGAUGGAGGGAGUAGUACGGUUUUGCUCCGUCGACAACAGGAUAUGCAUCAUGCAUACGUCCAGGGGCUUCUUUUGCAACAAGCGAACAAACAGAAAAUUAGGUCUUUGCUGGAGCCGCCCGCGUACGUUCAGGUUCAGGUUCGGCGCGGUGCAGUGCAUCUCCUGAUGCAUUUCUGGUCACCUGACCUCCGUAUGCCCCUUUAAACCUAACCCCGUGCCUUUUGAUGUGUGCCCGAUGUGAUUGAUCCAUCAUACACGUUCUAAGAGUCAUUAUUGUAGAAAAAUACACUCUUUCGGUAACCUUAUCCCGUACCUUAGACGUGCAAGUGAUGUGAUCGAUUCAUCAACCACAUGUGGAUAGUUAUUACUGCGUUGAGCAAGAAAAGUGUCGAGUAUUUCGAAAGGCAAGUUAGGUAAAAGUGACGUGCUCCAUACUGUCAGUUAGUUAGCGUGCUACAGAUUGUCAGUUAAACGUCAUCGGUAUCAAGGAUUAGAAGUUUAUUGUGGGAUACGUGAAUUGCCAGCGGGAGGCCAAUGAAAAGAUAAGUGAUAAUUGACCUUCUAAAUUUCCUUUUCCCGCCCCCCUGCUCAACUCUCUUCAAAUUUCUAUUCCCCAUCACUGCCUCCCCACAACCAAAACAAAACAUAGUUUAUGGAACGAACAACACAUUUGAUUCUUUUUAAUCAACAGUUAUUUAAAACGGAGUCAGCCAAGAUUAAGCACGCAGUUUGACAUAAGGGAAACAAACCUAGCACAGCGAACUAUAUAUAGUUGGAACCUGUACUUGUAGCAGGCAGCAGGGGCUUCUUGGUCUCGAGUCUGAACACGCAGUUUGUCACAAGGAGCGACUUACAUUCGCACUGCACUAUUUCUAGCCACGACAGGCAAAUAAUGCCCUUGGUUCACUGACAGACAUGCCAUUAGCCACAUUAGCCUGUAGCCACGCUCUGCCAUACUUCUCACAAAACAAACACGUCCAUAGAAUUCCACUGCAUUCAAGCACUAUCGUGGUCUGACCACGCUUCCGCAUAUACUUGGAUAAGACGGCCACAAGUAACACCCCAUAUAAUGGCAACCAUGCCUUAUACCAAAGAUAAAAGGUACCAAUUAUAGCAGUACAACAGAUAUCCACGGCCUUAAAAUAUAGGCCGGAUCAGAUGGAAAGCCUCAAAAUAAUACAGGGAGAACAAGCCGAACCAUUAAGUGGUUAAGUGUUGCUUUCCGUACCAUCGCCGAAUUUGGUUGGUCUAGUUGAAGUCAGGCUUCUCAGGGUAAGUGCAGCCAGACUGCUGGAUGAUAACGUUUGCUGCGUAGCAACCGGCCUUUACGCAGUCCUCGAUGCUCUUCCCUUGCACCAACUGAGAGAGGAAGCCUCCAACAAACGCAUCACCUAAUAAGAAACGGGGUGUAACAAGUCAGGGGCAGCAGCAAAAUCACAACUGAAACCCAGUAUCCAAAUUUCAAAUCAGACUGUUGUUUCUGCAGCAAUUUUAAUGAAUAUAUUCACCAAGCAUGCACCUGUCUUGGAUUGUCAUGAAUGCUGAAUACUCAAUAUUAAAAAUCUCAAUCUCAGGUAAUUGUGCAGCUAGAUCUACGGAUGAAUAUCCGGGAGGAGAGUUGUAUACGUUAUGCAACUCUACAUCUUAGAAUUGUGACUCAAAAUAUAGUGGCAUUUCUUGCACAGCUGAAACAGCUCAAUUAUACAUUUGAUCAAUCAGUGCCAUUAACAACUGGUGCAGAUGUUCCUUUUUUAUAUUAUCAUGAGAAUUUCAGUUUUUUUUGCGAAAUCAUGAGAAUUUAGUUAAUUAGCUUACGUCAACAUUGUUUUGAUAAAUACUCCCUCCGUAAAGAAAUAUAAGAGCGUUUAGAUCACUACUUUAGUGAUCUAAGUGCUCUUAUAUUUCUUUACAGAGGGAGUACAUAACAUCAUUUUAGUAAGAAGAUACCCCCCCCCCCCGAUCCAUAUUAAUUGUCGCGACAUGGAUCGGAGGGAGUAUUAGAUUUACAUGGGCUUUUUCAAUAUUUCAAGGCAUAUAAUAUACAUGAAAACUAGAACCCAUCAAUAUUAUUUAAUGAAAGCAACUUUUUAAGCAGUGUCCUUAUAACAGUGGCUAGUUCUGAAGCAACCAGAAAAAUUAAAUCAACUCAUUAUACAAAAGAAAAAGCAUACCAGCGCCAUUGGUGUCAACAAGCUUCUCCUUGGGCAAUAGGAUGACAGGGAAUGUUUUCACCUAUUCAAAAGAUAAUAAUAUUUAGGUUUAGCAUAUUAUCUUAACAUAGAUUGACUCAACUAAAUUCUACAUGAAGAUUUAAGUGCCCGUUCCUUGAUGAAUAAAAUUUUUGAUGUGACAUUUGAAUAAGCAAACAACUGUGACAAAAACAGAUUGCUUUGCAAAUAGGCCCACAACAGCAGAUUUAUUGUCAAAGGAAAGAAUUAGCUAUCCUUAAAAUAUGCAAUUCUCCUAUUUUGCCCUACAGCCUAUAAUUGGACAAAAUCCAACUUAAGUAUAUAGGUUAUUUACUUUCAAACAAGCAGUUGCAUACCAGCAGGUUGCUAUAACCAAAUAUGUAUGAAUAAAGGAUAAGCCUAUAACGCAACUGCCAUGCAGCAAACUGAAAAAAAUAUACCUUCCCAUCCUCGGCCACAACUACUGGAUCAGCACCCUGAGUAAUCACAGCAAUCCUCUUUUGUUUUCCAGAAGCCAGAGGCAGUUGUGAGAUCUUCAAAGCGAUCUCCUCGACAUUCUCAGUCUACAAAGUUACACAUGUAAAUUUUCAGCAGCACAAUAAGCAAAUAAAAUUAUUUUACGAGGAUUGAGUAAUUACCUCCCACCCUCGGACUUUAGAGAAGAUCCUUGCCUCAGUUUCAUUUCCAAAGAUAUAGUCCGCAUACCUAAAGUGGUAAUACACAUAAAACAUGUCUUAAACAAAUGAGCCAAGAUCUCUAUAAACUACCAAACUUUAACAGGCUGAAAGAUUAGCAUGUGGCAAAAAUAGGAACAUCUCUUGACAUUGCUUAUGCAUUUUGAGUUAAAGCUCAUGUAAAGUAUCUCAAAUAAUGUCCAAAACAUUUAGCAUCACAGAGGAGCAGGUAAAACUUACGGAAGAACCUUCUCUUGGGCAUCACGGAAAAACUCGCAGAUAAAGGGAGCGGAGAGGUUCAUCAAGAAAACCUGAAACAACGUCAAUUACAAACACUGGCAACCACCACUUCACAGGGAAGUUUUUUGUUUCGAACCUUUACCUUGUUAUUGGCAGCAGCAUGCUCAGCAACAAGCUGAAUAGAUUCAGGGGACACCGUAAGGAAAAAGCCAGCAAUGUAGAUGUAUUUUGCUUUCUCAACUGUCAACAGCAAAUGUCACGGUUGUCAGGAACUGUCAUCCACCAAAUUACAAUAAUAUAGCGAAGUAGAAGAUGAUGUACAACUCAACUACAGUUUCCACACAAAAAAGACACCUCAAUUAGUCAUUCAGGAAACAAAAUAUUAAUGCUGUGUUUGGAUGUAUGUGUAUAUUCAGCCCCCGAAUCUUGAAUUGGUAUUCGCAAGCCUCUAAUACAGCCGUUUGGAUGGUCACGGUAUUGAAUGAUGGAAACUUGGCUCAAUUUCAAGCGGCACUCCCGCACAGUUGAACGCUCUUUCCCUCGUUACAGAGAUGCCGACCUCCGUAUUGCACUAAAAUUGCUCGUCCUGUAAAACUUACCGUUCCGUUCACCCUCCAUAAGAAACAAUAAGGGGCUCGACCACGGCAGCCAGGAGCUCGACAAUGGACGACACUCCCGCGUCGGAAGGAGAAGAGAGGCAGAGGCCAAAAGCUCGACCACGCCGAUCAGACAGACACAGAGAUGAGGGCCAGGGGACGGAGGCCAGGUUGUGUACGCAAGAAUGAGGGGUAUGGAGAUGACUUAGUAAGAAAUUUGCAAUACAAUACUCUGGGCAUCCAAACAGAAAUUAGAACUGGUUGCACUCUUUAGAUAUCAGCUAUGCAGUAUAUGUACAUCCAAACAGAAAUCUUAAAUCACAGUCCAUUUCUUUAGAAAAUUGCACUGUGGUUACAAGCUAUCUAAGCUAAUGUCAGCGUCAAUUCAGCAAUGAGGAACAUAAUCCAAGCUAAGAGUUCACAAGAGCUCAAAACAAAUACUAUACCUAGUGCCCAGUUCUCUGGCUUCUUUAGAUGCUCAGAUUUGUAGCAGUUCGCAGCAGAUAAGUUUGCAAUCAAUGACCUGACCAGAUAAAAAGAAUAUAUAUUUCAGAUAUUGUUAGAGAAGAUGCUCAGGAUCUAAAUGUUGUAGAAGUAUGGGACAGAAUAAUCACAUUUAAGUAAUUAAGAAAUAAACGAUGUGAAGACUUGUGUGUUUAUGCCUUACAAAAGCUAUAUUGCAUUUCGUUUUAAAACUACGUGCAUCGCUGAAAUUAAAUAACUUUGCGCACUGUUCUCAUCAUAUACACGUCCCUCCCAAGUCCCGACAAGAUUGAAACUUAACUUCAUUGAAUUGCAAAAUGACAUGCACCACAGGAUAGUUCAAUAGAUAGCACACAUGUUUGACAGUGUUAAACAGUUUCCCUAAUUAAAGCGAGAUGCACAUACAACUAUUACCAUUUAUACAGAACCUGGAUGAAUGUAUUACAUCAUCAUUCAGAAUAGAUGUGUACUACUCCCUCCGUCCGGAAAUACUUGUCAUCAAAAUGAAUAAAAGGGGAUGUAUCUAGAUGUAUAUUAGUUCUAGAUACAUGCCUUUUUAUCCAUUUUGAUGACAAGUUUUUUUGGACAGAGGGAGUAUCAUAGAGCAUAUACUAAGUUUUCUGGUGAGUCUUAAUUAAGUGAGUUAGUAAAACAACUAAACGUUACAAAUAUGUAAUGAAUCAUCAAAGAAAAAUGAUUUCAAAUAAAACAGUGUAAAGCCACAAAAUAGAAGGAAACACAAUAGCUGGUAAGAGGUAUUAUCAUAGGUGGCAUACCUUUCGCCACCAACAACACAUACAGCACAUGUGCCUGUAGGAGCAGCCUCAUCCUCAUAGUAAUGAGCCUAGAUGAAUACGUGACAAGACCAAGUCAACAUCAGUCCGUUAAGGCGUUAACCAAUAGAACAGAAACAUUUAUAUGAUAAAAUGGAAAAGAAAAAAAGCUCAAGAACUAACAGUAACUCCUGCAGCUUUAGCGGCGCUCUUCAUCUCCUCACCAUACUUGUCCUUUCCAAUGCAACCCAUGUAACUUGUUGCACCAGGAGUUUGAAGCAUCCACUGCAGAAUACAUGAUAUAAAGUAAACAAACAGAUCUGGCAAAAUCUUUUGGCUGGUCAUGGUUUACUUGUGUUUUGAGCUUACUUGGGCAACCCUGAUAGAGUUCUGCGUGGCUCCUGGAACAUCAUGGAACAUCAAAAAGAAGAUAUAAUCAAUCAGAAAAAUCAACAAGAUGAAAAGAAAUAGCACAUUAUACAUGUUAAAAAAACAUUACCUCCAGCAAUGUAUUCAACAUUUUCCUUGCUGGACAACUCAUCGUACCUGCCAAAAAUCACAGUAUGAGGUAAGAAAUUAUGUCACUGUACAAAAUAACGGCACUGGGAUACCUAUGGUUGGUAACGGCAUAGAUGCUUACAUGGGCAAGUGCUUGUCCUCGGCGAGAAUGGCAUUGUUCGGCUUGACAUCAUACCUAAAACAGGGGAGGGAGCAUGUCAGCACAGUCAUGAUUACAACACAAGUUACAUAAUACUCAAACAACAGUAUAGCAUCAAAGCCAAGCAUGAAGCACUGCGUCAAACCCCUGAUCAGCAUUCCAGCGUCAAUUGCACGAACUUACACAGCAUAUCAAGCGGCUAUAUUUGGAGAACUAUGCCAACAAAUUCGGCAAAAAAAAAACAGGAACACUAGCGAAACCUGUCGCGCAUGAAAUUGGUGAAAAGAGAAAUCGCCGGUGAUUGACGAGAUAACUCAUUGAUCCAUUGCAUAAUUUUGCAUAACUUUGGAUAAGAGACAUGAUAUAUCUUUCGACUGUCAAAAAUGAAAUUAUUCGUUCGACUCUUGGUCCCGUGCUGCGCCCGUACGAACUCGCGAAGCACUUUUUGUCGUCUCGGAUCUGACGAGGAGAGGCGACGAAUCCAUCGAAGCUAACAAGAGUAGACCGUACAGAUCCAAAGACUAACGCGAACGGAGACAAAAAAUUCGAAACCACAGAUCGGAACGCAGAAAGCGGGCGGGAGAGAUCGGCGCGUACUUAGCGAGGAAGGCCUCGUCGACGACGGCGGAGAUGUCGAGAAGGGGGUUGCCCAUCCCCAGGAGCACACCCUCGAGGUUGCUCGCCGCCAUUUUCUUGCUCCUCUCGACGACGGCUGCGCAAGGAGGCGAGAGCGAGAUCUGAGGUCUGCGUUGGCGACUGGCGAGAAGUCCGUUGCAGUGGUGGUGUGGUGGUGGGAUGAUGGGUGCCGCGGGGGUUUUAGUCGGCCUCGACCAAACCUCGCGUGGCCCACCUGUCAGCCUCCGUGGCUCUGCGUGGUUGGUGAGUGUUGCAUUUGCAGGUGGAUGGGCAGCGGAAGAAGAUCUAUCCUACCCAUCACGUGGUACUGCUACCAACUCUAUUUCUCGUAUGCUCGCUGACGUGCGGGUCCGAGAUUGACACGCCGCAGCGUUUGAUUGGUGCGCAGUAGCGAUCUGCACUGUGAGUGGAGAGCGGCGAGAUUGCUCUUGGUGGGGCAAUCGAUGCGUGGGUCCUUUUCGCCCACCAACCGCGUAGAAAUCGGUCGGUGCUCGGGAGUGGUGCGGGGGUGGUCCCGCUUAAAUAAAGAGCAAAACCCCAACCCGGUUGAUGGUCUGUGCGGCCCAGCCCAGCGCAGCAAUUUUAGGUUCGUGAAUGGCUCAACUCAAUGCUGGCCAAACGGGUCGGGCCAACCAGGCCGGCCCGCGAGCACGCCGCACGGCCCGCCACGGGCCAGGCAUGGCACGGGCUAAACGGGCCGUGCCCAGCACGCGGCACGCCUUGGGCCAUGCUGGGCCUGGAUGCAAGGCACGCGGGCCGGCAUGGCACGACCCUUUUUUUGAAAUAUAUAAAUAUAUAUGUCCAAUAUAAAUACCUAUAAUACUCUAAUAUGUUCAACAUUUUGUAGUGCUUGCAUAUUUUUGUAGUGCUUGGAUCUUAGUUGUACUAUUGCAAAGUAGUCUUUGUAGUUUUUGACCUUUCUGUAAUUCUAGAGCAUGUUUUGUAUUUUUUUUACUUCUUGAAGAUGGAAAGUUUUAAUGAUGUAAGCACUUAAAAUUUUCAACAUUUUUCUGGGUCUUUCCCCCUGUUUUACUAAGGUAUUUCACGGAAAAGAAAACGUGUCGGCGUACCUAAGCAUGCCACGGGCCGACCCAUUUGCCUCUUGUGUCGUUCUUGGUCUGCUGCCUGCAGCGCGUGGGCCGGCACAGCCCGGCCCGGCUAUUAAUCGUGCCCUGACGAGCCGGGCCGUGCCAGGCACAUUUAUGGAGGGCUGGGCCGGACCGUGCCAGGCACAUUUAUGGAGGGCUGGGCCGGGCCGUGCCAGGCUGGCCUGUUUGGCCAGCUCUGGCUCAACUGAGGGCCCUGCUAUACAUCGCCUGUAGCGACACAUUCACGUGGGGCGCCUCUAUGUCUCGUUUACAGCGAGACAGACGGCUGCCUCGCACCCAAUGGCGGAGCCUAUUGGAGGCCAAAGGGGGCCAUGACCCCCCUUUCAAAUGUGCAAGUACUUUUCUACUACCUACUAGAACAAUGCUCGUGCAUUGCAAUGGGAUAUAAAUAUUCUAGUGCAUUAGCUUGUGAUUUACCUGUCCAUAAUAAUGUGAUUGUGUAAAUAAAUGUUCAUCAAAUUCUGCCCGUGAAUUACCUCAUAAUUUGAUUAGAUGUUUGGUAAGUAAUUUAAAAUGAAAUUGGUUCAAAAGAUAAGUGAAUUUAGGUGAUUGAUUAUCAUGUAUAUAAACAUGGAAGGUUGGACGAAGGGGUAAUGGGAAGAAAGGUGAAAUGUGAACCUUACAUUCUUUUUAAGUAGUAGAGAUAGUAGAGAUACUGCCUAUUCUUUUCUAGCCCAUCAACGCAGAGCUCACCUCCACAUAACAAUUACGCAGAGGCAGGCAAGUAAUUCUCUCGAAAAAAGCAUGUAGCAUGUUGUGAGCUUGGACAUAUUUUCAGAUUGACCCCCCCCCCGGCCCAGUUCCUUGUAACGCUCCGCUCACACCUCGUGCAAGCUUACAAGGAGUAGGUCAUGGGCUAGGAACGUUGGUUAUGCUAGCCAAAUUUUGUUUUCCUUCCCUUUUUAUAUUUUUAUUUAAAAUUUAAACGCAUAUAUUAUUAUUUUUAGUUUAAAAAGUGUAAAAACCAUGAGUUUGAAGAAAAAAGCUUAACAUAGUAUAAAAAAAUAUUAGCGCAGUCUUUUAUUAACACAGUACAAAUGCAGAAGCUCACAUACACAUGCAUAGACUCUAAUCUCUGAAAUAUUGAACCAGUAUAGUAUCUUAAGAUUGACAAAGUUGCUAUAGACGCCUUCGUAGUCGACAAGAACAUAUGGCCUAACAUAAAUUAGGAAAAAUGCGACCACCAAUGCGAAGUCUGGACUUGAACCAUGGUGGGUUGGUUCAACGACAAUGAACCUAACCAUGUAAGCUACGCUUAGUUCGUGUUAUCGCAGUCCUAAAAUGUUGAUAACUUGCACAAAAAAAGUAUUCCUUACAACGAAAAAAAUGUUCCCAUGUUUAAAAAAAAGUAAAAUUUUCUUAAAAUGUAUAUACAAUGUAAAAAAUGUUUGUGUGAUGUAAAAUGUGUUUCAUACAAUUAGAUAAAUGUACAUGGCAUGUCAAAGAAAUAUUCUCACAUCUCAAAAUGUAGCGACCCGACCCGAAUGGAUCAAGUCUCUGUGCUUAAGUGUCAUCCCUGGAUCGGUAUGCUGACACACACAGUACUCGAGGAUUUAUAACAGAGGUAAAUCACAUGUAUAAAGUAACGUAAAUACUAUUACCUCAAUCCAAAAAGCGGAAGUAACAAGGUUGUGGAUUCCCAUCAACACCAACGGCAAAGUUGAGUGUAGAAAUCGUAACCCUAACGUAUCACUUACUCGUCGUAAGAUAUCCUGCAACAUGAAACGUUGCAGCCCGAAAACGGGUCAGCACAUGGAAUAUGCUGGCAAUUCACACCAUAGAGAAAUGAUGAGCAAAGGCUAUCACUACAUGCAUAUAUGGCUGGUGGAAAAGCUCUAUGGUUAUAAUGUUUUUGCGAAAAGCCAAUUUUUCCCUACUGCAAAGGAAUAAAUUUUAUUUAACUAUCAUGGUGGUUGUUGAACAUUGAGAAUGGUUGACAGCAUUCUCAAUCCCAAUUAAGUAUCAUCAUCAAAACCCAACAAAAUUAAUUAAAGCAACAUGAUGAGAUCAACGGGAUAAUCCAAGAACUAGAUACUCAAGAUGUCCAUAACGGGGGACACGGCUAAUCAUGAUUAGUUUGUACACGCUCCAGAGGUUUGCGCACUUUUCCCCACAAGACUCGAUCGCCUCCGCUUGAUUCUCGCACUACAUGAUGUUUGAGAAACGGAUGACCGAGACACAGUCUUUCAGAAGCGUUAGCACCUUACGAUGGGUAGACCGGUACACCUACAUCCCCUACAUCUGCUCUACCACUGUAAGAGUUCACACAACUUAAUCAACUAUGUUAGAGCCCAUAAUAGCUUGUGGCUGCACACGGAAGUUUCUAGCAUGAAUAAUCUCAUGAUCCCUUUAAACCUGGGUGGCGGUCCAAAAGAAAACAGACAAUCCUGGAAUACCCAGGUACCUCAAUCCACCCAGAUGUGAGUUUUAGUUGCCACCUUAAGUUUAACCAUAUAUUAACAAUCUCACAUCUGUCAUGGAUAUCUCUCAAACACAAUCCACGUCUACAAGCAUAGCAUAGCAAUAUAAGCAACGUAGAAGUAACUUCCAAGGGUUUGAUAAUAAAACAGGUGAUAGGUACUACCUCAACUACUUCCCAAUACCCACAAUUUAAUUAGAUCCUAACCAUGCAAUGUUUGAGGGUUGAUCUAAUGCAACAAAACUGGGUAGUAAAGGGAUAUGAUCAAAGUGUGAACUUGCCUGCAAUGUUGAUGAAGAUGAUUCGCACUCAUAACUCUUGAUAGUUCUACUCGUCACACUUCGUUUAAUCUAUCGUGAGCGAGCAAUAGUAACCACACAUAAGCAAUCACUCAAAAGAUCGGGAAGAACGAAGAAGACAGUUCGGAAAACAUCAAAACCAAGCAAAUAACUCUUGUAACAUAAAACAAUUUCUAACAGUACCAAAAUUAUGUGAAUUUGGCCUUAUCAGAAAGUUUAGGUCAAGAGCUUCGAUUUGCAAAAAGAAUCAACUAAAUCGGAGUUACGGAACUCAAGUUAUGUUCAAAAGAAGUUUGAAUAUGAAUCUGAACAAAAUUCGAAAUUUAAAAAUUCCAAAAAGUUGACGUGACAGGUCAACUAGAUAGGUGAAAACAAGGCGAAACUAUAGGCGCUGGUUUCAUCUAAUUUGGAUGAACGAGUAAAAAGUUCUAUUUGAAAAAUCAGGGCCAAGUUGUUUUACAGAAGAAAAAUAGUUACGGCUAAAAGAAUUUUAGGUCUAACGUAUAAAUGCAGAAUAAAUAUACCUUUAUAAGGUAUAGAAAAGACGACUUCGGAGUGAGGAGACAACUUCCAAAAGUCCCGCCGGAGAGGAGAGAUAUAUUUUUUUCUUUAAUAAAUCUAGUCAAACCAAAAUAUUGAUUUAACCCGAAUCAGAUGAUUUUUGAAGUCUCUAUGGGUCUAUAUUUAUUGGUGAAAAAAAAGGCUUAAAGGUCAAAGGCUAGGCAAUGUGGGACUAAACGUAGACGAAAAACAAAAAAAAAAGAGAAAAGCGAAUGGGCUAAAGCUUCGGCCGGCCGCGCGCGUGCGUGCGGCAGUUUUUUUUUUCCAAACACUAAAAGAAGGAAGAAAAAAAUUUAAGAAAAAGAAAAAUAUUUUUUUUCUACAAACAUAACAAAAAAAACAACAUGGGCCGGCAUGGGUGCACUGUGCACGUAGGCGGCGGAUAAAAUUUGGGCGGCACGUACAGUUUCUUUUUUAUUAAAAACAGAAAGGAAAACUGUAUAACGAAAACAAAAAUAAAAUUGUACAUAGGCAUAUUAUAUAUCAAAAUUUUCAGAAAAAGAUUUUCUAUGAUAUGAUCAUUUUUCUAGCGUCCAAUAAAUUAUACAAAAAUUCAGAUAAAGCAAAGAGUGCUACUGCUGCAAUAAAACCUCAUAAAAAUCAUUUUAAAAAUACCAAAAUGAUUUCAAAUUAAUUUUUCUCUAAUUUGCUAUUGUAGGGAAUCAUGUUACCCUAUUUUCCAUAUAUAUUUGUUUUGGAGAAAAAUAAUUUGAAUAAAACCCAAAUACUCCAAAUUGAAAAUAAUUUCCAAAAGAACUUUAAAUUAGAUCCUUUUAAACUUCCAACUCAUAUUUCAUAUGUUUUGAAGAAGUGAUUUUAUCUUCUCUCAUGAAAAUCAUUGAGUUGCUUGAAGUUUCUGAAUUGGAAUUAUUUUUAAAUGAUAUUCAAAUAUUUACAACACCCCUUUUCAUUUAAAUAAAUGGAAGAAGUCAUGUCAUCUUCUCUCCAGGGUUUUGUGAUGAAAAGAAUUUGAAUUCAUGGAGAUCAUAAAAGCAAAAAUGAAAGUUUGGGAAAGUCCUUUUAUUCCCUCUCAUUUAACUUUCAAAAGAUUUCGAAUUCACUCACUUUCAGUCAAUCAAUCACACAACAAUCCAACAAACAAUCAAAUCUAUCUAUUUAUUAUAACAUUCCAAAAUUUAGAAUUUUGGGAUGUUACAAACCUACCACCCUUAAAAUGAAUCUCGUCCUCGAGAUUCGGAGAGGCUAGAAAGAAAAUAGGUUAGGUUUGGGGUCUUCUCAAAAUCCAUCGGUCAUCACAGGGGGUCUGGGGUGCUAGCACCCUUAGAAACAUUGUCAUGGUCCCAUCAGUACUCAUAUACUCCAUCCUUAAUCUUGAUGGGGCCGGUCUUCUCAAAUUCUCGAGAUAAUUCCUUCUCUGGCUCUUCAGGUAGUGGCAUAACCUUUUUCUCAAUUCUUUUGUCCCUUUGUCUUGGUAUGGUCCUUCAGAGACUGGGUCUUCUUAGCUGACGGGUCAGGCGCCAAUACUAAACAACUAUCGAUAUCUCAUGGUGGUCUUCCAAUUAUGGUUUCUCCUACAGGAAAUGGGUCUGGGUUGAUCCUCACCGUAUAACCUACGAUUGGCAAGAGUUGCCUUGUACAAGGGAAAAAUACUUACACCAUUCUAAGGUUCAAACAAGGUUUGAUCGUCGUCUCUCUACUAUAGGUAAGUCACUCAGUUUUACCAUCCCACAUAGCAAGGCGAAUAAUAAGAGUAAGUCGGUAUGGUGAUCAAUCCAUCCCGCACCCAAAUCAUUACCUGGUAUAUGGUUUAGCGAACCUCGCAAUCUAACACUCGGUCAUCCUCACAAGCAUUGCAGAAUUUCUCUUGUCGACGAACCAAGUUCGGAAAAAUCCAUUGAUUCUGCAAGCCAAACAAACAUCUAUCGUUCCUUCCCAACCCUCAGGUUUUGCGUUACUCCUAUAAAAUCGUCUGUUGAUAAAAUCGUAACUUCUUCCGGGGUUUUUCCUUCAGCAAGAAUGUGCUUGCUUCUUGGCAGGUCCUGGGGCCUGUGGGUUAUGGCCCAUCUCAUCACUGGUAAACCUUGAACUCAUCAUCGGGGAAACUGAUCCUUAAUCCAACAUCCAACUUCCUAGUAUUCUUAAAUCCAUCCAAUUGUACUGUCUUCCUUCCUUCUAUUGGCACCAAACUACGACGUGAUUACUCAGACUCAUCAUGGAAUUUCCAUUGAUCCAUAUUUCCAACAUCAUACCUCCUUUAUAUCCAAUAGUACUUCAUCUCUUCAUCCUCGAGGGAUAUCCCACAUACCGAGAUAAAAAAACUUAUACUUAUGAAGUCCAUACUCCACUUCGUGGAACAUCAUUAUCCUUUCCAGGGUCAAGCGUCCUUACAGGGGAAUAUUGGCCAUCUCUGCAUGGCACUUCUUCAACUGGGAAACAUGAAACACAUCAUGAACUCCUGACAGUCCUUCGGGUGACUCCAACUUGUAGGCCACUUCUCCCAUACGCUCCAAAACUCGGUAUGGUCCUACAAAUCUCGGGGCUAACUUUCCCUUAACUCCAAAUCGUUUAAUUCCUCGCAGAGGGGUCAUACGAAGACAUGCUCUGUCUCCAAUUUCAUAGACUGCCUCCUUGCAUUUUUUAGUCUGCAAAACUCUUCUGCCUGGACUGAGCUACCUUCAGUCUAUCUCGAAUCAACUUAACAUUUUCUUCUGACUCCUUUAUCACAUUUGGUCCAAACAACUGACGGUCUCCAACUUCAUCCCGCAUCAACGGUGUCUGGCUCCUUCUCCCAUACAAAGCUUCAAAAGGGGCCAUCUUCAAACUGGCUUGGUAACUGUUGUUGUAUGAGAACUCCGCGUAAGGUAGAUUAUCAUCCCUACUAGAUCCAUAAUCUAGCGCACACGCUCUCAACAUGUCCUCCAGAAUCUGAUUGACUCUCUCGGUCUAUCCAUCUGUCUGCGGAUGAAAGGCUGUACUGAACUCUAGCCUAGUACCCAAAGUCUGGUGCAACUGAUUUCAAAACUUUGAGGUAAACUGUGUUCCUCUAUCUGAUACGAUGGUCCUCGAAACUCCAUGCAGACAUACGAUCCUGGUCAAAUAUAUCUUGGCCAACUUCGCACUUGUAUAGGUGGUUUUCACUGGGAUAAAGUGAGCCACUUUGGUCAAGCGAAUCAACUACUACCCAGAUAGAAUCAUAUCCCGAUCGGGUUCUGGGAAAUCCGGUAAUGGAAUCCAUGCCAAGCUUAUCCUACUUCCAUUCGGGUAUCGGCAUAGGCUGUAGUAAUCCGGCUGGCUUCUGAUGCUCUGCCUUUACUCUCUGGCAUACAUCACCUACGACUACAUACUCCGCAAUAACCUUCUUCAUACCAGUCCACCAGAAACGCUCCUUCAAAUCCAAAUACAUCUUGGUGUUUCCAGGGCGAAUUGAGUAUGGUGAGUCAUGAGCCUCCUGAAGUAUUUACUUCCUGAUCUUUGCAUUAUUGGGAACAUAUACACGGUCCUCGAACCAUAAGGUGUCGUGUUCAUCCUUACUAAAACCUUUGGCCUUUCCUGUGCUCAUUCUCACUUUUAUCUCGGCAAUCUCUUUGUCAUUCUUCUCAGCUUCACGGACCUUUCCCAAUAAUGUAGACUGAACUUCCAUUGCUGCAACCAAACCCUUGGGAACAAUCUCCAACCGAAGUUCCCUGAGAUCCUCGGCUCACUCCUUUGGCAAUCCUCCGCUUAUGAGGGUAUUCGUCCUUGUUUUCUUUAUGGUUGUGUCCUAUUUCUCCACAAAGCUUGUAUGCACAAGGUUUCUUCAUAUCCUUUCCAUAAGGCCUCAAUUUCUGGGACACAAGCCAAGACUUUGGCAAAGUCAACUCAAAUUCUUUCCAAGUGGUUACUCUUUGCCAUCCAUUGAUGGUUUGGUACAUCCUCCACCCAGUAGCAGCAACUCUUUUAAAACACUAAAGAGCAUGCUGGGUCAUAUCCUUUCUGGCUAUAGGGUUAUUCUCCAUGUGAUCCUUCAUGUUCUGAAUCCAGCGGUCCGUCUCCAAUUGACUCAUCGGUCCACAAAAUAUAAGCUCAUCUCCAUUCAUCCUCUAUUGGGUCCAUGGGUUUGGGGUGAGAUAAGAGAGAUAGAGAGAGAUGCACACAAUACAAACAAAAGUUUUGAAAAGACAGAUUUUUAUUUUGUGGCUGUCGGAAAAACAUCAAACAAAUGACAGCUCACAAACGUCGCAUCUAACGUAGGUAUAACAGGGGUUUGGUCUUCUAAAGGUCAAUAAAUCUUCAACGUCAUCAAACUCUUCAAGUCUUGUUCAUGCCUCCAAUGGCUUCUUCCAAUCAUGCUUGUCCUUCUUAAGUUCUUUUGCCAGAUCAUCUCUGUUGACUCAAAGUCUCUCGUGACAUCCUUGAAUAUUCUGGAGUUGCAUUCCAAACUUCUGGGUUUCAUCAACCUCGACAUGAACCAUGAUCCUACUGUCCUUCAGUUCCUGACGAAUCUUUGAUGUCUCAAGGUUUUGCUCCUCUAGCUUGGCUACUUUCAGCUUCUGGGUCCUGAGUUCUUCACGAAACGCUUCCUUAUCAAAUACUGUUUCCUGCAGGUCCAUCUUAACUUCUUGAUGUAAUACUCCAAAUCCUGGUGAUACACCAGCUAAGGUUAAAACUUCAUCUUUUGCUGAUAGGUGCUCCAUCAGCCUUCUACCAUCCAAUCCUUCCAAGGAAAUGCAUGCUUAACUCGGCACAGUGACAAUAGCAUAUGCGGGCGAUAACUUCAUGGAUAGCUGUGUUUCUGCUCUUGUCAUUUCCAUGAGCUAUCAUUCCAUAGUUGAUAUCUCCUGCCUUAGGGUUUUCUUGUCAAAACUCUGAGUUCUAAUGCUCCAAGUUCUGGUCUUUCUCCGAUACACCUUGAUCUCGGGUAUUGACGGCUUCUAUAGUCUGACAAAAUUCAUAAGGGUAGCCUUCAUAUACCAAUCUAGAAAUUCUUCAGAGCCUUCAAAUUCUCCUAGUCUUCGGAGUCUUCAACCGUUGUAGUUUCCAUUAUUAUAAUUCUUCGUAAAAUCCUCUUCAUUCCAAAGUGGUCUUAGUUGUCCGAUAUCUUGUCCUUCUUGGAGUGGUCUCAUCAGUCGAAUCUUCGAGUGGUCCAAAGGGAAAAGGGGUAUGGUCUCACUAAAAGGAAUAUUUGAAUAAGCUCAGAAGAGAAGAGAGGUAAAAGAUCCUUUGAAAAUGAAGUUUGUAGAGAAAAUCUUUCCUAUGGGCUUGCCAGUUUCUAGGGUCACGUCCUAUAGUCAACAUGUGCUCUGAUACCAUCUUGUAGCGACCCGACCCGAAUGGAUCAAGUCUCUGUGCUUAAGUGUCAUCCCUGGAUCGGUAUGCUGACACACACAGUACUCGAGGAUUUAUAACAGAGGUAAAUCACAUGUAUAAAGUAACGUAAAUACUAUUACCUCAAUCCAAAAAGCGGAAGUAACAAGGUUGUGGAUUCCCAUCAACACCAACGGCAAAGUUGAGUGUAGAAAUCGUAACCCUAACGUAUCACUUACUCGUCGUAAGAUAUCCUGCAACAUGAAACGUUGCAGCCCAAAAACGGGUCAGCACAUGGAAUAUGCUGGCAAAUUCACACCAUAGAGAAAUGAUGAGCAAAGGCUAUCACUACAUGCAUAUAUGGCUGGUGGAAAAGCUCUAUGGUUAUAAUGUUUUUGCGAAAAGCCAAUUUUUCCCUACUGCAAAGGAAUAAAUUUUAUUUAACUAUCAUGGUGGUUGUUGAACAUUGAGAAUGGUUGACAGCAUUCUCAAUCCCAAUUAAGUAUCAUCAUCAAAACCCAACAAAAUUAAUUAAAGCAACAUGAUGAGAUCAACGGGAUAAUCCAAGAACUAGAUACUCAAGAUGUCCAUAACGGGGGACACGGCUAAUCAUGAUUAGUUUGUACACGCUCCAGAGGUUUGCGCACUUUUUCCCACAAGACUCGAUCGCCUCCGCUUGAUUCUCGCACUACAUGAUGUUUGAGAAACGGAUGACCGAGACACAGUCUUUCAGAAGCGUUAGCACCUUACGAUGGGUAGACCGGUACACCUACAUCCCCUACAUCUGCUCUACCACUGUAAGAGUUCACACAACUUAAUCAACUAUGUUAGAGCCCAUAAUAGCUUGUGGCUGCACACGGAAGUUUCUAGCAUGAAUAAUCUCAUGAUCCCUUUAAACCUGGGUGGCGGUCCAAAAGAAAACAGACAAUCCUGGAAUACCCAGGUACCUCAAUCCACCCAGAUGUGAGUUUUAGUUGCCACCUUAAGUUUAACCAUAUAUUAACAAUCUCACAUCUGUCAUGGAUAUCUCUCAAACACAAUCCACGUCUACAAGCAUAGCAUAGCAAUAUAAGCAACGUAGAAGUAACUUCCAAGGGUUUGAUAAUAAAACAGGUGAUAGGUACUACCUCAACUACUUCCCAAUACCCACAAUUUAAUUAGAUCCUAACCAUGCAAUGUUUGAAGGUUGAUCUAAUGCAACAAAACUGGGUAGUAAAGGGAUAUGAUCAAAGUGUGAACUUGCCUGCAAUGUUGAUGAAGAUGAUUCGCACUCAUAACUCUUGAUAGUUCUACUCGUCACACUCCGUUUAAUCUAUCGUGAGCGAGCAAUAGUAACCACACAUAAGCAAUCACUCAAAAGAUCGGGAAGAACGAAGAAGACAGUUCGGAAAACAUCAAAACCAAGCAAAUAACUCUUGUAACAUAAAACAAUUUCUAACAGUACCAAAAUUAUGUGAAUUUGGCCUUAUCAGAAAGUUUAGGUCAAGAGCUUCGAUUUGCAAAAAGAAUCAACUAAAUCGGAGUUACGGAACUCAAGUUAUGUUCAAAAGAAGUUUGAAUAUGAAUCUAAACAAAAUUCGAAAUUUAAAAAUUCCAAAAAGUUGACGUGACAGGUCAACUAGAUAGGUGAAAACAAGGCAAAACUAUAGGCGCUGGUUUAUCUAAUUUGGAUGAACGAGUAAAAAGUUAUGGCUAUUUGAAAAAUCAGGGCCAAGUUGUUUUACAGAAGAAAAAUAGUUACGGCUAAAAGAAUUUUAGGUCUAACGUAUAAAUGCAGAAUAAAUAUACCUUUAUAAGAUAUAGAAAAGACGACUUCGGAGUGAGGAGACAACUUCCAAAAGUCCCACCGGAGAGGAGAGAUAAUUUUUUUUCUUUAAUAAAUCUAGUCAAACCAAAAUAUUGAUUUAACCCGAAUCAGAUAUUUUUUAAGUCUCUAUGGGUCUAUAUUUAUUGGUGGAAAAAAGACUUAAAGUCAAAGGCUAGGCAAUGUGGGACUAAACGUAGACGAAAAACAAAAAAAAGAGAAGAGAAAAGCGCAUGGGCUAAAGCUUCGGCUGGCCGCGCGCGUGCGUGCGGCAGGUUUUUUUCCAAACACUAAAAGAAGGAAGAAAAAUUUUUUAAGAAAAAGAAAAAUAUUUUUUUUUCUGCAAACAUAACCAAAAAAACAACAUGGGCCGGCAUGGGUGCACUGUGCACGUAGGCCGCGUAUAAAAUUUGGACGGCACGUACAGUUUCUUUUUUAUUAAAAACAGAAAGAGAAACUGUAUAACGAAAAUAAAAUUAAAAUUGUGCAUAGGCAUAUUAUAUAUCAAAAUUUUCAGAAAAGAUUUUCUAUGAUAUGAUCAUUUUUCUAGCGUCCAAUAAAUUAUACAAAAAUUCAGAUAAAGCAAAGAGUGCUACUGCUGCAAUAAAACCUCAUAAAAAUCAUUUUAAAAAUACCAAAAUGAUUUCAAAUUAAUUUUUCUCCAAUUUUCUAUUGUAGGGAAUCAUGUUACCCUAUUUUCCAUAUAUAUUUGUUUUGGAGAAAAAUAAUUUGAAUAAAACCCAAAUACUCCAAAUUGAAAAUAAUUUUCAAAAAAACUUUAAAUUAGAUCCUUUUAAACUUCCAACUCAUAUUUCAUAUGUUUUGAAGAAGUCAUUUUAUCUUUUCUCAUGAAAAUCAUUGAGUUGCUUGAAGUUUCUGAAUUGGAAAUAUUUUCAAAUGAUAUUCAAAUAUUUACAACACCCCUUUUCAUUUAAAUAAAUGGAAGAAGUCAUGUCAUCUUCUCUCCAGGGUUUUGUGAUGAAAAGAAUUUGAAUUCAUGGAGAUCAUAAAAGCAAAAUGAAAGUUUGGGAAAGUCCUUUGAUGCCCUCUCAUUUAACUUUCAAAAGAUUUCGAAUUCACUCACUUUCAGUCAAUCAAUCACACAACAAUCCAACAAACAAUCAAAUCUAUCUAUUUAUUAUAACAUUCCAAAAUUUAGAAUUUUGGGAUGUUACACAAAAAAUGUUCAUGACAUUUAAACAAAUGUUAGUGCAACAUAAAAAAAGUUCGCAUAGGUUAGGAAAAUGUUUAUUUCCAUUGAAAAAAUGAACGCCGCAUUUUAAGGAAAAUGUUCACAUGUGUGGCACAAAUGCCUAGGAACUUUUGAGAAAAAUUAUGCAAGGUAAUGUGUAUUUUAAAAAGGUUUAUUGCCAUUAAAAAUACACAAUGUGUAUUUGUAUAAUGUAAGCAUGUAUUGCAAAAAGUGCUUAAAUCAUUUAUUUUAAAGAACGUACAUCAUGUAUUUGAAAAAUUGCCAAUGUGUAUCAAAAAAUGUGUAUAAUGAAGAUACCGAGUAAACAAAAAAGGAAAUAAAAUAAAACCCAAGGAACAAACAAAAAAUCAAGGAAAACCCAAGAAAACAAAACAAACCCAUGAAAGAAACGUAACAACCAAAGUAUAAUGAGGAAAGAAAGAGAAAAACCGAAGAAAACCAGUGAAAAACAAAGACAACCAAAGUUAAACAAAGAAAGAGUAAAAAAAAUCAGAAAGAGUGGUGAAAAACAUAAUAAAACAAAGAAGCAAAGCGACCUGCUCUAAUGGUCCAGCCCGAUAGUCGACCGUCUGUAGGCCAUUCCUCAUAGACAUGAAAUCGGUACGGGCGAGACAUAGCUCUCACGCAAGGGUAUAGGAGAUGUUCACGGUCACGGGAGCUCAUAUACGACAUUUCUUUUGUUUUGAGACAGACGAUCGUUGCGUAUAAAAAGUAGGGACGCAACGCAUAGUGGGUUUUCCUAUUUUGGCCGGCCCAUUGGCAGGCAGUAAACCAUUGAUCUGCUGGCUUUUACUUUAGCACCGGUUUACUGUAGGGGAUAUUAAAAAAAAUGCGGCCAAAUUUUAUAAAAAAAAUGAAAACGCGAAAAGGAAUGAUCGUGUAUGGUUUUGAAAAUAAUUUUUUUCCAAAAAAAGGAACAAAAUUUUGAGUUUCAUACAUUUUAAUAAAAAAAUGAACAUAUCUUAGAAAUUUUCAACAAUUUUGAAAAACCUAAAUAUUUUUUUAAAACGUGAAACAUUUUUGAUAUUCUGGAAACAUUUGUUUUCGUUUAUUUUUAUGAUUUUAAACAGUUUCCAAAAGUGAGCAAUUUCUAAACUUCCAGUCAUCUUUAAAGAACGCAAUUGGUUUGGAAAACAUACAUAAAAUUUAGAAAUUCUGAAUAUUAAUUGAAAGUGCAAACAUUUGUUUUGAACUUUGGAAAAAAAUUCAAGUUGAAUAUUUUUGGAAUUGAUGAAUUGUAAACAAGUGAAGAAAGAAACAGGAAAAAACGAAAUAAAAUACAAAAGGAAAACAGAAACGCCAGGAAAAGAAAACCAGUAAAAGCCAAACAGAAUCUUCUAGAAUGUUCCUUUUUUUUCUAGGCUCUUCAGAAUCUUCCUAAAACCGCAUUAUUGUGCUAGUGUUAAAUGGGCCAGCGCACACUUUGCUUGGUUAGUCGCUCCCGCUUGUGCGUUAUGCAUAUUAUUUGACCUGAAUCCUAUUUAGCACUUAAGGCACCGGUUUUAGGUAAUUUGGCAAACCGGCACACACCCCCUCUACUUCACUAAUUUCUAUAUAGGAAACGGCAUGCAGUUUUUUUCCCAUUGGCUCAAGUUCAGCUGUUAUUUUCUCGGCAUUUUUCCUUUCGGUGUUUUCAUUCAUAGUCUUCGCUCAUAUUUUUAUUUUUCCUUUUUUUUCAUUAUUAUUCAUAUUUUUGUUUCUUUUCUUUUUUCAAAGCAAGAAUUUUUUAAAAAAUUGUGAUUUUUUUGCAAAACACAUGAACUUCUCUUAAAUUUGUGACCUUUUAUUGAAUAUGCGGAAUGUUUUCUUCCAAAAUCCGUCAACUUUUUAUAAAAAUCAUUUUUUUUCCACAAUUGAUGAACAUUUUAAACAUUAUUGAACCUUUUUUAAACCCAUGAACGUUUUUAAAAUUUGAGAACUUCUUUUCAAAAUAUGUGAACUUUUCUUCAAAUCCGCAAGCUUUAUUUUGAAUUCAUGAACUUUUUUUUUCUGAAAUUCACGUUUUUUUCCAAGCUUUAUUGGUGAAUUUUUUCCACAUCUCCGAACUUUUUUCAACAUAUGAACUUUUUACAAAACACACGAGCUUUUCUACAAAUUCGUGAUUUUUUGUGCAAAAUCGAUGAACUAUUUCCAUACCCACGAUUUAGUUUCAAAACCCGUGAUGUCUUUUAAAAUUCGUGAAUUUUUUUAUAACAUGUGAACUUUUCUUCAAGUCCAACAACUUUUUUUGAAAUCACAAACUUUUUUCCAAAAUCCAUUAACUUAUUUCUAAUAAUUGAUGAACUUUUUCCAGAUUUUACAUUCUUUUUCUUGUUCAACUUUCCAAAUUCAUGAUUUCUUUAAAUUCAAUGAACUAUUUUUUAAAUCCACUAACUUUUUUCCAAAAUCCACAAACUUAUUUAAAGUCAACGAUCUUUUUUUAAGUCACGAACUUCAUUCGAAUUCGAUGAACGUUUUUGAUUUAUUUUUAGAAAAAUAUCUCCAAAAGUUAAUCGGUUAAUGGCUACAGGCAAACCAGGCAAACCGGCGAGCGAUCGAUUGCUUGCUUUGUUGGGCCGGCCUAUGGAGUGCGCAUGAGCGCCAGCUCUCCCUGGUGCGUAAGGCGGUGGGGAGGAGCUCUCACUUUUGACGCAACACGUGUGAAUAAGGAUCUCUACUCUUAAUGACGACUUGGUGAAUAGUCCGCGCGGUUAAUUUUCGCUGGUUUAUUUUCAUCAUACUCCCACCGCCGAUUUUUUUUCGUCAUCGCACCACCUCUGCCUUACUCAAAAAACCGGUGCAAACAAAACCGCACGUAAGAAAACAGUCAACGAGGCUCAUCAGAUCUCGAUCUGCUUCAUCUCUCAAACGACGCCCCAGCCCCGAGAGGAGUCGCCGCCGCCGCCAGGGAACGAGAGGAGCCGCCGCCUCCAGGUCACCGCUGCCCUCGCACUCGCAUCCAUACCUUCGCCGCCGCCCUCGCGCUUGCGGAUCCCUGGAAUGCCGCCGAUCCGAGACGAGCCGCCGCCGCCGAGGAACGAGACGAGCCGCCGCCUUCAUUGCAGACCUGGGCUAGGGUUCCAUACGCCGCCGCCGGUGUCUCGCCCCCUCACCACUCCUUCGCGGGCGCCACCCAACCACCGCCACCCUCUCCACGCACCCGCACACACUCACCCAACUCUCUCUCCGCAGCCGCCAUCUAGAUCUCGGCCGGUUGAUUCCGACGGCGCGCAUCACACUCCUCCUGUGCUCGCCUCGCGCCGCUGCGUCCACCCAUCCGGCUGGAUUCGCCGCUCCCCGGUGGCAAGGGCUUUAGUCGCCUCCAACUCCGGCAACUCCGGCGGUUCAUCUCCGACGCCUACCCAGCCCCCGCGCGCAGCUCUGUCUCCUGGAUGAAUUUGUCCUGCUCGAGGACGACCAGUUCUUCCUCAACCUCCAAGGACGCCCGCCAUCGUCGAGCCUCUCUCCGUGGGAUGCCAUGGAGAUGAAACUCCCCUCGACCAGGGUAGGUACCAAUCCCUCCUCCCCUACCCUUGUCUUCUUCUUCAUCUCCAACAUCUGAUGUCUGCUUGUAUUGUGUCAAGGAAUUCAAGGGCAUGUGGGAGAGAGAGGAGGUCCAUGGAGAAGAUGCUCUGCUCCAACCCUCCCUGCCUCCUACUACAAGAUGUCUUUUUUGUGUGUGCUUGUAUUGCAGCAGCCAUGUGCGUAUCAAAAAAAGGGUCCAGUUUGCAGCAGUCACAUGAUGUGAACAUGUUUUUUCAUCACAAUUGGAUUUUUGGAUUUACUAGGCCAAUUGGUGGUUGUUGUUGUUGUUGUUGUUUUAGCAGCAGCAGCAGCAGCAGGCCGAGUGACGGUGGUGGCUGUGUGCAGGCCAUGGAGGCGAUGAUGAGCACGAGGGGAAGGCUGCUGCUUCAACCCCGUUAAGGUCUGCUGCUUCGAAUUGUCCCAGAUCGGUUGAUUUCUUCUUGCUUUCCCGUUAAGGAUUUCUCCUUGAUGUUUAUAUUAUUGGAUUGCCUGUAUGUUUUGUAACCCGUGGAGUUAGUAUGACCUGCCUGGCAACCUGUAUUUUACUGAAGAAAAUGUUGAACAGUAGGCUUGUUAUUUUGAAUGCUUGCGGCAAAGGGAUGGGCUUGCACCUUUUAUGUUCUAGACUAGGCAUGCUAAUGAAAACAUUCCCGUGCAUGUAGGUCAUGUGCAUAUAAACUCCAGUCCGCCUCGUUCGUAAUGCUUUGCCUGAUUCAGUUAUGGAUUACCCUUUCCGUUUAUAAGUUGAUGUACUUUAUUGAAUUGGUUUCUUAGUAACCAACCAUGUUGGAUUCUGCUGUUGUGUGGAGAAAGUUUGAUUGAAAUUUAACCACGCAUAGAGUUCACCUUUAUCGCCCUUUCAUUCAGUACAUUCUGAUCGUUGCAAUUUGGAAUGAUAACCAGGUUCCGUAAGAAGCACAAUAAAGUCGGUAUGAAGGCUAUGAGAGGAUGGGCAAUACAGAUAUUGACAGGGCUGGAAUAUCUUCAGAGUCAGGAACCAUCCAUUAUUCAUAGGGAUUUAAGGUGUGACAACAUAUUCAUAAACGGUCAUGAUGGACAAGUGAAGAUUGGUGACUUUGGUCUGGCGACAUUUUUGCAUCAACGGAAAACGAGAAGUAUUAAAGGUGUGUGGAAUUGUGUUUUUCUAACAGCUACAGAUGUGUGAAAUAUAUACAUAUAUUCUGUUUACUGUAGAUCUACUCUUAAUGAUACGACACACUCACAACGUACUUUGUCUUAGAAAUAACAUUUUUAGGAAGGCUUGUACUAACAAGAGUUGUGUCAUCAAAAUGCAGGCACAUUAGAGUUUAUGGCACCAGAACUCUUCACUGGGAAUUACAACGAGUUGGUGGAUAUAUAUUCAUUUGGGAUCUGCAUGCUUGAAAUGGUGACAUGUGAAUAACCAUACAGUGAAUGCGAAGGCAAGCCAUGGAUAUACAAGAAAAUUUGUGAAGUAAGUGCUUUGGGGUCCACAGAGUACCCAUCCUUUUUGAAAGAUUAUCUAUGAAACAACAACUGAUUUUCUUCCAAUGCUUUUUUAUAUAGGGUAUAAAACCAGCUGUGCUUUCCAAGGUUGAAGAUGCAGAAGUAAGAGGUUUCAUAGAAAUUUGUUUGGCUCCGGCAGCUGAAAGACUUUGUGCAAGUGAGCUCUUGAAGUACUGUUUCCUCCAGAAAGACAAGCCUAUCCCAGCGCCUCCUAUUUCAGUCUCCCUGGUCUCGAGUGUGACUAAAGAUGGGCGGCAGUCUGCCAGUUUCAUGCUAUGGAAGGGUGAAUUCUCACUAAAAGGCGACAUGCAUGUCAGCGACCAUGUUAAUUUAUCGCUAAGAUUUCCUGAUCCCAGUGGUAAGUAGAGCACCCAAGAAACCUCUUUUCGACGAACUUGACACUUCAUCCUACACUGACACGUCAAAUUGUUUUAGGUUGUUUUAAGAAUGCCGAGUUCCCGUUCGAUGUGGACCAAGAUACCAGCCUUUCUGUGGCUCUGGAAAUGGUCGACACUUUUGGACGGUGGCGGCGGCGGCAGAGGCUAUGGCUCGAUAGCGAGACGAGUCUGUUGAGAAUAGCCAGCGACGGGUUCUUUUCUUUCGCUUGCUCUGUUUUAAAAAAAGAAGAAGACAAGGGUUCCUUUUUUUAUACAGAGAAUUUACCACAGUAUUGGAAAUACUUUGGUUUUGAUAAUACAGUUUUUAGUGCUAACCAAACAGGUCACUGUAAAUAAAACCAUGGUAAGUAAAAAAAACUGCAGUAUUCUAAGAAUACUUAAAAAAUACUUUGCUAUCAAACAGGGCCUCAAAGUAAUUAAAACCAUGGUAAUCCUAAAAACGGUAGUAUUUCCAGAAUACUUAGAAAAUAUAGAGCUAUCAAACAGGGCCUGAAUCAUCAAUUGGAGGUGGUAGUAUGAGAUUUAAAAAAUCUGACGGUGUAGGAGAUAUCUAACUCCAUGGCAAUGUUCGAUGGAUGUUCUGCGAAUUGCUUGCAAGCCAUGAAAAAUUACAGUUUAACACAGCAUAUAUAUUGUCUUACACACUCAUGAUCUGGUGAUAGUUUUAAUUGCCUUGAUCUUUGUUUUGUAGUACAGACAAGAAUAGCUUCAAUGACAGCAUCUCGAAUCAUCAAGUUGUGUGACUUCCCUCUUGAGUGGGUGUUGUAUUUUAGCAGGCCUAUAUUUGAAAUAGUUGAGAGCCACUUUUGUUGUUUCUAUAUGGGUGCACACCAAAUUAUACCUUCCGAGAAGAUUAAUGUGCUCAUGAUUUACCUUCUGAAAAAAGGAACUUGUGAUCCAUCUACGCGCAAUGAGCUGGAGAUGGGGGGCACAAAAGGACACUAAGCCACCCCAGAUUGUUACGGCACAGUGGUGCCACUGCGUGGGCAUCAACACGAGGAGUUGAUGCAACUUCAACACAGGGCGGCAGCGGCAUGAUGACUUCAACACAAGUCCUGGUGAGAAGAACGCGGGAGCUAGGAUAUAGAGCCAGAUGUUGUGUAUGUGUAAGAAUUUCAUCUACGCUUAUAUUAUUUUUGCAGGGUCCUAAUGCAUUCACUACUCUAAUUUCUCCUGGAUGCAUCAGAACACACUGCUACCAAGUGUAAUACUCUUGAAACGAACACAUAUAGUUAGUAUUCUAGGAAAUAAAGGAAACUAUGGAAUAAUGAGGACCCUGAUCUUCUAUGUAAACUAGAUAUUGAUCCUACACGGAAUUUCUAUGUAAAAAUUACUGACAUAGUGGAGAAGCGCACCACUUGAUGUCCCGAGCCUUCGCACAGCCAGCAAGUGCUUUGGCUGGGCUUGUGUUGGAUGGUAGAAAGUUUUGACUCAGGUUGUUGUUUGUUCAUUUGGCAUGACUACUUGUAGGCGGUAUUUUAUUGUUAGUUUCAACAUUAUUUCAACUCUGUUGUUUUGGUCUGUGCUUAUUCUAGUAUUCUGGCUAGAUGGUGUUCACAUUGUAGUACCUAAUACAUCACAUGUACUCCCUCCGUCCCUUGAUUUAGUACAACUUUAGUAUAGUUACACAUGCUGACAUGUGUUGUUAGUCAUUCUUUCCUGUGUAUGAAGGACGAUAGGAUUCUUGUAAUAGUUAAGAGUACCAUUUUGAAAAAUUUGGUGAAUUACUGUAAAGAUGUUGCAAUUUUGCUAGAUUAUAACCUCUCUCCUCUUGAGUAAGUGAUGCAAUCUUUUCAUAUUGGUUGAGCCUUAGUACCUCCAAUGUUGACAAUUGUCAUUGGCAUCAUAUAUUAGUAUCAUUAAUUGCAAAUGGAAUUAGUUCAAUUAUUUUGUUCCAAAAUAAUCAAAACUGGAAGUCCUUUCAGUGGCACUUUGUGUAAUACACUUCUAGGUUGCCAUUCUCUAAGCAAUGUUUGUCACUUUGAUUUUAAUUUGUCUAAAUAUGAUUAGCAAUAUUUGUUCCUUGGGGUUUGCAUGCCCUUGAAAUCUGGUAUUGUUGUAAGAUGAUGUAUGUUCAAGCAAUCCAACUCACUAUACAAAGUUCAACAUGUCUUUAUUCAUGCGUCCCAAAAUCAUUUGUGUAGUCUAGGGACGUAAAUAUGCCCAAUGACAAAAAUUAAAUGUGAAGCAUUGUCUUCCCCAAUUCCACAUGCACAUAUGUAUAAUUUAGUGCAAUUGCUAUUUCACAGGCAACUAAACUUUCAAUUGUGUCGGUUGACUCUUGUGAAAGCGGCACAAAGCCUCAUAACAGAAGACGAUGGUGUCGUGGUGAGCACCAGCGAGAUGCGGGGACGCCGGCAAGGUAUCGGCCAGGAGUGACCUGGAGCCGGCGAUGACAUGUAGAAGCGGCCCAGGUGGAGGGGAUUCAAAUCUUGAUGUUUCCGGUGGGGUGUGUGUGUUUUCCUUAGAAAAUUUGAUGCCCAAGGAGGUGUAGAGGGGAUGGUCGCCGGCGGUGGUAGCACGACGGAGGAGACGAAGAUGGCAUGUUGGUGAGGCAGCACCAUCGAUCGUAGGGAACAAGAGCAGCUGGUUGGGCUGGUGACACAUGGGGAGGGGGGAGGAAUGGGCAAAUCAUGUUGCGGAAGGAAGUUGUUAUUCUUCGUCUAAGGAAAAAUAUUUUAUGUUAGUAGAAAGAUGUCCAACUAUUUGGUUCAGAUUUCAUUGACAGACAACUCACGAGAAUCGAAUGACCCAUUUUUCUCCAGGCACUUAGGUGGUUUCAGAUCCCAAAAAAACACUGCACCUAAAUAUAUUAUUAUGUGUAUAAUUGAGCAAUGAAUUAAUUGAAGCGAGAAAUCUGAGAGGAUGGACAAGUAAGAUGCACAAGGUAGAAAAUAAGCAGAGAGGGUUCAUAGUUCGAGACCGAGAUAGAUGGAUAGAGGGUGGUGGAGGAAUAAGAAUAGUGACUUAAUGAUAAAGGAAAUGGUGUAUGUGAGUGACUUAAUGAUAAAGGAAAUGGUGUAUGUUAGAUCAAAUUGGUGUUUUUUGGAGGACUGAUGCAAUUGGUGUUGAAAUAAUAAAAUAUGCAUGCUCUUGUUGCAACAUAUAGGUUAUGUAUGCCCCUGUUGCAACAUACAUGUCUCAUUGGUAUCUAUCGGUCGUCAAUGCCAAAAAAUACGAGAUUCAAGUAUUGGCCUCAGUUGAUGCUCGGUCAAACGGAGUGACCUUGCUGCUGUUGUAACCACAAACAUAAACUAAAGCAGGUGUUGGAUUUCAAGCUGGUGUUAAAGAUCUAUCCGUUAUUUUUGGUCCUCUUUAUAUAACUUUUGUUUGCCUCAAACUCUACUCUAUUUUUCAUAUAAAAUAGUUACUGGGACUUGAGAAGCGUUGAACUUUAGACAAGAGUCUGGAUAUUAUUAAUUAAUUCAAUUAUAAGGAUGUACCUGGCUAUAUUGUUUUUGAUUUCAUGCUCUCAUGGAAUGAUGAAGAAUUGCUUGGUUCGGUUUGCAAGGUGAGUAUUCUCGUUGCAUAUUUUUAGAUCUUCCACGUGAAAUAUUAGUGCUAACUACAUAUAUUGCCUAUGCAGGAUGGUUAUCAGUUGAGAAAGAAGUUCUAUUAUACUUGCUCAAAUAUCAUGCAAAUGAAGCUAAAGACAACAUUCCUGAUAUUGCGCAAGAAUGUCUUAUACACGUCAAGUAGAUCUUAAUUCAUAACAAAUUAUUGUUGGAUCUUCACUCUCUAUGUAUACAUCGUCAAAUUACUUUACGCUAUCAACUUACAUUGUAAGUUUAGUAGAUUUAAAUUAUUGUGAUUAUGAUCGGUGCUGCUGUCAGUUAUAACAAGAAAUAAACUUUGCCUUCUCUUUCCUCUUCCACAAGAAAAGAUCUCAAGCUUUCCUCUUCCUCUCGUCGGCGCCACCGCCGAUCCUCCCCGUUUCCGGUGGUCUUUUGGGCCAUGGAGGUGCCAAGGAUCUCGGCCCCACGCCGGCGGGAGGGAUCUCGUUCUCGUUCUUGUUAGGUUCAUAGUCUUUGUUGGGACUGUGUGCCGCGGCGAUGUCCCUCGGUAGGAAUAAUGUCUCCCACGUUCUAUCCAUAUCCCGGUGGUGCGUCUAGCGUCGUCGGAGGGCGCACGGAGGUGUGUCUCCGUCGGAUCUCGCGGGAUUCGGUCGGUGCAGGUCUUUGGUGAAUCUUUUUGGAUCUGGUCUGUGUUCAUCUUUAUUUGGAUGUUUACAGGUUUGAUUCUUCCGUUCUACAACUUUCUUCAUCGGGCGAUGGUUGUUGCUCUGGUGCCCUUGUGCUAUGUGGCCUUAGCACGGCAACUUCUCGACUGGCAACUAUAAUAAGGUUUGCACGGCUCCAGCGAGGGAGGGGCGAUGACGGCGGCGUUGUGUUCAUCUUCAUUUGGAUGUUUACACGUUUGAUUCUUCCGAUCUACGACUUUCUUAAUCGGGCGAUGCUUGUUGCUCUGGUGCCCUUGUGCUAUGUGGCCUUAGCACAACGACUUCUCGACUGUCAACUAUAAUAAGGUUUGCGCGGCUCCAACGAGGGAGGGGCGAUGACAGUGGCACACCUUCGUCUCGCUCCAGUGUAUGUAGUCGUCGCUAGGUGGUUUGUAAUUUCUAUUAUCUCCGAUGUUCUUUAUACCACCAUGUUUAAAGAUGAAUAGAUUGAAAGUUUCCCACACAGAAAAGUAGUUUUCAAUUAUUACCAUUGUUGCUAUUUUUUCUAUACAUAUGAAAUUUAACAUGCAUUAUAUUUAUAUAUAGAACUCCAACAAAAUAUUUCAAAUGCCGGUGGCAACGCACGGGCAUUGUACUAGUACCCCUAAAAAAAGUGUGAAUAAGGAAAUGUCGCCACGGCGUCGCUCAAGUUGGCCCGCCCAUGAAACUGCAGCACUUGCAUUCAUCAAUGCAAAUAUAUGGGACUUUAAAAAUAUAUUAUGUUUCGGCGAAAUUUUAUAAGUACAUUCCCAUUUUAAUAUAGUUUAGUUCAAUUACCCAGUCGUCCGCACCCAGCCGAAGAGGGACUCUUCGUAGGCACCCAGGCCGAAGAGCUACUCUUCUUACACCACCCGGAUGAAGAGGCUCUCUUCGUACACAUGUAGCCGCUCUGUUCGCCGAAUAUAUGCGCGGUGAAUAGUGAGAAUAUAUGUGUGGUUCGCUCUGUUCAAAGAAAUAUAAUGUAUUUUGAAAUCUUUAAAUGAGAAUAUAGUUUUAAAAUUCCAUAAAACAAAUCAAAUAUAUGCAUGGUCCGUUCAAACAGGUAUAAUGUGUUUCGUAACAAAUGAGUGCACAUAUGUACCAAAAUAACAACAUGUUUUUCUUUUCUGAAAACCAUUAGUGGUAUUUUGGUUAAACUGUGAAUCUAAAAACUGUUCACGAAUUCAAACAAUCUUCAUGGAUUUUAAAAAUGCUCAUGAAUUUGAAAAUUGUUCGUGAAUUUGGAAAAUAUUCAUGAAUUUGGAAAUAAUAUUCAUUAUUUCAAAUUUUAAGUGAAUUUAAAAAUAUUCGUGAAGUAGCAAAAUAUUCAUGAAUUUAGAAAUUGAUCAAGAAUUAAAAGAAAAAGGGAACGAGAAAAUGAAAAACAAACACAGAAAAGGAAAAGGAAAAAAAUAAAAUAGAUAAACAUAAAGAAAAUAAUAAACCAAUAAAAAAGAAUAAGAAACAAUAAACUGAAUGGAAGGAUCCGAAAACCGAGCGGAACAUCCCCAAAACCAUUUCGCUCGUUAAUCCUAUUCCGCGCAUAGCAUGAUAGGAAUCGACCAAACGUGCACCCUCGACUUGCUUUCACUUGUUAUUGGGUCGGCCCAGCUUGUUCUUUUCCCACCUGUUUUGGAAAAGUUCUAAAACCUUUCCUCAAUCGAAUUUUCCUUUUUUGUGUGUUUUCUUUUACCGAUUUUAUAUUUUUUUGUCUUUGUUUUUGCAAAAUUUCCUUUUUUUGCAGUAUCAAUCUGUGGAUUAUUUUUUGAAAUACAAGAACAUUUUGUAAAACUCAAUAACAUUUCUUGAAAUUCAAGGAUCAUUUAUAAAAUUCAGGAAUAUUUUUAAAUUUUUUUAAAUCCACAUAUAUUUUUAAAUUCACAAGUAUUUGUAAAAACCAGGACGAUUUUUUUGAAGUUCAUAGACAUUUUCUAAAUUUGUGGAGAUUUCUUAUAUUCAUUAUUAUUUCAUUUUGCAAAAAUGAGGACAUUUAUAUUUUUUUUGGAACACUUUACAUGUUCUCUCCAUUUCAUUCAAUUAUCCUUUCUCUCUAUUUAUUUUCCCUUCGCUUAACCAGGUGAGCCGAGGCCCAAGUAGGUCGACUACCAAACAGCCGAAGCGAGUGUCAUGGGGCGUGCACGUUUGGUCUUCGUUCGACGCAUUGCACAAUGAGUAGGAGCUCAUGUUCCAUAGAGCUCCUGGUCGGCUACUUCGGUGCCCCUAGUGGGCCGACCCAAGUCAGGAUGGUAGUGGGCCAGCACUAUUCUUAAGGUGCCAUUUUCUAUUUGACACAUUAGACACUGAAAUGCAUAUAGAGAGAGAGAGAGGGGGGCGAAUAAGGUAAAUGUGACAGCCAAUUUUACGUAGGAAACAUGUCUGAAAGUACUAGUUAUCGAUUAGAGGGGGAUGAGUAGGCGAUUUUCAUGAAAGUCUUUGAAACAGACAAUGCAUUCGAAGAUGCGGAAGUUAAACAGUAACUAAACAGGAUAGAGCGGAAGAUAAGCUACACUAGACAUGCUGACAGAACAACACAAUUGAUGUGAAAAGUGAAGACAGAUAGCAAACUAGGUAGCAAUGAACAGUAGUAACAGUUAACGUGAAGACAAAGACAUGAUCAAAGAGAUUGUCUUCACGCAGAUUGUCUUCAAACAAGAUUAGCAAGCAAAGGCUUCACGAUGCAAAAAAGUAAGUAAAGAGGUGAAGUGAUAUAACCGGAUAACCGAAGAAGACAAGUGAUUUGUUUGACCAGUUCCAGCUGCUCUGACAGUUGUACUAUUGGAAAUAUGCCCUAGAGUUAAUAAUAUUUAUAUUAUUAUAUUUCCGUAUUCGUAAUUAAAAUGUUUAUAAUCUAUGUUAUAAUAGUCAUGAUCAUAAACUAUGCGAUUCAGUGAAAAAAAUCAUAUGCACGUGUGGGAUGAUAAAUGGUUAAAUAACGCAAGGAAGUGCAUGCUUAUCCCCCUGACAGUUGGGACUCACCAGGUCGAAGCGUACGUACCAUUAUCUGUCUGACGCGAAUGUGUACGUACAUACUGGUCGAUCGGUUUCUCUGCAAUGAUGAACCGUUGGCAUGUAAGGAGGGGCACGUGUCGUAGUAGAGCCCCCGACGUAGCAGUUCAGGCAGCCCCGUUUAAAUCAUGUACACGUAUGUACAACCACGCUGCAAAAAAAUACGGCCACGUACGUACAUACCGGCGGGAUCUCGAACGCCUACUCGCGCAUACGUAUGGCCAAGGCCCGUGUACACGAUCAGCAGCAACGGCUUCCUGUUCAUUGGCAGCCAACCGGCUGGGUUGGAACGGAGAAACAACGCCGUGUUCAUCUGGAGGCAAUCGAGUAGGUCGGAAUGCGUCCUGUUCAACGGGAGCCAACCGACUUGGACGGAACAGCCAAAGUGGAGCCUGACGUACCGCAAUAGAGGAAACAUACUUCUGUUCGACCGCCUACUGUCGAAAUGGUGUCCUGUUCAUCGGGAGAAGUGUGGCGUACCACCAAAUGGAGGAAACAAACUUCUCGCCAACCGCCUAUGGUUGAAACGAGGUCCUGUUCAUCGGGACGGGGUGUGGCGUACCGCAAAAUGGGACUUCACGGGCUACUGUUCAUCCACCGUCUACUGCCUCGCUCCAUCCUUCACGAGCUACUGUUCAUCCACCAUCGAGUUCCUGUAGCCUCCAUCGACUACUGUUCAUCCAACCUCCACGGGGGCCUGUUUCUCCACCCCCAACUGGCUGGGGUGUGGCGGCCUCCUCGGGGUCCUAUUCAUCCUGCGACAAUCGCCUACUACCAUGGGGUCCUAUUCAUCCAACCCCAUUGGGAACUUUUCAUCCACACUCAACCAACCGGCUAGGUCAACUUACCAUGUCUCGACUCGUUCUACGUAGCGCGCGCAGUAGCAACGUGCACUCUUCAUCGAGAGGCAACCCAACUGGCUAUGUCUCGCACGGGGGCUCAAUCGAUCGGCUUUAGUAUGCAGCAGCACAACGAUCGAUCGCUCGGGUUCGGUUAGCAGCAGCAGCAAAGAAAUCGGUCGGGUUCAGUUAGCAGCGAAGGAAUCGCUCGGGUUCAGUUAGCAGUGAAGGGAUCGAUCAAUCGGCUUCAGUAUGUAGUGGUAUCGAUCUCUCGUGUUCAGUAGUACAGCUAGUGCGAUUUCUCGGGUUCAGUUAGCCAACGCCUUUCGCACACACGCGCGUACGAGAGAAACGCGCAAACCACACUGUAUCGCUUGACCCCGACCACCUAUCGUAACCAGGAACGUCCCAAAAUUUUCCUCGCCCUCACUUCUACCACGAUUUUUUACGUCAUGGACGGCCCAAAGAAUGUCAUGCAAGUGCGUUUCCGACCUGCCCAGGACGAAAAUAUCAUUUUUUGUCAUAAUUUGUUGUCAUAGAAGUAUGAGCCCACCACAUCUAUGAUGAUACGUGUUUUUGUCACAAUUAUUAUUGGGAAACAUAGUAGAAAACAAAAAAGAUCCACAUCUACAACCACCCAAAAUCAAUAUCAAGAUGCAUAACGGGUUGGGAUCACGAUCGUUACCAUCACCGAGUUGCAGCGGAAGAAGAACGUGUCGGUGUAGAUCGUACUUGGAAUCCUUCGAAUAAUCGAUGAACAAUCCCUCAUACCGCCCAUGAGUAGUCCCUCGAACUGAAGACCGAAAGCAUGACCUCUCUACUUGGUUGCAAGCGUGCAACCUUCACGAUCCGACAGCACUUCAUCGUUAAGAGCUAAUCGUCGCCGGAGAAUUAGAGGAAGGAGAUUAUAACCACACUAGGCUUCUAAUUAUGAAGACAAGAGGGUUAGUCUAGCUCUAAUUAGUCAACUGGGACCAACUAGAACUAGAACCGUAAGAACUAGAGGAGGCUCCAAAACUUGUAUGAACAAUAGAGUAAAAAACCCUAGUAUAUAUAGGUCGGAGGAGGAGGAGAGCGCAGGCACCAAGCGGGGAAAGUUCCCCCUUGGGGCGCCCGCCAUAGGGGGGUAGUUGGACUCCUCCCCUAGUCCAAUUCCCCUCCCCCCACACACAAGGAAAGGGGGCGCCACUUCCUUAUGGGCCUAUGUGGCCCAUAACUCCCUCCAUCUCUUGGCCUUUUUAGGCCCAUUGAUAUUUAAAUUAAAUAUAAAAUGUUCUAAAUACCUCUAGACCAUUUCAUAUAUAUUUUGACAUCUUUGGAAACAUUUUCCACCUAUAUAUAAUUUAUCGGUAAUACGCGGUAUUACCCCAUACUCAGCGAAACCCUUCCGGUGACCCCAAACGCUUCUGAAUCCCCUCGAAAAUAUUAAUAAAAUAUUUACACAAAUAUAUUCUCACGCUCCCGUCCUACUAACACUCAGCAUAUCGUGAUUUCCUUAAGCUUGUGACCCCGUAGGUUCGGUAACUCAUAGACAUGAACGAACCGUUCGUUCAAUGACCGACAACGGGACCGUGGACGUCCGUAUCGGUUCCUAUGAGAACACAAGCGAUAUUCAAGUGAACCUUAGGUUAUCAUGUGAGGUUCCCUUUGCUUCUUGAUACUUCACAAAACCCGGGAUGCAUCAACAUCCUCCUGAGUCAUUACCAUGCUCACUAUACCGAAAUCCUCGUUACUGGUUUUGUUCUUCUUUCUCGUUAUUGUGUUUUGGCAUCCCCGUGACGAAGUCACGUGUGUCUGGCCAGACGAUGAGCGAUGCCGUCACACCAAGAGGGACCUAAGAAUAUCUCUCCAUCAUCGGAGGAGCAAAUCCCACUCUUGAGCUAUCCGGCCACUUGUCAAACUUUCCGAUGAGCCUGUAAGUUAUCGUUAUGAUCAUGGUGUUGCAUGUGACGUUUGAGCAACCCCAAAGUCCACAGUAUGAUAAGAAGUGACCACGAUACUCUCAUGGUCUAAGGAGCAAAAUCACACGUUAAUGCUUUGUGUUACUACAAUUAAAAAUUGAUUAUAGAGGAUAUUAUCUCAAUUCAUAACAAACAAGAUUGGGUCAAUCCAAUAUGAUCUUUCUUCCAACGUCAUAAUCUCAAUGUUGUUUUAGGAUUACUGUUACACUUAACGAUAUUCUAAGAUCCGAAAAACAUGAUCACCAACAACACUUGAGCUAGUCUUAGAGGCGAGACUAGGAACUUUUAUUUUAUCUGUUUACCAUUUCACACGUGCAUAUGAGUUUUCCACUGAAUCACAUAUUCCAGGAUCAUAGCAGUUAUGGCAUAGAAUAUAAACACUUAAUUAUGAACAUGAAAAAAUAAUAAUAGGAUAUUAUUGCCUCCAGGGCAUAUUUCCAACAAUCUCCCACUUGCACUAGAGUCAAUAAUCUAGUUAGCACUUUUAACUUUUACACCAAUGGCAAUCCGAUGUGGUAUAGACUUUGUCCAAUCAAAUAUGAAACUUUUUAGAUCCGUGUGUAUCAUUUGCAUUUCAAUGCAUCUGUCAUGCUUUCAGAUGAAUUCAUAAUUUAUGUGAAACAAGCUUAGUAUAUAUUGAAUCACUGGCGAGACCUUUGAUUGCUUAGAUUGAGCCAUAGAACCACUAUUGAGAACAAUGUUCUGUUUUGCACAAUCAUCUAGAAAUCAUACUAAGUUCAUCAAUGAACCUUUUGAUUCAUCACCCUCUAUUGUUGCUUCUAAAGCGACAAUAUACUUAGCCUUCUGUUGUAGAAUUCACCACAAUAACUUUCUUGGACCAAUUCCAACUUACUGUGCCACCAUAAAUCAUUCAACUGAAAUCGAUUUGCUUGGAGCACCGAUCGAAAAAUCACCACAAUAAUUGAUGUGACUCCUUAUAACAAUCUCUUCAUUUUCUCUGUAUGCGAGAAACAUGUUGUUAGUACUCAACGACAUUUGUACUGUUGUCCUAUGACCAACAAUUUGACCAUUCCGGUAACUUUAGUCACAACUUACUUGGAGUACUGGACAUAUCUAGUUAUUUACAUACCAUGGAAUUAACUCAAGCGUGAUUGAAAUCAUGUAUUUCAUUCAUCAGUAUUUCAAGAUACCGAUUCUUGCUAAGAACUCCUUCCAUGUGACUUUGUCAAGAAACUCUUCUUGGCAUUUUUCUUACUAAACUUUAGUACUUUGUGUAAGUGCAUCUAGUGCCACCCCUAGUUGGUUUUGGAGUAUUGACGACAAACUUGGUUGAGGGACUAAUGUGUUUGUGAGAAUUGCAGGAUAACACAGGUAGUAGUCCCUCAUUGAUUCGGUUUACCUACCAGAGAUGACCCCUAAAAAUGUAUGAAGACAUUGAAGACAAUGGUGGUUCGUGAAGAUAUUCACUCGAAGAUAAUGACCUGUGAAGACAUUCACUUGAAGACUAUGGAGUGCGAAGACAUAGCUGUUUUGUAGUUUCCUCUUCUUGUUUAUUGAGUCAUAGGAACCACCGUACUGUUAAGUGGGGUCCAAGUGAACAAAGUCAGAUGACUGAUGUGAUGCUCAACCAAAAUCCUAUGUCUUCAAGCGAAGACAAUGAGAGCAAAUCUUAGCCAGAGUUGGAUGAGUCAGCUUUGCUUGUAGCCCAAGCCAAGCUGCCGUGUGUGUUUGAAAUCCGACCGUUGGACACGUGUCGGUUCCAUAGUGACCUAGGGUCAUUUCAGACAUAUCAGGUCGGGUUGCCUCCUGGCUAUAAAUAGCCCACCCCUACACCAUAAAUCGGUGGCUGCUCAAAAUUAGUGCAUGACUUUUGUUGUUCGAGAGCAACCCACCUCCGAAGCCUUUGAGAGAUAGAGAUCCUUGCGAGGACAAAGCCCAAAACACCCAGAGCCAAAGAGUGUUAGGCAUCACUGAAGUCUUUCUGUCCGCGUGACCUGAAGACUUAUUACACUUGAGGACUGUGAAUCCUCCAGCCGGUUAGGCGUCGCGUUUUGAGCAUCCAAAAGUCAUUGUGGAUCGCCGGUGAACGAAGUUUGUGAAGGUUCGGAAGUCUACCUUGAAGACUUACCAGAGUGAUUGGGCGAGGACUGGGUGUCCUUAGCUCAAGGGGAAUAAGGUGAAGACGCGGUCUUCUGAGUUCAAUCUCAACCUCCCUAACCAGACGUACAGUUGUCACAGCAACUGGAACUGGUCUACCAAAUCCUUGUCUUCACCAAGCAACUGGUUCUAUCCCAUACUUCCUUUACUUUUCAGUUUGUCUUCGUGAAGUCAUUGCUUGCUUGCCUGAUCUGAUUGACUUCACUGUGUGAAGACUAUUACCUGUUUGGCUUCAUACUGUCUUCCAUUCUGAUCCACACUACCUAGCUGCUGAUAGUCUUCGUGCUUUCACAAUACUGCUCAUUUGACUAUGGCUUGUCUAGUGUAGCCUAUCUUCCGCUGCAUAUCAAUAGGUUCAUUUCCUCUAUUUGUCUUCAAAGACCUCGUGUUUUGAAGACUUUUAUAAAAAUUGCCUAUUCACCCCCCGCUAGUCGAUAACUAGCACUUUCAAUUGGUAUCAGAGCAAGGUGCUCCCUUGUUCUGUGUGAUUCGGUUUAACCACCUGGAGUUUUAGCUAUGUCGACUGUAGGGAUAAUCAAGGUCUCCACUGCGUGCCCAGUCUUCGAUGGCACUGAUUACCCCUACUGGAAGAAUAAGAUGCGCAUGCAUCUUGAAGCCAUUGACAUUGACCUCUGGUUUGUCGUCAAGACAGGCGUUCCCAAGGUCGGUGAAGGUGUCACCGCUGCUGAUGUCAAGAGGUUCGCUCAACUGGACUCGAUCGCCAAGAAGAUCAUCUGUGGUCAUCUGACCAAAGGACAGUAUGGCCAUGUGAGUGCACUGGAAACUACGAAGCUAGUCUGGGACUGGUUGUCCAAGGUCAACGAAGGCAUCUCAACUCAGAGAGACUCGAGGAUUAAUGUUCUUCGCAAUCUCUUCAACCACUUCAAGAGAAACGACAAUGAGAAUGUCCAGCUCACAUUUGGUCGUCUCACUGAUAUCACAAAUGAGCUUCGCGCUCUUGGCGCCACUGAGAUCACUGAGGGAGUCCUGGAUUAAGGGGUCCUCGGACGUCCGUGCUAUGUGACGUGGGCUAGACUAAUGGGCCAUGAAGAUACAAGAUAGAAGACUUCCUCCCGUGUCCGGAAGGGACUCUCCUUUGCGUGGACGGCAAGUUUGGCGUUCGGAUAUGUAGAUUCCUUCCUCUGUAAACCGACUCUGUACAACCCUAGGCCCCUCUGGUCUAUAUAAACCGGAGGGUUUAGUCCGUAGAGGCAACAACAAUCAUACAAGCUAGACAUCUAGGGUUUAGCUAUUACGAUCUCAUGGUAGAUCAACUCUUGUAAUCCUCAUAUUCAUCAAGAUCAAUCAAGCAGGAAGUAGGGUAUUACCUCCAUCAAGAGGGCCCGAACCUGGGUAAACAUCGUGUCCCCCGUCUCCUGUUACCAUCAACCUUAGACGCACAGUUCAGGACCCCCUACCCGAGAUCCACCGGUUUUGACACCGACAUUGGUGCUUUCAUUGAGAGUUCCGUUGUGUCAUCGCCAGAAGGUUCGAUGGCCCCGUCGAUCACCUGCAACGAUGCGGCCUUGAGGGAGGUCUUUCUCCCUGGCCAGAUCUUCUUAUUCGGCGGCUUCACACUGCGGGCCAACUCGCUUGGCCAUCUAGAGAAGAUCGGUAGCUACGCCCAAGGUCACCAAAUCAGUUUUGGAAACCUAGAUUAUGUCGCUGAUAUCCGAGGAGACUUGAUCUUCCAAGGGUUCACGACCCCAACCUCCACUCUGGCCUUAGAUCCAGAGCGCGUUGCCAGGUCCGAAGACGGAUUUCUUGAGUCCGCCGGACUAUCUGCGGCCACCAGGCCCAUUACGGGAGAGCCGGAGGAAGUUGUGUCGCCGGCUACCAUUAGAAAGCCGAACUCUUCCCCGGACACUGGCUCCGAACCCUCGGAGUCAGCAUCGUGUGAGCUCGGCCAAGGAGUCUCUUCCUCGCCGUACUCCACGGACUCUCUCCUCCCUGGACAAAACUCGCCUUUAAGCGAGGCUCUGGACUUGAUGCGAUCCCUUGUCAUUACAGAGGAGCAACGUCCGAACUACGCCCGGCCCGGAUUAGGGGCUGAAAGCAGGGACUUCUAUGUCCCACCCACCAUCCACUUCGUAGCCACUAUCAAGGACUUAACUGACAUGCUCAAUUAUGGCUCCGAAGACAUCGACGGUAUGGACGACGAUGCCAGAGAAGAGCAGGCCCAAACCCCGCCGUUUACCGGACGCUGGACGACCACCUCUUCGUAUGACGUGUACAUGGUGGAUACACCCAAAGAGGGUGACGGCGAUAACGAGAAGAAUGCAGUCGAGGAUAAACCUCCUGAAGUACAACCAAAGCGCCGACGUCAGCGGCGCCGCUCUAAAUCACGCCGUGGAAAAGACAGUGAUACCAGCACAAGAGACAACAAUACUCCGGACGAUGCUGAAGACCAAGAAGAACCCGUCGAGCCAACCUCCGAACAAGACGAUCGGGAAGAUGGGCAAGUUAGCCCUAAUGAACAGGCCGUAAAUGAAGACUCGGAGGAUAGCAAUUAUCUUCCACUCUCCGAGGAGGAGGCAAGCCUCGGCGACCAAGACUUUAUCGUGCCUGAGGAACCUCUCGAGCAGGAGCGCUUUAAGCACCGGCUAAUUGCCACUGCAAGGAGCCUGAAAAAGAAACAACAACAGCUUCAAGCUGAUCAAGAUCUGCUCAACGAUAGGUGGACUAACAUCGUGGCAGCCGAGGAAUACAGCCUCGAGCGCCCAACCAAAAGCUACCCGAAGCGUAAACUACUACCUCAAUUUGACGACGAGGCACUUGAGCCCGUACCGUCAGCACGUAAUGCGGCUGACCGACCACCACGUGGCCGGGAUAAACCGACAACUCAAGCGGAACACCAGCCCAUACUAUCUCGCCGUAAAGGUCGAGACACAAUAGCUCGGGGAUACACAUAUGACCUACGACAGGACCUGGAGAAUAGAGCAGGUCCGACCAGGUCGAUCUAUGGAUCGCGGGGGCGUGCCCCGACGCGCAAUGAUGGCCAUCUAGCCGAACGUGACAAGCAUAAUCACGUCCGGGCCGAAAACCGCAGACGGACUCCAUCCGAGCUACAUCGCGACUUGGCCCGAUAUAGAGGCACCGCACACCCCCUCUGCUUCACUGAUGAAGUAAUGGAACACGAAUUCCAAGAAGGGUUUAAACCCGUAAAUAUCAAAUCAUAUGAUGGAACAACAGAUCCCGCGGUAUGGAUUGAGGACUUUCUUCUCCAUAUUCAUAUGGCCCGUGGUGAUGAUCUUCACGCCAUCAAACACCUCCCACUAAAAAUCAAGGGGCCAGCUCGGCACUGGUUGAACAGCCUGCCUGAAAACUCUAUUGGCAGCUGGGAGGACUUGGAAGAUGCCUUCCGCGACAACUUCCAAGGUACAUACGUCCGACCUCCGGAUGCCGAUGACUUAAGUCACAUAGUUCAACAGCCCGGAGAGUCAGCCAGGAAAUUCUGGACUAGGUUCCUAACUAAAAAGAACCAGAUUGUCGACUGUCCGGAUGCCGAAGCCCUAGCGGCCUUUAAGCAUAGCAUUCGUGAUGAAUGGCUCGCCCGACACCUCGGCCAAGAAAAGCCGAUGUCCAUGGCAGCCCUCACGACACUUAUGACCCGCUUUUGCGCGGGCGAAGAUAGCUGGCUAGCCCGUAGCAAUAAUAAUGCAAGCGAAUCGGGCACCUCUGAAGCCAAGAAUAGCAACAGCAAGCCCCGACGCAACAGUCAUAAGCGUCGAAACAAUGGUGACAAUACUGAUGACACGGCGGUCAACGCCGGAUUCAGUGGCUCCAAGUCCGGUCAGCGGAAGAAGCCAUAUAGAAGGAACAAUCCGGGCUCUUCUAGCUUGGACCGCAUACUCGAUCGUCCAUGUCAGAUCCACGGCACCCCCGAUAAACCAGCGAAUCAUACCCACAGAAGCUGUUGGGUCUUUAAAUAGGCCGGCAAGGUAAAUGCCGAAGACAAGGAGAAGGGGUCGCAAAAUGAGAACGACGAUGAUGAGCCCCGUCCGCCGAACACAGGGGGACAGAAGAAGUUUCCCCCCCAGGUUAAAAUGGUGAACAUGAUAUACGCUACCCAUAUCCCCAAGAGGGAGUGCAAACGCGUGCUUAGGGACGUCUACGCGAUAGAGCCAGUCGCCCCAAAAUUCAACCCAUGGUCGUCUUGUCCGAUCACCUUCGAUCGCAGGGAUCAUCCGACCAGUAUCCGUCACGGCGGUUCAGCCGCACUGUUCCUCGACCCAAUCAUUGAUGGAUUCCACCUUACGCACGUCCUCAUGGACGGCGGCAGCAGCCCCAACCUGCUCUACCAGGAUACAGUCCGCAAGAUGGGCAUCGAUCCGUCAAGGAUCAAGCCCACAAAAACUACCUUUAAAGGAGUGAUACCAGGUGUGGAGGCCCGCUGCACGGGCUCAGUCACUUUGGAAGUCGUCUUCGGAUCUCCGGACAACUUCCGAAGUGAAGACUUGAUCUAUAACACCCCAGAUGUAACUUUCCAUAUUUGUAACUCCAACUCUUGCCAUUUUCGGCUAUGUUUUAUGAUAUUCCCUCCGUGGUUGGGUUUUUUUUCGUUUUGCAUUUUGUUCUUGUCAUGCAUCUCAUAUCAUGCCAUCAUGUGUAUCUCAUUUGCAUACGUGUUCGUCUCAUGCAUCCGAGCAUUUUCCCCGUUGUCCGUUUUGCAAUCCGACACUCCUACGUACACCGGCGCACCCCUCUUGUUUCUUUUCGUGAGCGGGUGUUGAACGUUCUCGGAAUGGACCGAGUCUUGCCAAGUGGCCUUGGUAUACCACCGGUAGACCACCUGUCAAGUUUCGUUCCAUUUGGAGGUCGUUUGAUGCUCCAACGGUUAACCGGGUAACCGCAAAGUCCCUUUGUGUGUUGCAGCAAAACCCCCCUCCAAACAGCCCAAAACCCACCUGUCGUGGAAUUGUCACGGCAGAUGUCCUCGUGCAAGGACUUAGUCGUGGAGCCAUUGCAACUAGGAAGCUUAAAGGGGUUAAACGGGACAAAGGACACGAGGAUUAUACUGGUUCGGCCCCUUACGGUGAAGGUAAAAGCCUACUCCAGUUGAGGUGGAAUUACUUGGGGUUUCGAUGACCAGGGAGCUAAACCGCUUUGCCUGGCUAUCGAUCUGAUGUUACUUGCCCUGAACUGUCGCCGGGUCAUCCCUUUAUAUAGAAAGGUUUAACGCCCAGCGGCUCUCAGAGUCCCGGCCGGCUCAUAAACUGUGUACGGCUUGGACUCUUAACUAUUCUUGCCUUACACUACAAGUCAUGCCACAACGGCGGUUUACCACCACGGGCCUUAAGUUGCCUCCGGGCCUUAGACCUAUUACUAAACCGCCAUCCUUAACCUGUCCUUCGGCUUCUGAAUGAAGAGCUAUCGCAACGUAACCCGGCCCAUCUCAGGCGGGUUACACCAGUGGCUAUAUCCUCAACAUUAGGCCCCAGAUUGAUUUGAUCCGGUUCAUGUCAAUCUUCAAUACCUUAAGAGAAAAUCUUCCGGCUUCUGUUUGCGCGAAGGUUAUAACCCGCCAUGACGUCAUCCUCUGGAUUCUUGGUAACCCGCCGUGACAUCAUCCACCAUUAAUACGUGUUCUGUCCAACGCAUCUCAUCGGAUCCUUAUCUUAAUAACUGUCCCGAAAAUCGAGGCGCCUUUGCAGUGGAUAAUCACGUUUUCAGCCUCCUCGUUUCUCGCGCCCACUCAUCAGCUGUCCCUUAUAAAUAGGCCCGACCGGGUCCUCUCUCACUCUUCCCUUUCCAUCGUCUUCCUCCUCUCAACGCUCCAGAACCCGAGCUCCGCCGCCGCCGCCGCGCCUCUCGUCUUCCUCAGCCUCGGCCGCUGCAUCAACCUGAGCUGGUCCAGAGAACGGCGACGACUCUCCGCAGUGAACCUGCAACCGUAAGUCUUCUUCUUCUCGAACGUCAGAUCCGCAUUAGGGUUCCACGCUUUCUCCGUGUUCUUCGUAGUUCAUCUCGGUUCCUUCAUAGUUCCUCCACCGCGAUUCCUUUUGAUUCGAAAAACAGUACAGACCUCCUGCGGUAGUUGUUUCACACCCAUUUUCAACACUAGUAGAUCCCUUUUGUUUGCAAAAAGACCUCAUUUAGAGCUCUCGAACUUCUCUGUAUCAGUUUUUAGGUCUAGAAAUUUUCCUUUUCUGGACGAUCGUUUGAUCCAAAAUAAUCCCUGCAAUCUGUGAAACUUGUUUGUGCAACACUUGGGCAAAAAUUGCAUCUGUUAGCCAUGGCGGCUCAUAUCGCCGACUUAAAAGAGGCCAUGCUUUGUGAAAUUUCCGGAUUAUUCGUAAUAGAGUUAAAUAACUUAAUUGCUCAUGAUAUCCACGGCGGCUUAAGUAACCUGACAUAAUUAACCAUAUAUCAUUAGGCCCUUUCAUAAGCCGCCAUCUUGAAUACUGAACUGAAAUUUUCCUCCGGCUUAAGUUUGAAGCGGAAAUUUUAUUUUGUCAUAGGCUUCCAUCUUUCACAAUGCCGCCCAAAGCUCCCAAGGCGCCCAUUACGUGCAAUUGGGUUAGAUCCAAUGUUACUGAUAGCACCUUGGCUGACUUCGUGAAAACGGGUUACCUGCCCAAGAAAGAAGUCAUGUCCUAUCGUGCUCCUGACCCGUCCGAAGAGAGACCACAACCCAAGGACGGAGAGGUUGUCAUAUUUGCUGAUCACAUGAGCCGGGGCUUUGCUCCUCCCGGCUCAAAAUUCUUCAGAGAUGUUCUGCACUUUUUCGACCUGCGACCUCAAGACAUUGGACCCAAUUCCGUGUCAAACAUUUGUAACUUCCAAGUGUUCUGUGAGGUGUACCUUGGAGAAGAGCCCAGCUUGCUACUCUUUAGAGAGUUAUUCUAUCUGAACCGCCAAAAUGAAUGUGCCAAUGGGCCCAGCCUGGAGCUCGGUGGAAUUUCAAUCCAACGACGGAGAGAUUGUCUCUUCCCCUAUGCUGAGCCGCCAAGCCACCCAAAAGAUUGGAACCAGACGUGGUUCUACUGCCAAGACACUUCUCCGGCUGAUGAGAACCCUCUGCCCGGCUUUCGCGCCCUGCGUCUGGAGUCAAAUCACCCCUUGCCAGAUAAACUAUCUCAAGCUGAACGUCUGCCACUUACUCCCACCAUUAACAAGAUCAAAGCUCUUCUGGGGAACAGCCUGAAUGGCAUUGAUCUAGUCUGGGUCUGGAUUGCUUGGCGGGUGAUUCCUUUAAGCCGCCGCCCCGGCUUAAUGUGCGAUUACAUGGGCCGGAAGGAUGAUCCUCUUCGGCACAGUCCCAACGACUUACCUGAGGACGUCAUUGAUGACAUGACCAAGUCUCUUCUGAACGAGAGCCUGGCAGAUUGCGGGAGAACAGGCUUAAGUCCUUUCUGCAAGGCUAACUUGGCCCCAGCGGUAAACUAUUGACCUGAACACCUCUCCUUCCAUUUUAACGAUUUCGUCUUAACUUCAAGGACCUUUGUUGUAUUUUACAGGCUAAUGAUAAAUUCUGGAAGGUCAAGUAUGACCAUGAAGCUGCCAAGAAAGCCAGAAAGGUUAAGAAAGCCGCCAGGAGAGCCGCUCCCCGUAAGAAGGGGAGUAAACCUAGCGCCUCGGACCUGCUUCGUCUGGAAGACACCUCCGAGUCAGAGGUAGCUCUUGAUUCUUUAGGCUCUUUUCUUAAUCAUCUUAUUGACAUGGAUUAUCAGCAGGAGGACACCGGAACGAGUCAUGAAGUGAAUGAAGAGGUAACUAUAAUUUCCUCCGACUCCGAGCCUUUGCCGAGACGGAAAGUCCGAAGAGUAACCCGGAAAGUAAGAUUUUCACAUCCUUUAGCUUAUCAAGAUCCUCAAUUUCUUUUGAAGCGACAGAUUUAUGAGAGCCGGAGGCAGACCCGGACCAGCAAAGAUGCAGACCUCUCCUCCGGCUUACCCGAAGCAUCAAGAAAGCGCCGGACUGAGGUUAUCUCCGACUUAUAUCCUUUUCAUCCUUUGGCGGGCGUCACUCGUCAACCACUCAAUUCUUCUGAUCCAAACUACCAGGGAACUUCUCCUUCCUCCGACGACUCAAUGCAGUCUAGCUUGCCGGCUUUCAAAACCGCACCCAGGUAAUGAUGAUUAGCUUAUUUUCUGCUUAUCUUACUCAUGUUUUUGCGCCAACCCUUUGACUUUCAGUGUACAAGUAAAGCCCAGCAAGAGGACAAAGAAAAAUAAGCCAGCCAAAGAGCCGGUCCUGACUGAACCUGAUGCUUCUGCUCAUGAGCCGCCGUCUGCACCAGCUCCUGGAACCGCCACUGCUCCAUCUGAUGAACAAGUUAUGGAAGGUUCUGAUAACCCGGAGAUCCCCAGCCCGGCUCAUCCAGAUGAUCCGGACGUUGUAAUCACCCGGACCGAGUUUGUCGAACCGGGAAGACCCACCGUGUUGGCUAGAUGCUCUGCCAAGGAAGAACUUCUGGAACGCCGCAGGGCCAGGCUGGACAUCACUGAUUAUGCUAAUCUGAGCAUUGGAGAUAUUGUCUCUGGCUAUAUUAAUCAAGUGCACAACAGCCGGGACCUGGAAAUUGAUAUGGCGAAGCAAAUACAGCAAAAGUCUGAGGUAUGUCUCUCUUGCUUACUCCAUAGUUAUCCUUACCAUGCCAGCCCCCAAGUCUAUUACUUAUGAUGAAAUAUGUUAUAGACUUAAUACCGGCUUAAUAAUCACUGCAAGAAAACCGGCUUACCUGGAACACUCAAGGGUCGGUUUAAACAGCAUAGUUGAACCGGUCCUUACCUUAUUUUAAUUCAAGUAGUUGAGCAACUUUAUGCAUUAGCCCCCAAGUGCCAAGUACCUUUGCCUGCAAAGUGCUUGGGACUUAUUUUCAUGAACUGGCACUGUAAAUAGAGCUUUUCAGCAUACAUUAGCCCCCAAGUGCCAAGUGUCUUUGCUUGCAAAGUGCUUGGGACUUAAUGUUGCAUUAUAAUCACCCUAACUGUAACCCGGAAUUUGUACAGGCCGCCUGUAAGAAAUUUGAAUCGGAAAUCUCUGAUCUAAAGAACCGCCUAAAGACUCAGGAAAGUGAGACCCAAAAGGCCAACUCCAAAUUUGAAGUCAGCAUAUCUGCACAAGAGAAACUGAAGAAGAAGUUUGAAGCAGAAAGAAAAGCCUGGGCGGAUGAAAAAACUGCUUUGCUCAGCCGGGCCGAACAAGCGGAGGCCACUCUUACUGAAAGAACCGCCGAGCUAUCCGGCUUAAAACGCCAUGUAUCUCAGAUGGUCUCCGCAAUCUUUGGUAAGUUACUCUGUAAGUUUCUAGCUAGUUUACAUCGUUCAUUUCCCAUAAGUAUCUCAAUUGCCAUCAGCUCACCUGACUUUGUAAUGCAGGUCCCAGGAGUUCCAAUCUCAACCAGAACGUGCUGACCAAGCUGAAGGCGGUUUAUACCCAGGUAGAACAACUUUACACCGGGUCACAACGUGCCUUAGCCGUUGUGGCUCUGUCAAACGAAGUUCCCACUCAUCUGGCGGAUGUACUCAGGCGGCUUGCCGUGCUUCCGCAAUGCUUCCAAGAGUUAAGACGACCUUCUGCAAGAGCCGGAGCCAUAGCUGCUCUAAGCCGGGCCAAGGAAUUUAUAUCGGAGCUAGACCCGGCUGACAUCGCCCUUGGGUAUCCUAGCUUGAAGGGAAGAUGGCACUCCCUUUGACCAGAAAGACUUCGCCGCUUGUGUGAAGAGCAUACGCCCGAUGGCCACUUUGAUUGGUAAUGACACAGACCUUACCAAAUAUCAACCGGGCUAUGACGCGGAGAAUCAGAGGAUCCCAACACCUCGUUAUGAAGCAGUCAGCCUGAUUCCUCCGACUCGUAAGCAUACCUUCGCCCCUGAAGUUGACCCGACCGGGUUAAUUGAUGAUGAAGCUCAAUUUGAAGCCUUGAGUGGCAUUGACUGGAAAUCAUCAACCUUCCAGGACAUGGAAACAGCUGGAGGAGCGGGGAGGGAUGAGCCGGAAGCUUCAGCCCAACAAGCACCUUUGAUUUCUUAGGCGGCUCAUGGUUAUGUCUCAAAAACAAUGCCUCACCUUUUGGACUCGGGGAGUCCUGUAAUAGAGUAGGACAAACACUUAAUUUUGUCGUGCCAUCGUGCACGUGUGUAGCGCUUAACUCUAUUUAAACUGCCCAUUUAUAUUCUUCCGGGUUAUGUUUGACCCUCUGCUUUCCUUAAGUUUAAAGAGCUGUCUUUAACUGUCCUGCAGAGAAAACAAAUCACAAGUCUCUAGGCGGCUUACCGCAUGGAGAGUCAUAUAUUUUACAUAUAACCCGGAAUAUGAAUCAAAGUCAUAAUAAACCGGCUCUCAAUUAUGUCUUCGAGAUAACCAUAACAGCAUACUUGCGAGCCUUCAAGUACACUUUCGGCUUAUGUAACCCGAAUAAUGAGGUUGAGAACUCAACUCCGGUUCACCAGCACAUAUAAUGCCUAUUAUGUGCUAUCAACAUUAUUAAUCAAGGUUAAGCCGGUGGAAUAAGAACCACCCUUGAAUACUUUUGAUAUCAUCAAAAGAACUGGUUUGCAAAUCAAGAGAUCUCAAAAAUUUAGGGGCUUCUGAUUCGAAUACGACCAGAGAACCGUCCCAAAGGGGUUAAGCUAAGAUUUGAAUGCGAUCAUAUAGCCCCCAGUGGCUUUGGCGUUGCCGAUCAAGAGGGUACCGACAGCUAUGUUCUCUUUGGUUCAAAUACGACCUAUGUUUGAACAGGAAGCCCCCAAAUGACCUUGAGAGUUGUUUAACAACGCUGAUUCGAAUACGAUCCACGUCAGUUCCCAAAGGGGGUUGAGCUAUGAUUUUAUUUGAUCAAGAAAAACUCCCCAAUGAGCUCGGCAAUAUGCCAAUCAAGUGGGCAUCGACAACUAUGUUCUCUUUGGUUCGAAUACGACCUAUGUUUGAACAGGAAGCCCCCAAGUGAUCAUAUUUUUAACGGCUAGAUUCGAAUACGAUCAUAAGCCGGAUCAACCUCCAAGUGACCACGUAAUAUUACAAUGAAAGUAACAAUGAUACAUUUACCUUUGGAGGGAAAAAAGGACAGAGGUCCUGCUUUAUUAUUUAUCAUAAUAUAUACAUGGCUAUAGAAAUAUGUACAUCAUGAGAGCCGGUGGCUCAAGUGUAAUAAGGCCGAAGCUGAGCUAUGUUCCACGGCCGGCGGGUCUCCUCCUCCGACUUACGUGAAUCUUUGUGCUCCCGAACAUCGAUAAGGUAGUAUGACCCGUUGUGCAAAUUCUUGCUGACCACAAAGGGCCCUUCCCAAGGUGGGGAUAGCUUGUGUGCAUCUGUUUGAUCCUGGAUGAGCCGGAGCACCAAAUCACCUUCCUGAAAGACCCUGGACUUAACCCGGUGGCUGUGGUAGCGGCGCAGGUCUUGUUGGUAAAUCGCCGAGUGAGCUGCUGCUAUGUCACGCUGUUCGUCCAACAAGUCAAGAGCAUCUUGACGCGCUUGCUCACUAUCUGCCUCGACAUAAGCCGCCACUCGAGGCGAAUCAUGACGGAUGUCACUAGGGAGGACCGCCUCAGCUCCGUAAACCAUGAAGAAAGGCGCGUAACCCGUAGACCUGUUAGGAGUAGUAUUGAUGCUCCAUAAUACGGAGGGUAACUCCUCCACCCAACAACCUGGCGUCCGUUGCAAAGGGACCAAAAGCCGGGGCUUGAUGCCCUUCAAGAUUUCCUGAUUGGCUCUCUCAGCUUGACCAUUGGAUUGAGGGUGAGCCACUGAUGAAACAUCAAGCCAAAUAUGCUCUCGUUGACAAAAUUCCUCCAUGGCGCCUUUAGACAGAUUGGUACCAUUGUCAGUUAUAAUGCUGUGUGGAAAACCAAAGCGAAAUAUCACCUUUUUCAUGAACUGGACCGCCGUGGCUGCGUCACGCUUACUAACUGGCUCUGCCUCUACCCACUUUGUGAACUUGUCAACCGCCACCAAGAGGUGGGUCUUCUUAUCCUUGGACCUUUUGAAAGGCCCAACCAUAUCAAGCCCCCAGACUGCAAACGGCCAAGUGAUUGGAAUCAUCCUCAACUCUUGAGCCGGCACGUGAGCCCGUCUUGAGAACUUUUGACAACCGUCACACUUACUGACCAAGUCUUCUGCAUCAGCAUGAGCCGUCAGCCAAUAAAAACCAUGGCGAAAAGCUUUGGCCACAAGGGAUUUUGAGCCGGCAUGAUGGCCACAAUCCCCCUCGUGAAUCUCACGUAGAAUUUCUUGACCUUCCCCAGAGGAAACACAACGCUGAAAAGCUCCCGUGACACUGCGAUGAUGCAGCUCGCCAUUGAAAAUUACCAUUGACUUAGACCACCGGGUUAUUUGUCUGGCCAAAGUUUCAUCCUCAGGCAAUUCUCCCCUGGGUCAUAUAAGCCAAGUAUGGCACUAUCCAAUCUGGGAUAACGUGGAGAGCCGCCACCAACUGUGCUUCUGGGUCAGGAACAGCCAAGUCUUCCUCUGUGGGCAACUUGACAGAAGGGUUAUGCAGAGUAUCCAAGAAAGUAUUAGGCGGCACCGGCUUUCGCUGAGAGCCCAGCCGGCUUAAUGCAUCAGCCGCCUCGUUCUUUCUGCGAUCAAUGUGCUCUACUUGGUAACCCUAAAAAUGUCCAGCAAUGGCAUCAACUUCGCGGCGAUAAGCCGCCAUGAGGGGGUCCUUGGAAUCCCACUUGCCUGAUACUUGUUGGGCCACCAAAUCUGAGUCACCAAAGCAUCUUACCCGGCUUAAGCUCAUCUCCUUGGCCAGCCGAAGACCAUGGAGCAAGGCCUCGUACUCAGCUGCAUUGUUAGUACAGGGAAACAUCAACCGUAGGACGUAACAAAAUUUGUCACCUCGAGGGGAAGCUAACACGACUCCAGCCCCCGAGCCCUCCAAUUGCCUGGACCCAUCGAAGUGAAUAGUCCAAUAUGUAUUAUCCGGUUUCUCUUCAGGCACCUGCAGCUCUGUCCAAUCGUUGAUGAAAUCCACCAAUGCUUGAGAUUUGAUAGCAGUGCAUGGCACGUACUUUAGACCAUGAGGCCCGAGUUCUAUGGCCCACUUAGCAACUCUUCCUAUGGAUUCUCUGUUUUGGAUGAUAUCUCCUAGGGGAGCAGAACUAACCACAGUGAUAGGUGGCCCUGGAAAUAAUGCUUAAGCUUCUGGCUUGCCAUGAACACCCCAUAAACAAGCUUCUGCCAAUGUGGAUAUCGUUGCUUAGACUCAAUAAGUACUUCACUGACGUAGUAAACCGGCCGUUGAACCGGAUGUUCCUUACCCGCCUCCUUACUCUCCACCACCACAGCCACACUGACGGCUCGUGUGUUAGCGGCUACAUACAACAACAAGGGCUCUUUAUCGAUAGGAGCAGCAAGGACUGGCGGCUCAGCUAGCUGUCUUUUCAAAUCCUCAAAAGCAGCAUUAGCAGCGUCAUUCCAGACAAAAUCAUCUGUUUUCUUCAUCAUCUGAUAUAGUGGCAUGGCUUUUUCGCCCAACCGGCUUAUAAACCGACCCAAAGCAGCGAUGCGACCCGCCAGACGCUGGACGUCAUUUACGCACGCCGGCUUAGCCAGAGAGGUGAUUGCCUUGAUCUUCUCCGGGUUAGCUUCGAUGCCUCUGUGAGAAACUAGAAAACCCAAGAGCUUGCCUGCAGGAACAACAAAAACACACUUGGCCGGAUUAAGCAUCAUCUUGUAGACCCGGAGAUUAUCAAAGGUCUCUUUCAGAUCAUCUACCAAGGUUUCCUUCUCUCUGGAUUUUACCACAAUAUCAUCCACAUAAGCAUGAACGUUGCGCCCAAUCUGAUUAUGGAGACAAUUCUGCACGCACCGCUGGUAAGUCGCCUGUGCACUCUUGAGCCCAAAAGGCAUAGACACAUAAUAGAAGGCUCCAAAGGGAGUGAUAAACGCCGUCUUCUCUUGGUCCUUAACUGCCAUUUUGAUCUGAUGGUAUCCAGAGUAAGCAUCCAAAAAACUUAAACGCUCACAACCUGCCGUAGCAUCAAUAAUUUGAUCAAUACGGGGGAGAGCAAAAGGAUCAGCCAGACAAGCCUUGUUUAAAUCUGUAUAGUCCACACACAUACGCCAGGUGCCGUUCUUCUUGAGCACGAGCAUCGGGUUAGCUAACCAUUCUGGAUGAAAGACUUCAACGAUAAACCCGGCCGCCAAGAGCCGGGCUACCUCCUCACCAAUGGCUUUCCGCCUCUCCUCAUUAAACCGCCGGAGGAAUUGCCUGAGUGGCUUAAAUUCGGAUCAAUAUUGAGAGUGUGCUCAGCGAGUUCUCUUGGUACACCCGGCAUGUCAGAAGGUUUCCAUGCAAAGAUGUCCCUGUUCUCACGGAUGAACUCGAUGAGCGCGCCUUCCUAUUUCGGAUCCAGAUUGGUACUGAUGCUAAACUGCUUAGAUGAGUCACCUGGAACAAAGUCAACAAGUUUAGUCUCAUCGGCCGACUUAAAUUUCAUUACCGGCUCAUGCUCCGUGGUUGGCUUUUUCAAAGACGUCAUAUCUGCCGGAUCAACGUUAUCCUUGUAAAACUUCAACUCCUCUGUCGCACAAACAAAUUCAGCGUAAGCAGCGUCACCUUCCUCGCACUCCAAAGCUAUCUUUCGGCUUCCGUGAACCGUAAUGGUCCCAUUGUGACCCGGCAUCUUGAGCUGCAAGUAUACGUAACACGGCCGUGCCAUGAACUUGGCGUAAGCCGGCCACCCAAAUAGAGCAUGGUACGGGCUUCUGAUUUUAACCACCUCGAAAGUCAGUUUUUCCGCCCUGUAGUUGUACUCAUCUCCAAAGGCUACUUCCAGUUCGAUCUUACCAACUGGGUACGCCGACUUACCGGGCUCCACACCAUGGAAAACAGUGUUGGACUGGUUGAGGUUUUUAUCAGUCAACCCCAUACGACGGAAGGUCUCAUAAUAGAGGAUGUUGAUGCUACUGCCUCCGUCCAUGAGCACCUUAGUGAAUUUAUAUCCCCCAACCUGAGGAGCCACCACCAAGGCCAUGUGACCCGGAUUAUCAACCCGGGGAGGGUGAUCUUCCCUACUCCAUACAAUAGGUUGUUCAGACCAUCUCAAAUAAUGUGGAACCGCCGGCUCAACAGCAUUCACAACCCUCUUAUGAAGCUUCUGGUCUCGCUUGCACAGACUGGUAGUAAACACAUGAUACUGUCCACUAUUGAGCUGCUUUGGAUUGGUCUGGUAUCCCCCUGCUGCUGCUGCUGAUUACCCUGGCCAGAUUGCUGAUUAAAACCUCCUUGAUUCCCUUGAAAAUUCUGAGGAUUGGAAUUUGAGCCGCCCCCCGGGCCAUGAAAGCCGCCGCCGCCUGAGCCGCCGCCCUGCCCAUUGUUGCCAUUAAAAGCGUUGGAAUUUUUGAAGGCUUUCAUGAUUGCGCAGUCCUUCCAUAGAUGAGUGGCCGGCUUCUCCCUAGAGCCAUGCCUUGGGCAGGGCUCAUUCAACAAUUGCUCAAGCGUCGGGCCUGACCCCCCGGAUCGGGGAGGUUGUCUCCCUUUACGUCGGUGGUUGUUACCCUGCGCAUUGGUGUUGGACACAAACUCCAUACUGCCAUUAGCCUUACGUUUGUUACCUCCCUGGUUCGCCGGGUUAUGCUGAGGGCCCUUGCCGUUGCCAUUCUUCUUUCCCUUCCCUGUCCUUUCAUCAUCGGACGCGGGAUCCUUGGUACUAUCAGAGUCAGCGUACUUGACCAGAGCCGCCAUCAGCGUACCCAUAUCAUUGCAAUUGCGCUUGAGCCGCCCAAGCUUCAUCUUCAGGGGCGCAAAAUGACAAUUCUGCUCCAACAUUAAGACUGCAGAGCCGGCAUCCAUCUUAUCAGACGAAUGUAUUAUCUCUUUGACCCGGCGUACCCAAUGGGUUGUGAACUUGCCCUCUUGUUGCUUGCAGUUAGUCAAAUCCACAAUUGACAUAGAUUGCCUGCAUGUAUCUUUGAAGUUUUGGUGAACCGGGCUUUUAGCUCCGCCCAUGACCCGAUAGAAUUAGGCGGCAAUCCUUUCAACCAAGUGCGGGCAGUCCCAUCCAACAUCAUGGUGAAGUAUUUGGCCAUCGCCGCUUCGCUGACCUCCAGCAACUCCAUAGCCAUCUCGUAGCUCUCAAUCCACGCUCCGGGCUGUAAAUCCGCCGUGUAAUUAGGUACCUUCCUAGGUCCUUUGAAAUCCUUGGGCAGACGUUCGUUACGGAGAGCCGGUACAAGACAGGGGACACCUCCGGUCCUCGUAGCUAUGCCUGCCUCGGUAGAGGCCGCUGGAUAAACCGGGAGGGGUUGGUAAGCCGUCAGCUGAGCCGCCUGCUCCGCCUCUUGACAUGCUCUGUCUCGGUCUACUGCGUUAAAGGCUCCAUUAUGCGCCGGGCCAUGGCCAGCUGGCAAGUCACGGCGCCGGACGUUGCUUGAGCCGGUCGCGGAAACCAUGUGUCUGCUAUAACUUGGGCUCCGGCUUAGACGCGGGGUCGAAUGAAUCCUGUCCCGGCUAUACGAAUAUGCCUCCUGUUGAGCCAGAGCCGUCUGAAGAAGUUCUCUGACCCGGCGGGUUUCGACCGCCGUCGAAGAGUCGCCCUCAACUGGGAGAGCCGCCAGUCGCGCCGCCGCAGCGAUCAUGUUCUCCAACGGAUUGGAAUAGUGACCCGGUGGUAUUGGUACAUAUUGAGGUGGGGCAGUAUUCACACGGGGAGGCCCCAUCACUUGCGGCUGAACCGGCGUUCCAGCCCCGGGUGCCGUGGUUUCUGGCGGGUUACUGGGCCCUGCACCAGACGUAUUGAAGAGGUUUCGAGGAUCGUAAACUGGAGGGAGUCGAGAUUGAGCCUUCUGAUGCCUCCUUCUCAUGAUCUCAUUGGAUGCGUUCUGAUCCAUCGUGAGCCGGAAAGACUGCGCCUGAAUCAGUUGAGUCUGGGCGUCUAGAGCCGCCCGUUCUGUAGCCAUUCUGAUCCCUUCCGCUGCUAGAUCCUCCUUGGCUCGUGCUAUAUCCAGCUUUAACUGUGCCACUUCUGCAUCAUGUUGAGCUUGAUCCGCUGGGACGACCGUGGCAGUUAACAGGGCCGUCAUCUUAUCUGUGAGAUCCAUUAGCACCUGAGCCGGCGAGUGCGCAGGGCCCCCUGCCCCAGCGGCGGGGUUUUGAACAGGUUGUGUGCCGGCCAUGAAGAUUCCAACCCGGCUGGGCGGCUCAAAGGGGUCCGGAAUACUGUCGCCAUCGGAACAACCCCUGAGCCUGCCAUCUUGAAGUUGAUAUAACGAGUUGGUCUCAUCUGUGGACGGCUCGCCAUCAAGCGAGCGGCCGUCUCAUCGCCAGAUCCAGAUUCUUCAGAAGACCCUCCAUGGACGCAUCCCACGAAAGCACGUUUCAAAGCGGGCAGAGCCCGGGCGGGUCUCGCACGCUGAGCCGUCUCGAUGAGGUCGGUGCCGAUGUCCGGCUCAGGGCCCGGCUCACCAAUCUUGCCGAUGAACACGUGGAUUCCGCCGAGGGGGCCCGGUACCCGUACUCGAUUGAGCCGGCCUCGGGGCCCAGUCUGCGUCGUUGAUGUAGAGCUUGCCGCGACGACUCUUGGUCAUCCGGCCCACAGCGUAUUCCUUGAGCCCUUCGAAGCUGCCCUUCAAGAACUCAAAUCCACCGUGCGCUGGCCCCACGGUGGGCGCCAACUAUCGUGGAAUUGUCACGACAGAUGUCCUCGUGCAAGGACUUAGUUGUGGAGCCAUCGCAACUAGGAAGCUUAAAGGGGUUAAACGGGACAAAGGACACGAGGAUUAUACUGGUUCGGCCCCUUACGGUGAAGGUAAAAGCCUACUCCAGUUGAGGUGGAAUUACUUGGGGUUUCGAUGACCAGGGAGCUAAACCGCUUUGCCUGGCUAUCGAUCUGAUGUUACUUGCCCUGAACCGCCGCCGGGUCGUCCCUUUAUAUAGAAAGGUUUAACGCCCAACAGCUCUCAGAGUCCUGGCCGGCUCAUAAACUGUGUCCGGCUUGGACUCUUAACUAUUCUUGCCUUACACUACAAGUCAUGCCACAACGGGGGUUUACCACUACGGGCCUUAAGUCGCCUCCGGGCCUUAGACCUAUUACUAAACCGCCAUCCUUAACCUGUCCUUGGGCUUCUGAAUGAAGAGCUGUCGCAACGUAACCCGGCCCAUCUCAGGCGGGUUAUACCAGUGGCUAUAUCCUCAACACCACCUAAGUCCCCUCUAUGCUCUCGGUCGUUCGAUCACGAUCGUGUGGGCGAAAACUGCACUCCAUUUGGAGUCUCCUAGCUCCCUCUACCUAUAAAAACACCCCCCUCCGAAAUUUUGGAUCAAACCCUAGAUCAAAUCGUCCUCCGCGCCGCCGGACGCGUCCACUCCGCACCGGACGGAAUCCCGCCGCCGCGCCCGGCCAACCGCGCAGCACCACNNNNNNNNNNNNNNNNNNNNNNNNNNNNNNNNNNNNNNNNNNNNNNNNNNNNNNNNNNNNNNNNNNNNNNNNNNNNNNNNNNNNNNNNNNNNNNNNNNNNNNNNNNNNNNNNNNNNNNNNNNNNNNNNNNNNNNNNNNNNNNNNNNNNNNNNNNNNNNNNNNNNNNNNNNNNNNNNNNNNNNNNNNNNNNNNNNNNNNNNNNNNNNNNNNNNNNNNNNNNNNNNNNNNNNNNNNNNNNNNNNNNNNNNNNNNNNNNNNNNNNNNNNNNNNNNNNNNNNNNNNNNNNNNNNNNNNNNNNNNNNNNNNNNNNNNNNNNNNNNNNNNNNNNNNNNNNNNNNNNNNNNGCCGCCUCCACCGGAUCUGGGGAGCUCCGGCCUCCCCGUCCCUCCUCGCCGGCGCCCCGUCCCCUCCCUCCGGCGGCCUCCUCCCGCAGCUCCGGCGAGAGCAGCUCCGGCCCCGCCUCGGAAACCGCGCCAGAUCUGGAUCCAGCGAACCCUAGGUUGACCCCGAAAUCCUCUAAGUCAUUUUUCUGUCACAAUAUCUUUCUCUAUUCAUCACAUCAUAACUCUCUGCAUAUAGCUCUGUUUCGUACGUGUAAUAUAUCGGAAUGUUCGUCUCGAGAUGCUCUUCAUUUUGUUCCAUUAUGCCAUGUUCAUUUGAGUCCAUAUUGAUGCCCAAAUCUCUGAUGCAAGAGUGCUUUAUGCUGUUACCUGCUGUUACUUACCAGAACUUGAGGAUUUGUUAUUUUUGUUGCAUUUGAUGUGUGCAUCUUAUGGGCAUGAGCUCUACAUGUGUUUUGAUGUAUGCCAUGCCGUCUUUACAGAGGUGUAUGCCAUGUAGUUUUUUGAUCUCUGUGGUGACUAGCACAAGCAUGCAAACUAGGCUUCGUGAUGUUUCUGAUUUCAGGGACAGUAAUUUUACUGUCUGUGACUGCUGUUAUUUUGUUGCUACGUAUCCAUGUGGCUACGGAGAGAUCCAUACUCCUUUUGGAGAUGUUCAGUAAGGAUGUUUUGUAGAUAUGGUUGUGCUCUAUCCAUCCAUUCCCCUGUUUGCAAUUAUGGAGUGCCUUAGCAUGUCUUAAUCUUUCUCUACUUUUGCUAUAAAAUAUUUCUGGCAGAUUGUCUACAUGUUAUUCAAUUUUGCCAAGCUUGUGGUAGUUGAUCCAUACAUACUAUGUAUUUUCUCUUGCCAGGUAUAGCUUCAUAAACAUGCCAUCUUGCUGUAGGUAUGCUUGUUUUGUCAUGAAUUGCUUUGUGGUGAGUGCAUCAAGCUCACAUAGAUGCCUUCAUGAUACUGUUUCUGCCAUGCUCUGUUUUCUGCCAAGUCUGGAACCUGUUAACGAAACUUGCUAUGUUUACAUGGUUGCCAUCAUAUCUUCUGAUCCUUUUUGGCUCAUGGUCAGUAAGGGACUUUUGUUAUAUCCAUUUAGUAGAUUCAUGCCAUGCCUUGUUUUGCUAUGUUAAGUUCUUGUAGCAUGUUGAUUGCUUGCUCUGAACAUUGCUACCUGAUGCUAUUUCUGCCAUGUCCAGUAAUUUCACUAAGUCUGUGAACCUGAUAUAUUUUGCACUUUUGUCAUGCUUGUUUGAACCUGUUAUGUUGUGAUCUAGCCGUAGGUCAUUGUUCAUCUUUUGUCAAGCAUCGUCUGUAGAUUAUUGACAUAUGCUUUGUUGCUAUGUUGGAGUGCUGUAGCAUAGUUACUUGUUGCAUUCUAAGUGCUAUCAUGCUGUUAAUCGCAGAAUCGUGUCAUUCUUGUUUUGCUUGCCAUUUGCAAACCGUGCAUCCGUUUCCGGUGAUCUUUAUAUCGAUUUCGACCGAAAUCAUCUCAUCUUUCCAGUGGCAUACUUGGUUUGCCAAGUUACUGCCUUGUUCAUCCUUUUUCUUCCGGAGCACGCAUAUGCAUCGCAUACCACAUCUCGCAUAUCAUACAUGUUUUGCAUCAUGUUGCUUGUGCAUUUCCCGUGAUUGAUUGUGGUUCCAUUGCUUGUGUUCUUGCUGUGGAUAGAGCCGGGAGACGAGUUCGUGAACGAGGAACCUGUUGAGUACGCUUACGAGGAUCAAGCUUUCGACAACUCUGAGAACCUUGCAGGCAAGAUGACCAUACCCUCGAAAUCACUUCUAUCUUUGCUUUGCUAGUUGUUCGUUCUAUUGCCAUACUUCGCUACCUACCAAUUGCUAUAUAUCAUGCCUCCCAUAUUGCCAUGUCAAGCCUCUAACCAUCCUUUCCUAGCAAACCGUUGUUUGGCUAAGUUACCGCUUUUGCUCAGCCCUUCUUAUAGCGUUGCUAGUUGCAGGUGAAGUAGAAGUUGGUUCCAUGUUGGAACAUGGAUACUUUGGAAUAUCACUAUAUCUCUUAUUUAAUUAAUGCAUCUAUAUAUUUGGUAAAGGGUGGAAGGCUCGGCCUUAUGCCUGGUGUUUUGUUCCACUCUUGCCGCCCUAGUUUCCGUCAUACCGGUAUUAUGUUCCUUGAGUUUGCGUUCCUUACGCGGUUGGGUGAUUUAUGGGACCCCCUUGACAGUUCGCCUUGAAUAAAACUCCUCCAGCAAGGCCCAACCUUGGUUUUACCAUUUGCCACCUAAGCCUUUUUCCCUUGGGUUUUUGCGAGCCCGAGGGUCAUCUUUAUUUAAACCCCCGGGCCAGUGCUCCCCUGAGUAUUGGUCCAACCUGUCAGUCGCCGGCGGCCACCAGGGGCAACUCUGGGCUCGCCUAUCGGAAGCUUGGACAAUCCGGUGUGCCCUGAGAACGAGAUAUGUGCAGCUCCUAUCGGGAUUUGUCGGCACAUUCGGGCGGCUUUGCUGGUCUUGUUUUACCAUUGCCGAAAUGUCUUGUAAACCAGGAUUCCGAGACUGAUCGGGUCUUCCUGGGAGAAGGUUUAUCCUUCGUUGACCGUGAGAGCUUAUGAUGGGCUAAGUUGGGACACCCCUGCAGGGUAUUAUCUUUCGAAAGCCGUGCCCGCGGUUAUGAGGCAGAUGGGAAUUUUUUAAUGUCCGGUUGUAGAGAACUUGUCACUUGACUUAAUUAAAAUACAUCAACCGUGUGAGUAGCCGUGAUGGUCUCUUCUCGGCGGAGUCCGGGAAGUGAACACGAUUUGUGUUAUGCAUGAACGUAAGUAGUUUCAGGAUCACUUCUUGAUCAUUUCUAGCUUCGUGACCAUUGCGUUGCUUCUCUUCUCGCUCUCAUUUGCGUAUGUUAGCCACCAUAUAUGCUUAGUGUCUGCUGCAGCUCCACCUCAUUACACCAUCCUUUUCCUAUAAGCUUAAAUAGUCUUAAUCUCGCGGGUGUGAGAUUGCUGAGUCCUCGUGACUCACAGAUUCUACCAAAACAGUUGCAGGUGCCGACGAUGCCAGUCCAGAUGAUGCAACCGACCUCAAGUGGGAGUUCGACGAGGAACGUGGUCGUGACUAUGUUUCUUUUCCUGAUGAUCAGUAGUGGAGCCCAGUUGGGACGAUCGGGGAUCUAGCAUUUGGGGUUAUCUUAUUUUCAUUUGGAUUUUGACCGUAGUCGGUCUAUGUGUGGAUCUUGGAUGAUGUAUGAAUUAUAUUUAUGUAUUGUGUGAAGUGGCGAUUGUAAGCCAACUCUCGUUAUCCCAUUCUUGUUCAUUACAUGGGAUUGUGUGAAGAUAACCCUUCUUGCGACAAUACCACAAUGCGGUUAUGCCUCUAAGUCGUGCCUCGACACGUGGGAGAUAUAGCCGCAUCGUGGGCAUUACAUGAUCUUCGAUAUAGUCCCCUUCCGCAGUGGCUAUCACGCACUGCUCGGACGAACUGCAUUUGCUCGAUUCAAUGCGGUGCCACACUAUGCUUACCUCAAACUCAAGAUGCCCGGAACACGCGGUGUCAUAACAGCCAAUGGAAACAUGGAACGCUCCCUCCAUACCGAGGAGCACACCGCGGCCCUGGCAGUAGAGGUACAGAGUGGCCUUAUCAAGCAGAAUAUUAAUUCAGCGGCCAAGCUCCCGGACACUGUCAAACGAGUCCGGACUACUCUGCAGCAGGACACCCCAGCUCGUCAUGAGCUUGACUAGCAAUUCAGCCUCCGUCUCAGUCCUGACCAAAUGGUGGCGUACGUACCGCGCAUACAUAACUACGCACUCAAAAUACCAUGGGCAACGACGGAGGCACAACUUGAUAGUGGUCCAUAAUACGGCUCGACCUUCCUCGGACACACUUACUUUCUGCUUUCUUUUUAUCCUUUUAGUUUUCUUUUCCACAGGCCCCUCACGACGGCCCGAGCAUUGAUCCUUUCGAAGGAUGGAUAUACCAAGAUGGCAAGCAGCAUAAACGUGUGGGGGAAUCUCUAGGUGUUCUUCUGGACGAUCACUCUACCUGUUUUCCGGAAAGGCACACAACUCCCCCUUGGUCUUGGCAUGUUAAAUAGCCAUGUUGCUCAUCGCACUAUUUUUACAAAUACGCUUUGACGUAUUGAUCAAAUUAUAAUGGAAACAGUUUGCGGCCCAACUUAUGGGGCACUGGCUUACUACUUCAUUCUAUUUUGCUGUUCUUAUAGAUUGCACCCGUACACUCUGGUACGCUUUCGUUUGCCAGGGGCUUCAUUGCACCCCAUACUAUGGCAUAAAGUCCGAACACUUUUUAUAGUAUAGUUCGGCACCCCGAAUUUAGCAUUAUAUGCAUCGGCUCCGAAUCAUGUAUUUGGUCAAUAGUUGGGUUGCCCGACUCCUGUGCUUACUACCUUAUGUUCCGUCCUAUCGGCUAGGGUAGUAAAGGGAGAACUACUGCGAUUGUGUUUCUGGUUUAUCCGAGCAAACACCUCAGUAGAGAAAGCCGAAAACUGACUGUCAUGAUGCGGCGAGAGCCGGUCAGCUAUCCGGAGGUUAAAAUCUCUCGCGCUUUUUUCCCACAUUAUGCGACGGAUCGGCCUUCACCCGAUCAGGUGUCUACAACACCCUAGUCCAGAUUAACAAAUAUUAACUAGGGGUUGUGCCUACAUUUCUAUUGUCAAACUCCUAUGGUUAAGUGAGGGUGAUAAAGCCACAUAGUCCGAUUGCCUGGUUCGCUGCGCUAAACACCUCCUUCAAGGACAAAAAUCUUGGAUCAAGAGUGUUUAGGUUUCAACCCGAACACCCCCGUACUACCUACGUGGGGGCUGAAGCCGACGACUGGCCAACUCUCAGAUUUAAUAAAACGGUCGCACAAGAGGUUAAAUUUGAAAUAAACAGCAAGCAUUAUAUUACAUAUCGGCCUUAUUCUCAUAAUACAGGAUGGGAUACCAUGAAUGUAUUUAUUCAAAGAUAAUAUCUUUUGAGCAUUGGCCCUCUACAAUGCGGGAUCCCUCCAGGACAUCAUCAAAAUAUCGCUCGGGCGUGCGGUGCUCCUUGCCCACGGGCGGUCCCUCGGUCGCGAGCUUAACGGUGUUCAUCUUCGCCCACUGCACCUUGACGCAGGCGAAGGCCAUCAGCGCACCUUCGAUGCAGACCGACCGUUUGAUGGCAUCAAACCGAGGGAAGGCAUUGACCAGCCGCUUCAUGAGCCUGAAGUAGCUGUUGGGUAUGGCUUCAGCAGGCCAUAAACGGAUUAUCAAAUCCUUCAUGGCCAAUUCGACCACCCUAUGCACUUCGAUCAGCUGUUUCAGCUGAUCGCUAAAGGGCACUGGAUGCUCUGGCGCAAGGUAUUGAGACCAGAACAGCUUCUCCGUUGAGCUCCCCUCUUCGGCCCGGAAGGACUCUGCAGCGUCAGCAACACUGCGCGGCAGAUCCGCAAACGCUCCUGGAGAACUCCAAAUCUGAGUCAGUAAGAGGUACCUUUUCUUCACAUAUUUGCUCUGCAUAAUAAAGGCCUUACCCGCCGCGAUUUUCCUGGCCUCUUGGAUCUCCUGGAGGGCGCCCUGGGCCUCGACCCGGGCAUCUUGUGUGCUUUGGCGGGCCUUAGCAAGUUCAGACUCUUGGUCCGAAAUCUUGCGCUCCAAGGACUCACACUUCUUUACGGCAUCCUGGAGCUCCUGCUGGACCUCCCCGACCCUUGCCUCGUGCUUCUCAUGGGUGGCUUGUUCCUUCGCCGCUCUCUUUUGGGCCUCGGCCAGCAACUUCUCGAGAGUCUCCACCUCGGUCCCAGCUCCUGCGCAAUAUCAUGAUCACAUGAUCAAUACAAACAAUUCGUAUCUUUCUACACCUAAAAUAGACCAUUGCACACCUUGCUGGUCCUCUAGUUGUUUUUUCAUGCGGCCGGGCUCUUUCUCGGCCUGCUCCAGAUUCUGCUUCAGCUUGGAGACUUCGGCAGAAUGGGAGGUCGCAGCCAGCAUCGACGCCUGUUUAUUCACAUAGACAUAUAUGGUUAGUCUAGUGCGAAAAUUAUUUGAUCCUCUGUCCGGCUUUUCUUUUCGAACACUGGACAGAGUUGCAGGGGCUACUGUCUAUACUAUGACAUUCUUUUUACAUAAUUACAUACCUCAAAGCCUGUUAGAAGGCUGGUGCAGGCUUCGGUCAGUCCGCUUCUAGCGGACCGAACCCUCUCAACCACCGUACCCAUAAGGGUGCGGUGCUCUUCAACAAUGGAAGCACUUUGCAGUGCUUCCAGUAAUGUAUCCGGUGCCUCUGGAUAGACAGAGGCCACCGGCGGAAUAGGUGCACCUCCUUCUUGCGAAGGAGGUUGCUUACCCGAUUCCGGAGCCGUAUAUGCCUCCGGAAUAGUAUUCGGCUGGGGGCUGAAUUGGAUGUUGCCCCCAACGCCAGUCUUCGGGGGGAUUUGCUCCCCCAUAUGUCCGGUGGCCGAGGUAUCACCCUUUGGCGCCACCCUGACGGCCUCCUGUUCCUCUCCCUUGCCUGGGAAGGUCCUUCGGGACAACACCUCGGUGUCGUCCGUGGCCCUGGGAGAGGAGGCCACCGGAAGUGAUCCGCUGUCCAUCACAUUUGGAUCCAGUGAGUUCCCCGAAGAUGAGGAUCACUGGGGGCGGGCGUGGGCCAGACUGCAGCACACGAUUCGACACAUUAAAACCUCAAAAUAAAUAAGUUGGAUAUGUGUGUACAAGUGCCCUGGAGUACUUACGAUUCGCCCAGGGGCUUCUCCCUGGGGCGCCACUCGGAGCUGCUAUCAGUGUCUAAUGCGGGAUCGUCCGCGAGGGAGACCUUCCCCUUCUUGGAUGCCUCUGCCUCCAGGUUUGUGGAGGCCGCCCUUUUAUUUCUUCCCCCCUUGGGGGGAGAGUUUCUUUCCUCCUCUUCCUCAUCGUCGUCGGUGGCGGGGGAGGAAUGGGUUUCGGCGUCUUCGGACGUCAUGUCCGAAGUGCCUUUACGGCGGAGGCCACUUCGGGUCUCCCUGGCCUUCUUCUCCGGCGCCCGGUAGGGCGCCGGAACCAACAUCUUCGUCAGAAGUGGGAUUGCUGGGUUUUCGGGUAGCGGAGCCGGACAAUGGAUCCGCUCCGCCUUUGCUGUCCAGCCCUGAAAAGGCAGAUAGGGAGGCUCAGACAUCUUCCUUGAAUGUACAGGUGAAGGAUACACCUUGAAAUACGAAAAACUUACCGGACUGGCGGGAUGGGUCAGAUUGUACCCACGGUCCUCGGUCGUCUUCGGCCACGUCUCAUUGGCCUUGAAGAGCACCUUCUAGAUGCCUUCGUGCGUAGUGCCGAAGAACUGUUGCAAGGUGUGGUGCUGGGCCGGAUCAAACUCCCACAGAUUGCAAGUUCGGUGCUGGCAAGGAAGGAUCCGGCGAAAUGGCGUCGCGAGCCUCUGUGACGUAGAACCACUGCUGCUGCCACCCUUUGACAGUCUCCACGAAGGUGCCUUUGGGCCACGUGACGUUGGACAAUUUGCUCACCAUAGCGCCUCCGCACUCCGCGAGUUGGCGGUCCACCACCUUCGGCUUCACAUUGAAGGUCUUUAACCACAAUCCGAAGUGGGGUGGGAUGCGGAGGAAGGCCUCGCACACGACAAUGAAUACCGAGAUGUUGAGGAAGGAAUUUGGGGCUAGAUCAUGGAAAUCUAGCCCGUAGUAGAACAUGAGUCCGUGGACGAAAGGGUGGAGAGGAAACCCUAACCCGCGGACGAAGUGGGGGAUGAACACCACCCUCUCAUGGGGCUCCGGGGUGGAGACGAUCUGCCCCUUGGCCGGAAGCCGGUGGGCGAUUUCCUGUGCCCAGUACCCCGCGCUCCCGGAGCUUCGUGAUGUCCUUCUCCAUGACGGAGGAGGCCAUCCACUUGCCUUGCGCUCCAGAUCCGGACAUGGUCAGAGUGCUUUUUUUGAGGCAGAAAGGAUGAAAGCUUGGGCACUGGAGCUCGAGAAUGGGUGGGCAGAGAGGAAGAAGGCGUGGAUGAAAGGGGUGAAUCCUUAUCUCCUUAUAAAGGCAGCGAAUAUCAAGCGCCUCCCCACUCGCCUUAAAACUCGCUUAUUCCCCAAGGGCCGUGUAGACUGCGCGGUUGGAUUACCCAUGCCCGUAUUGAUGAGAAUCCCGUAAUAAGGGGACAUGCUUUCUGCUUCGACAAGACAUGCCAAUGAAAACUGCAUCUUGGAACAUGGAGCGGGAGGCUAAAAAACGGUUCGAAAUAAUGACCGGGCAGGGACGUAAUGUCUCACUACAAAAGUUGUCAGUAGAUUGGACUCGUGAAAUAUUAUACUCUCUGCGGUUGUGUGUGGUACUUGUUUUGUAGAGCCGGACAUGUUUUAUGUGUUCGAAGGCUGUUUUGGAGUAUUCGGAGGAGGAACCCGCCUUGCAAUGCCGAAGCCAAUCUGCGCGCCGGACACAUCGUCAUUGAAGCCUGGUUCAGGGGCUACUGAGGGAGUCCUGGAUUAAGGGGUCCUCGGGCGUCCGGGCUAUGUGACGUGGGCCGGACUAAUGGGCCAUGAAGAUACAAGAUAGAAGACUUCCUCUCGUGUCCGGAUGGGACUCUCCUUUGCGUGGACGGCAAGUUUGGCGUUCGGAUAUGUAGAUUCCUUCCUCUGUAAACCGACUCUGUACAACCCUAGGCCCCUCCGGUGUUUAUAUAAACCGGAGGGUUUAGUUCGUAGAGGCAACAACAAUCAUACAAGUUAGACAUCUAGGGUUUAGCUAUUACGAUCUCGUGGUAGAUCAACUCUUGUAAUCCUCAUAUUCAUCAAGAUCAAUCAAGUAGGAAGUAGGGUAUUACCUCCAUCAAGAGGGCCCGAACCUGGGUAAACAUCGUGUCCCCCGUCUCAUGUUACCAUCAACCUUAGACGCACAGUUCGGGACCCCUACCCGAGAUCCACCGGUUUUGACACCGACAAUCACCAAGCAUGAAAUCGUGAAGAAGCUUCUGAGAUCACUUGACAGCUCAUUUGACACUCUAGCCCUGAUGAUACAAGAACGUCCUGACUUCAAGGAUCUCGAUCCGUCUGACAUACUUGAGAGACUCAACACACAUGAGUUCCAGCUAUUUGAAAAGAGAGACACCUAUGGCCCCAACUAUGGCCGAACCCGUGCUCUGAAGGCAAAGGUCGUUUCCUCAUCUGAAGAAGAAUCUGACUGCAGUUCUGAGGAUCCUGAAGACAUUGGAAAUGAGUUAGCUAUGCUCAUGAAGAGGUUCCAGAAGUUCUCCAAAAAGAAUCGCUUCAGAAAGUCUUCAAGAUCCAACUCAAGAAAUGAUGAGGCUUCCUCUCGUGACCACAAGAAGAGAACAUGCCACAAAUGCAAGAAGCCAAGCCAAUACAUCUCUGAGUGUCCUCAAUGGGACAAGGAAUCUAAGAAGAAGAAGAAGAAGAAGAAGAAGGAGAGCAAGGAAUAUGAUUCUGGCGACAAGAAGAAGAAAUCCUCAAAGUCUUCUUCAAAGUCUUCAUCAAAAUCUUCAUCUCACAAGAAGAGCUCAUCCAGCAAGGCUCGUGCAUUCAUUGGCAAGGAAAUGGAUUCAUAGGAGGAGUCCGCUUCUAAGGAGGAGGAGGUGGAGUUUGAGGAGGAGUCUGAUUCAGGCGUGGCAAGCCUGGCUCUAGCUUUAGCAUUUGUCGCCAAGUCCAUCUUCAACACUGAAGACAAUGGUCACGUCGCCGACACUGAAGCUGAUGACGAGGACGACUCUGCUCUGACCUACUACUUCAUGGCACGAGGUGCCAAGGUAAACUCACGCGAUGCUUACUUUCAAACAUCUAGUGAAGAUGACUCUGAAUGUGAAUCCAAACCUAGCUACAAGACUCUGGCUAAAAUUGCAACUGAACAACAAACUGGUAUGGAACAUAUUCAAAAGUUGCUAAACAAAAGCGAUGACCUGUUGGACGCGGAAAUGAAUCGAACUCAGUCCUUAAUUGAAGACAUUAAAAAUCUUCAUGUUAAGUAUGAGGAACUUGAAAGUCGUCAUGAAACACUCUCAGCUACUCAUGAGAAGCUUUCCUAUGAUUAUCUUCAAAGGAAGCAAGACCUAGAGAAUCUGAGAGCAUCUCAUGAAGAUCUUCAAAGGGAGAACGAUUCACUUCACGCUCAACAGAUCAGUUCUGCUCGGGAAGACGGGUUCCGGUAACCUCCCAACCAAUGGAGACCCCCACCUCCACCUCCACCUCCACCUCCACCUCCACCCACGGUGAACUCCUCUAACUCCGGUGGCCAUGACCCCUUCUUCUACACCAUGGAAGGGCUCCUCCAUUGGGACUUCAACCCCGGCCUCAAGGUCGAGGAACAGGUUCGUCGACGGUUCAAAUCUUCGGUCCAUUUCUCCCCUUCACCUACCUCCAAGGAGUUUUUCUUGGUGGUCACCUUCUUUUCUGCCUCCUUUACCCUAUCUUGUGAUUCGGUUGGUUUGGCACUCCAAUGUUGUAUUGGAGGGCAUGCGUCCGGAUUCAAGGUUGUUCAUAUUGGAUCACAAAGUUCUCUGUUUUCUGUGGCCUCAAACAAGGUGGGUCACUUUAUUUAUGCCCUACGGGAUAGAGUUUGGCCAGACUUCGUGUCCCAUUUUGGUCUGUUUAAACAGCCUUGGACUGCUCCUUUUAAUGGUUCUUAUGGAUGGAGCACGUCACAUGAAAUCCAGGCAAUUGGAUCACGUUCACCCAAGGCUGCUCGCCAUACUCUUGGUUUUCUUGAGCAAAGUGCGGCCAAGGAUGAUUCAUCUUGGCAGGAGUUGGCCAAAUUUGGUUUCUCAAAGAACAUCUCAACUAACUUAUUACGUUCUUUUGAUGAUGUAUCCUCUCAUCGGGAUGAUCAUGGUUCUGAUCGUGUUCAUGAGGAGCUUCCUUCGCGUGCAUCUCUGAACUCGGAAACCUUACAAUUUGGUAGUUUGGCAUUUCCGCUAUCCCUGGAGAAUCAUAAUUUCCCUACCAAAAAAUAUUUUGGCAAGAAUCGUAAUGCACGCAAUUGGUGCAACAUUCCCCCACACAUUUUGGAGGAGAUCUUAGACUUACGGCAGGCUAAUUAUGAGGAGAUCAAUAUCCGUCAGAUCUUUGGUUUAAAUGAUCUGCCUUCCUCGGAGAUCAUAUUCGAGAUCCUUGGGGCAAUGUUCCCGUUGUUUUGCUCAGGGUCACACGUCAUCUAAUUGCCAUGCUAUACUUUGCGGUUCAUGCCAUAACUUUGAGCGGGCUUGCUUAUGUUUUCACCGGCCAAAGGGCCCAGCAUCGCCAAAUUGCACCAUCUGCAACAGUUUGGCCCAUGAACGUAUUGGAUGUCCGGGCCUUCUUUGGUGUUCCAAAUGCCAGAUGUUGGGUCAUGUCGUGCAGCGCUGUGAUUCCAAAAAUAUUGCACGAUUUUUUUGGCAAAGAAAGAAGCUGGACCGGCAAGCGAUCACCACCACAGAUUACCUGCACUCCCUGCCCCAGUCAACAGCGCUGCCACGCGGAUGUAAAUCCCACCUUCCUAAGGGUACAAAGAUUUGGCGUCCCAAACGUCUAGUGACUGACGUUGGGCCCUCCCCCACCAACUCGAUUAGCCUGGCGAUUCCGCUCCAAGCUCAGCACUAGUUCCCUAUUCCGCCACCCCUGCCAGCCAAUGAGCAGAGAGCCAUUACCCUGCUUUGCACUUCGCCUCCUCCGGCUCUGACGAAAGUCUCACCCACCACCGCCAUGGCCAACUUCCCAGUCAGGCCGUUCCAGUUUGUGCCGAUGGGAGCGCAGAUCGAGCGCAGACUGGAGAAUCACUUGGCGCGUAAUAUGAUUGUGGUGGAUGACCCGCCACUCAGCCAUGAGAGGUAUGCUCUCGUCACCGUCACACCCCCGGUUCCUGACCAUCAGAAACAUCUAGUUCUCAAUGAGAUUGUCCGCAUAAUGGUUGAGGAUUUCCAUCUUGAGGUACCCGAUGCUUUUGUUUAUCCGAUUGGGGUGGGGAUGGUGGCGUUUGCGGAUGUUGCUCUCAGAGAUCAGUUUAUUCUCGAAAGCCCGCAUCAGUUAGAUCCUGUUGAUGAUGAUAUGACUUUCUCAUUUGUACCUCAUGACGAGGGUGAAAACAUGCGCCAGUGCCCAUUCCAGUAUGUAGCCUGGGUCCUAUUCUUAGCCUUUCCUAUGGACUACCAGACUGAUCACUACAUUAACAAAGCAGUGUCCUGUUUUGGCAAGUUGGAUCUUUGGCACAGGCCGGGGCAGAACAAAGAGCGUGUGCUGGUUCGUGUGAUACUUAGUAACAUUGCACAGGUGCCCCAUAGUCUGGUGGUAAAGUGGACUGGCACUUUGCCAGGCAUGGGUCGAUCUUGGUCAGUCCCUGUCUAUGUGCUUAAUGGAAGAGAUACUAUACCUGGCCUUGUUGGUAAUGAAGAUGAUGCACCUCCCAUGAAUGCUCCCCCUACCCCUUUGAGUUGCCAUACCUGACUGCUGCGCAACAGUGGACACUGGAACACCAACAACUGAUGCAGCAGCAGAUUGACGCUGCUUGGGAGCAGCAGGCUUCACAACAGCAGCAGUUGCAGUCGGACGGUUGGGGUGUGUGGCCAGCUGCACCACAACCUUUCAGUGGAAUCAGUCUUCGCGCCUUGUUUCAGUAUACUGGCCCCUCCCUCAUGGAUGGGGUGGAGCGGGAGAGCAAUACUACUGAUGAUCCGCAAGAUGAAUGGUCGGUUUACUCUGACAUCGAAGAAGCAGCUGACGCCUUGAUCCAUGGUCGCCAGUCUCCUGGCAUGCAGUUUGUUCGAGCCACAGGCCGUCCACACGCGGUGCAGAUUCAGUUAGAGGAAGGUCUGUCUUUUCUGGAGUUCCUCUGGCUGAUCUCCUUUGGCAGGUUCACUAGAUGUCUCGCUGCACCUGACACACCUGGCCAGAACCUGAACCAUGGCAUUCUGCCGCUCAAUCCCCGCGCUUUUCUCUUGGCUGUCACUAGUGCUAUCAUUCAGGAAAGGUGUUCUGCGGGAGCCAACUUAUCUCAUCUGCAUGAUCUUCUCUACCGUUUUUCGGGCCCUUUUUUCAUAUCAGCUGAAACUUGGAUGGAGUUUGCCCAUCAGACCCAUAUGAUCAGUACUGGACCUGACACUCUGAUGCAAGGGGACUGUCUCAUCGCAUCACAGACUCAUAUGUCCUUGGCACAUGAUGAUACUGAACUUUCUGCUGAUGAUAAGGGGUCUGAAUAUUUCAAGAACAUGUUGGUGGGAGAGAAAGCUCCGAUUGACACGGCUAGGCUGCGCCGUAGUAGCCGAUCCACGAGGUAUGAUGGUUUUAAAGUGCCACAAGUCACUGAUGUGAGGAAGGCACAAUCCAAAGUCAAGCCCAGGGGGGCGCCAUCAAUUGCCUGUUCGUCUAAGGCCACUGCUCCAUGUGCCAAGCUCGUUCUAAACCCGCUGGCUAGCACCACCGAUGACUUGCCGCCGCCGACGCCAAUUCACCAGCUGCAGUAUGUGGGCAAUGUCCUAUGCGGAGUGCCGCCUGAUGACCUCACCCCUCAGAAGCUCAUGGCACCUGUUCGUGGGGAGGGAAUGGAGAACCCCUAGCUUCAAUGUCACCCAAUAAACAGUGGAAUAUCCUUUGUUGGAACGUACGAGGGAUCAAUUCCGAGAAAAAACAGCUAGCGAUCCGUAAUGCAAUCGAUGUUAGUGGUUGUUCCGUAGUUUGCCUUCAAGAAACUAAACGUACUUCUUUUGAUGCUUCGUUUGUUAAACUUUUCUGCCCUAAAAAGUUUGAUAUGUUUGCUUGGGUGCCCUCCUCUGGGGCGUCUGGGGGCUUAAUCACUGUGUGGAUGAGUUCAGUAUUCACUGGUGUCUCGGUGUUCUCUGAAUCUUUUGCUCUUGGCGUCAGGCUUACUUCUACUCAAUCCGCCGAUUCGUGGACUCUGGUCAAUGUGUAUGGUCCCUGUGCGGACCCGAAUAGAGCGCUGUUUGUUUCGUGGUUGUUCGAUAUUGAUAUACCACAUGGUGAUGACUGGCUCCUCAUGGGUGAUUUUAACUUCAUCAGAGNNNNNNNNNNNNNNNNNNNNNNNNNNNNNNNNNNNNNNNNNNNNNNNNNNNNNNNNNNNNNNNNNNNNNNNNNNNNNNNNNNNNNNNNNNNNNNNNNNNNNNNNNNNNNNNNNNNNNNNNNNNNNNNNNNNNNNNNNNNNNNNNNNNNNNNNNNNNNNNNNNNNNNNNNNNNNNNNNNNNNNNNNNNNNNNNNNNNNNNNNNNNNNNNNNNNNNNNNNNNNNNNNNNNNNNNNNNNNNNNNNNNNNNNNNNNNNNNNNNNNNNNNNNNNNNNNNNNNNNNNNNNNNNNNNNNNNNNNNNNNNNNNNNNNNNNNNNNNNNNNNNNNNNNNNNNNNNNNNNNNNNNNNNNNNNNNNNNNNNNNNNNNNNNNNNNNNNNNNNNNNNNNNNNNNNNNNNNNNNNNNNNNNNNNNNNNNNNNNNNNNNNNNNNNNNNNNNNNNNNNNNNACGCUAAUGACAUGUUGAUCUUUAAUGAAUUCAUCCGCAGGCAGUCAUUGGUAGAACUACCAAUCAAAUGGCGAUCGUACACAUGGAGUAAUAUGAAAAAUAACCCCCUGCUCGAACAACUCGACUGGCAUUUCACUUCGAUUGAUUGGGCAGUUAAAUACCCGAACACUGUUGUGCUACCAUUGGGUAAACCCACAUCAGAUCAUGUACCCUGCUAUGUUUGCAUCCAGUCCAAGAUUCCAAAAUCCAAGAUAUUUUGUUUUGAGGAUUUUUGGAUCGGGCAGCCUGGUUUCUUUGAUGUGGUCCAUCGCUCGUGGAACCGAAGCUGUUAUGCCCCGAAUGCUGCCGCGACCCUAUGCAAAAAAUUUAAGAACUUGCGAUACGAUCUGAAACAAUGGAGUAGGAAGAUCUCUAAGUUGUCUGGCCUAAUUGAAAACUGUAACAAAAUCCUGUUAGAGAUUGAUGGGCUGGAAGAAAGGAGGAGACUGUCUAUCCCUGAAGUUAACUUUAGGGAGAUUUUGAAAAAGCAACUUCUUCACUUGUUGGAGUGCAAGAAGCUAUAUUGGAAAAAGCGAUGUACCGUCAGAUUCUUCAAGUAUGGUGAUGGCAACACCAAGUUCUUUCAUAGAGUAGCGACCGAGAGAUUUCGAAGGAACAACAUUGCUUCGCUGCGUCUGCCUGAUGAUUCGAUUAUCCAUGAUCAUGUGGGAAAAGAGGCAGUACUCUUUCAGACGUACAAAGAAAGACUAGGGCGAUCCAGUCGGACUGACAUGCAUUUUGACCUGCGGAGAAUCAUCAAGAAAGUGGAGGGGUUACAAGCCUUGUCGAGCCCUUUCACACGCAAUGAGAUUGACCAAGUGGUCAAGGAUUUGCCGUCAGACCGUGCUCCAGGACCUGACGGUUUCAAUGGCAGUUUUAUUAAAUCAUGCUGGCAUAUUAUCAAAGAGGAUUUCUACCGCCUGUGCUCUGAUUUCCAUGCAGGUAACCUUGAUCUCGAGAGCUUGAAUUCUGGUUUCAUUACUCUCAUCCCGAAAACCCAAUCGCCAGAGACAGCGAACGACUAUCGCCCGAUUACUCUCUUGAACUGCUGCCUCAAGAUUUUAACCAAACUACUAGCUAAUCGCCUACAGCAUGUCAUCCUCAAGAUCAUACACCGUAAUCAGUACGGCUUCCUGAAAGGGAGAUCUAUACAGGACUGCGUGGCAUGGGCGUUCGAGUUCAUACACCAAUGUCAGUCCUCGGGGAGAGAGGUGGCUAUUUUGAAGCUUGAUUUCGCCAAGGCAUUCGAUACCAUCGAACAUGCCCCCAUGUUGGAGAUUAUGAAAUGAUGGGAUUUGAUGAUCGUUGGCUUGGAUGGAUUAAAUGUCUCUUCUCGGCGGCCAAGUCUGCGAUCCUCCUCAAUGGGAUUCCGGGUAGACAAUUCUUUUGUUUUAGAGGGGUGCGUCAAGGUGAUCCUCUUUCCCCGCUCAUCUUCGUAUUGGCGGCGGAUCUCUUGCAAGCGGCUAUUAACGACGCGUAUCGGGCCGGAGCCCUCCAGCUCCCCAUCCCUAUACCUGACAGCGACUACCCCGUCAUUCAGUACGCCGACGAUACGAUCCUGGUGAUGCCAGCCGACCUCUCUCAAGCUGAAACGAUCAAACGCAUCCUACUGGACUAUGCAACGUCGGUGGGCCUGAGUAUCAACUUUCAAAAAUCAACCUUGAUCACUGUCAAUUCUUCGGCGGAAGCAACCUCGAGGCUUGCUCAGAUCUUCGACUGUGCGAUUGGAACCAUGCCGUUCACGUACCUUGGGUUGCCCAUGGGCACUACACGCCCGACUGUGGCUGAUCUCAUGCCCCUCGUUGCCUCGGUUGAGCGUAAACUCUCUUCGGCGGCCGCUUUGCCGGACCUUGGAUCAAAACUCACGUUGGUCAACUCGGUGAUCACAUCUCUCGCAAUAUACGCCAUGUGUUCCAUCAAGAUCCCGCCUAGAGUCCUUGAGCAUCUUGAUAAACUCCGGAGAUAUUGCCUCUGGGCAAAGAGUUCGGACGAGGGGACCAAGGCCGUAUCCCUGGCUGCAUGGGAGAUGGUUUGCUGUCCCAAAAAUAAGGGCGGUCUAGGAGUGAUCGACCUCAAGAUUCAAAACCAGGGCCUACUCCUAAAGAUGCUUCAUAAAUUCUACAAUCGAAUAGAUUUGCCGUGGGUCAAUCUGGUUUGGUCGGCAUACUAUGUGGACUCUAUACCGCAUGCAAGUGACCGGUGUGGCUCGUUCUGGUGGCGCGACGUGAUGCAACUAUCGCCGAUCUACCGUGCUGUCACAACGGUGCAGGUGGGGGAUGGUAGCACUGUACUCUUCUGGAAGGAUCUGUGGCACGAUGCCAUUCUUUCAGACAAUCACCCCCGCUUUUGUAUUCGUUUGCGAUGAACGAGGACGUGUCGGUGCGCGAUCUUCUGAUGGCCCCUGCCCUUGGACAAAAUUUCAGCCUCCCACUUUCGAUCCAGGCUAGAGGUGAACUGCGAGAUCUUCAAACCAGUCUGGCCGAUACGGAUCUGACAGGCAACAGAGACACCUGGAGAUGUGUUUGGGGUGCUGAGGACUUUCAGUCAAGCAAGUUUUACCUCCACUGCUUUCGCGAUGAAGUGGCGGAUAAGGGUUUCGAAUGGAUUUGGAAAUCCAAGUGCACAAACAAAUGGAAAGUCUUUGCAUGGCUCUUGUUGGCUGACAGAUUAAACACACGCAACUUAUUGAAGAGGAAAGGCAUGAAGCUCAGAGACGAUGACUACUCUUGCUUGCUUUGCUCAACCAGCCUGGAGGAAAUGGUUGAACACCUUUUUUUCGAGUGUGAUUUCAGUAAGCUGUGUUGGGGGGAGUUGGGGAUCUCGUGGCCGGUGACUGGCAACAGGCUACAGCUGGUACAUGCUGCGAAGGAGGUCUGGACACAACCCAUGUUCAUGGAAAUCUUCGUUAUAGCAGCUUGGAGCAUCUGGAAAGAGCGUAACAACAAGCACUUUCGAGGGAUCGUCCCCACGAGGAAUGGAUGGCGCCAGAGAUUUCAAAAUGAUUUUGGAAUGAUGAAGCAUCGUGUGAAGGAAACUCUGUGGCCUUUUAUUAAGCUAGUGGUCGGCCCAAACGACCCUACUGUGUAGUGCGAUGUUAAAAUGUACUUGUACCCCUCCUUAUACCUGCGUAUAAGGUUUCUCCCUUUCUCUAUACCCAUGUAAAACCCUUGUGUAAUUUGUGCUCUCGGUUUUAAUAUAUAAGUCAAUGAGGGGGUGCCCUCACUGUCCACUGUUCCUAAAAAAAAAACUUUGUGCCACCAUGUUUGAAAUGUCUUGAACGUGAUAAUGUUGUCUCUAUUGCUGAAUGUUCUACUGCUGCUAAUAUUGCAAUGUCUUCAACUGCUGAUGUGGUGACUAACCCCUCUACUGAGGAUACCACUACUAUUGCUGAUGAGAAUGCUAGGUUGAAGACAUUGCUUGAAACAAGCAUGUACAAAAGCCUCAAAGGGCAUCAAACACUAUGUGAUGUCCUCAAGAAACAGAUUCUGAACCGAAACCCUAGGAAAGAGGGUGUUGGGUUCAAGAGGAAAAUGAAUGUCGAUGGUUCGUACUAGAAGCCUGAGCAGUACCCCAAAACCACAUGGGUUGCUGCAAAGGCCCCCUCAGUGGAUCCAUCUACCUUAUCUGGCUUCACUUGUGCUAAUCCCAUCAUCAUUGAUGAAUCCUUUGGUGCUAAUUAUAAGCUGUUUAAGAAUCAAAAUGGUGAAGUGUUUGCCAGGUUUAUUGGUACCAACUACAAGAACGGGCCACCUUCGAAGAAGAUCUGGGUUCCCAAAAGUUGUCUUGAGAAGCUUCCCGAGAGUGUCAUCAUGACACCACCUGGGAAGAAGACAAACCCUAGACCAAAAUCUUCAUAUGUCCCAAAGGCUUCAUACAGACAGAGGACCUCACAAGGUCACCCCAACGCCAAUGUUUUGCAGGGAAACCAUACUCAGACUUAUGAAUAUGAGCGUGUUUCUUCAGACCGCUAUGUUCAUAAAACAAAGAACUUUUCUGUGUAUUCUUAUGAGUAUUAUUCACCUCCUACAAGGCUAUUUGCUAGGGCUCCAAAGCCAAAGUUCUCAAAUGCUGCACUUAGACUCAUCGCUUUUAAGCCACCCCUGAAGAUGUGGGUGGUUAAGAAGAAUUGACUUUCUUUUGCAGGGAAAGGUCUCUAGCCAGAAAUCAAAGGCUUCUGGCACUAAUGCUGGGGACCUAAAACAUCUUGUGGGACACAGAUAAAGUGCCAAAAUGGUCUUACUAUGUAUUUCGUCCCAAGGUUUCUUGACAAACAUCCUAUCUACCCUAACAAGGAUCUGAACUUUGAUAGUAUGCUUGUUCGUGAAAUGUUUAUGCUUCACAAUACUCUUGGUGAAACCUAUCCCACUAACUGCACUGUAGGGUAUGGCUCCAAAGAUUACUGAGUGGAUUAUGGACAGUCGCUGCACUAACCACAUGACUGGUGAUCGAAGUAUUCUUAUGGAUUCAACCCUACGUCCGUCUGACAAGAAUCACAUCACGUUCGCUGACACUGGUAAAAGCAAGGACCACAACUUGUCGAAUGUCUUCUAGAAAAAGCUCCAGAGUGCUGGCUCUGGCAUCGGAGGCUAGGACAUGCAGGCAUGAGGAACUUGCACACUCUCGUGAAGAAGAAGCAUAUCAUUGGCAUCGAGGGCGUCAAGUUAAAGAAGGAUCAUCUAUGUGGUGCCUGUGAAGUCGGGAAGAUGACAAGGGCCAAGCAUCCCUCGAAGACAAUCAUGACUACGACACGACCCUUCGAGCUGCUUCACAUGGACUUAUUUGGCCCUACUCAUUACUCUACUUUUACUACCACUGCAUGUUUCUAUGGCUUCGUUAUUGUUGAUGAUUACUCAAGAUACACAUGGGUGCACAUAAUUCUCUACGAGACAGAAGUGCAGGAUGUCUUCAUACGGUUCGCCAAUCGUGCCAUGACCAACUAUGGCAUCAAGAUCAAGCACAUCAGAAGUGACAACGGCACAGAAAUCAAGAACACUGGCCUCGACACUUAUCUUGAUACAUUGGGCAUCACACAUGAGUUCUCUGCUCCAUACACACCUCCGCAGAAUGGCAUCGUGGAGCGCAAGAACAGAACCCUCAUUGAGAUGGCACGUACGAUGCUUGAUGAGUACAAGACUCCAAGAAAGUUCUGGCCUGAAGCCAUUGACACUGCUUGCCACAUCAUCACACUACAAAAAAAUACACUUCUGUGAUGAUACGUGUUUGUCACAGUAGGUCACGUUUUCUGUCAUGCAUGUACAUCCAUGACGAUUUUAUGACAGAAUCAAGAUAGUCAUACCUGUGUUGUCGUAGAAGUGUUCCAUGACAUUACCAAAAUUAUUAUCAUGGAAGUGUCCACUUCCAUGAAGAUAAAUCGCGCGUCAUAGAAGUGCUUUCGUCAAGGGUGACCGACACAUGGCAUCCACCGUAAUGGAACGCCGUUAAGCUAUCGGGUCCGAUUUUGGAUCCGAUAACCCGUUAACAACCCGGACCAAUGGGGAUUUUCCAUGUGUAAAAUCAUCAUUGGCUGGAGGAAACACGUGUCAGCUCCGCGUUGGCACAGGUGUCACUCAUCCAAUGGGCAAGAUGCGCCUAUGAUAUGUUGACACAUGGACCGGCCCAAAAGUGGCCCAUAAAGUUUAAAUGGGCCGGCCCAACUAAAGGCCCACAAGAUUUUGUGGACCAUAAUGGGCCGGCCCAGCUAAAGGCCCACGAGAUUUUGCGGACCAUAAUGGGCUGGCCCAGCUAAAGGCCCACAAGAUUUUGCGGGCCAUAAUGGGUCGGCCCAGGUAAAGGCCCACAAGAUUUUUGCGGGCCAUAAUGGGCCGGCCCAGGUGAAGGCCCCCAAGAUUUUUGUGGACCAUAAUGGGCCGGCCCAGCUAAAGGCCCAUGAGAUUUCGUCGACAUUAAUGGGCCGACCCAGCUGUAGGCCCACAAGAUUUUGAGGACCCUAGUAGGCCGGCCCAUUAACUGGCUGCCAUGUUUUGGGCCAAAUGCCGGCCCAUAUUUGAUCCAGUCCAUUAAUGGCCUACCACGUUCCGGGCCUAAUAAUGGCCCAUAUGAGAUCCGGCCCGUUAAAAGCCUACCACGUUCUGGGCCAAAUUACGACCCAGAUCAGGUCCGGCCCUUUAAGAGGCUUUGGGCUAAAUUAUGGCCCAUAUCAGAUUCGGCCCGUCAACUGGACGCUAUGCUUUUGGGCCCACUUGCUAAAGGCCCAUUUAGUAAUUCGGCCUGAUAUUAGUUUCGGCCUGUUAAGGGACGUUUAACAUUUCGGCCCUAUAUUAAUUUCGGCCUAUUAAAAGCCCGUCAUAUAGUUGGGCCUAACUACGGCCCGGUUUGCAUCCGGCCUGCUCGCAGCCGAUAAUCUGAUUGGGCCAAACAAGGACCGGGACAAUUUUGGCCUGUUAAAAGCCCGUGAUUUGAUUGGCACAAUCAUGGGCCGGGGUCCAUUUCGGGCUGCUGCCGGCCCGUGAGCUGUUCGGCAUGUUUCAGGCCCAACCUACUUCUCAGCCUCCUAAAAGCCCAUUGAGUUUUCUUGCAAAAAGAGGGCCGGCGGUUUACUCGGCCUAUUAAAGGCCCGAAUCUACUAGUGGGCCAGUUUACAUUUAGGCCUUUUAACGGACCAAGAUGAUGGGGCCCAUGAUGCGGAUCAUACAUCGUGAUUGCAUGACGGCCCGAUUAUGUACCGUAAUUUUACGGUUUGGCCGGUUUACUGCGAAGACAUGAUAUAUAUAUAGUAAAAUAACUGCAACAUCGUGAAUAAGAAAAAACCUAGACUAUACAAUAAACAAAUUACGACAUAUUACAUCCACUGGGCAUCAAAGUUUGCCACUAUGAUAAUAAAGCACAAGCAGACAGCAGAUUACAUACACUGGGCAUCAAAGAUCGCCACCAGUGCAAAUAAACACGCCGACAAAAUAAUAUACAAAACCGACAUCACUUCAAUAGAGUUCAAGAAAGGUUAGCCCUGCUGGGGAGCUGCAGCGCAAGCAGCUGAGCAAGCUGAUGAGACUGCGCUUGUUUAACACUUAUAUCCUCCUCACUCUGAAAGAUAAACAAGCAGAUAGAUGACAGGUUUUGCACAUAAAAGUAUCAGUGCUGACAAUUCAUCACAUUUCUUACUGACGAAUAAAGUGACACAGCUUAAAAUUGCAUUAACACAAUAUGGUAUUGUUCAGGUCAGGACAUGGCAGGAAAUGACAUUGUGAAGGAGUUGGCAGCUUCACGACACCACUGGAUUACAGAUCAAGAACUCAUAAGUAUCAAUGGAUAGUGUGCUGUCAAUUUAUCCCAUUUCAGAUUGGCAAAUAAAGAGAUGGUUUAAAUAAUAGUAGAAUGAUAUGACAUUGUUCAUAGUUAAGACAUUGCAGAAUAUGACAUUGUGCUGUAGUGGGUAGGUUCACCACACCACUGGAUUACGGAUCAAGAACAGAAGCAUACAUGUAGUGCAAAAGAAGACCACUUGCUCUGUAUAGUUUAAUUUACAUGGUAUGAAGAAGAAACUUGGUUGUACAACUGAAAACUUAAAUUGAGAAGGACAAACUUUUGUUUAUGAACUACAUAAUAAACUUUAAACAUGCAAUUUGAUGCAAACACAAAAAAUAAAUAGUUGUUGCAGUCAUGCCUAACCAAAUAUACACAGGAAAGUUUGAAGGCUUGAGAAGGACAAACUUACAUUAUUGGUGAAGACAGGCUCUAUAAAGCCCUUGUCCAUGCUGAUGGGGGGGGGGCAAUUCAAGAAGUUUACCACAAAAUCUUCUUCAUAAGCAUUGCCUUUAUUCUACAUUUUGUUAAGAGUAAAUAUAGAUGUGAUAAUAUAAGAAAAAAUGGAGAAUAUUUAAGAUAAGAUGAAGAGUGAUGCUACAUAACCAAGUAGCUAUAAAUGGAAGUACAGCGAUACAGGCAAAAGGUACAACCAAGAGCAAUGCACAACUAAACUUCUUCAGUACCAUCGGUGUUAUCCAACCUUAUGGUAAGAGUAAAUAUAGAUCUGAUGUGUAGAAAAUGGAGGGCAAAGGAAAAUAAGCUGCAGAGUGAUGGUACAUGAACAACUACCUGCCAAUAUAAGUACACUGAUAAAGGACAUCAAGUACUUACAAGAACAAUGCAAAGCUAAAAAAUUUCAUUGGCAUUGGAUAUAUUCUACACUAAUGUAACCAUUUAUACAUAUCAGAUAAUUUGGAGUGAACAAUUGAUAAGCAAGCUAUCAUGCAUACUGCUGUCACAUAAUGAACCAGGUAUGUAUGCAAGUACAGUGAUACAGGACAACAGGUACUAACAAGAGCAAAGCAGCGGGCAACAUAUUUGCGAUAUCCUGUCGUUCUUUUCAAACCGGAAUUCUUCUUCGAGUAGAUUUCCUGCAAAAAAGAUCCGUAUGGCACAUGCGGAAAAGUAGAAGUUCAAAUUGUCAUGUGAUUUCAUAGACAGUACCUCAUCAUGGGAACGAGGCCAGUGCAUAACAAGGUUUUUCCAUUCAAUGUCUUCUAAAUUUAGCACAGGAGACUUCACCGGAAAUUCGUUUAUAGACUUGCCAUCAAAGUGUGAUUUCCUCAAGUAACACCGAUACUGCUGCAAUGCUUCCUUGAAAAGCACAAGCAAGCUUUGUUCGUCAUGAUUACCCAGAUUGACCCUCGCCCACUUACAACAAUGUAAUGUAAAUCAUUGAUGUGUUCAAUAAGCAGAAAACAGGAAAUAAUAACCAUGAAUAAUAGCAGUUACACGUAAGUUGGACAGGAAGAUGUGAAAAUGGUGUUUGUCUUCACUAUAAUCUUCCCAUGAUGGGAAUAUAUGCGCGUAGUCCCUAACAACAUUGAAAGCAUUGUCUUUUAAACUGGGAAUAACUAGAAUGGGGUUCCAAUCUGCAGGAAUUGGCCGUCUCUGCAGUUGGGAUAGGUCUUCGGCCGGUGGACUUGCUGUACUUUUUGCUGGAGUGGGAUUUUUCUGUGGUACGGCUAGUGCUAUGGCAACUGAAAUCGGUAUACCUUUUGCUGGAGUGCAGGUCCUGUGUGGUGGGGCUAGUGGUGUGGCCAGUGAAGUAUGGGUACAGUCGGCUGGAGUCGGUCCUACGUUUUGUGUCACUGGUUGUACAACCAAUAUAAGUGGGGUGCUGUCUGAUUUCCCGGCACCACCACGUUUUUCAAGGACUUUGCUGGUGCUCCUUCAGGUUCGGCAAUCACCCUCUUCCUUUUUGAUGUCCGAUGCACAAGAACAGCAUUUGAGUGGAAAAACAUGGUAUGAUGACAGAUGGAAUAUGUAUUGAUAAUGGAUGGGCAUGGCAUCUUGACAUAUAUGAUGAGUAAACUAAGCAGAUGGCGGUGCAACAAAGUAGAAGAAAUGCAAGACAACAUAUGCAAGAUACGCGCAAUCAAUAAAACCUUGCCAAAUUAGAACAGGCACCUUGAUGGGUGAACAGGACAGGCCAUCUGCCUUUGACUCCUCGAGGUUAGAAUAGUCAUUAGGAUCAUAUUCUGAACAAGAAUCAAUAGGUGGGGAGCGUAUGAGUUUCAUUGCAUCCAGAAUGACACUCAAUGCCUUGGUGCCAAUUUUGUAAGUCAUUGCAGUGUUUAGCUUCAAGAGUGGACUGCUGCUAGUGCGACACAAAGUAGCUACAUAGAUCAUAGUGUAGAUAUAACGGGAAAACCGUAAGCAUCAGAAUAAAAUCAGCAAAGUGGAACAAGCGUUUCAAUCUUCCAUGGCAUCUCUCCCCUCCCCCAUCCUCUCCACCUGCACCUUCCACCAAAUCCUACCAAUCUUCCAUGGCGUCUAUUGAUCUAAGCCUCCAUGGAUGGGCUUCUACAUUGGUAUUUCUCCCCCGGCCUUGCGGUCGAGGCGCAGGUGCGUCGUCGUUUUGGCUCUACUGUUCACUUCUCCAAUUCUGGUGCGUCCAAGGAAUUUUUCUUGGUGGCCAGCUUCUCUUCAGCCUCUUUCCCUCUCAAUGAAGAAUCAGUGGCUAUUGCUUUGCAAUGUUGUAUUGGGGGUCUACCCUCGGGAUUUCAUGUUUGUCAUUUGGAGGGCAGAAAGUAUCGUUUCUCAGUUGAUUCCAAUCGGGUUGGUCAUUUCAUCUAUGGUCUCAAGGAUAGAGUGUGGCCGGACUUUGUUUGUCACUUUAGUCUCUUCCGACAGGCCAUUCAUGUGCCCAUUGAGAACCCUGCGUCGUGGCAUUUGGAUCAAACCAACCAGGAAGUGUUGGCUAGAUCGCCUAUGGCUAUCAAAUCGCGUUACCUAUCAACUUCCCAAGUUGAUGCUGUUAUGGACUCAUCUCUGGUGACUCUCUCUAAAGUGGGUUUUUCUCCGGUGGGUAUUCGGUCUUGUGUCCCGUCGGAGACGGCCAACCGACAAUCGCCGGCGAUCAGACAUGAUCUGGAGGUUUUGGAUCAAUUACCGUCUCAUAAUGACCACUUAUUACAAAAUUCACUGGUUUUUGGAACCUUCCAAAUCAACAUUAAUGAGCGGCCAUCUGAGGAAGAUUCUGUAUCUAUCAGGCGCUUCGAGGGAGAACAAUUCAAAUCUUAUACGUGGAAUCAGAUCCCACCUUUUACGCUACGACACAUUCUAGAUCAUCAUCGUGCGGGUAUCUCAGAGGAAUAUAUUGCUUCAUUAUGGAAAAUCCCUUCUGUUCCGCCCCCUGAUUACAUUUAUGAGAAAUUGAAUAUUUGCCAUAAGUGCAACGGUAUGAUCAUGUGGCCACUAAUUGCCCGAAUCGUAAUUGCCUAGUUUGUUCUUUCAAUCCUUGUACGUGCUCCAACUCGGGCCAUGCAUGCAGGCAACAACUUACGGAGCGGGCCUGUAAUAUUUGUGACUCUAAAGCCCACCAAUCGCUUGUUUGCUCGGCCCAAUUCGUUUGCAGCCUAUGUGGUUUUUUGGGCCAUCAUAACAAGGCCUGUAAAGUGGCAGGGAUUAUUCGAAUGAUAUGGAAACAAAAAGAUUGCACAUGCGCGGUUUCCUUUUCUCCAAAUGACCCCCCCGUAAUAUUAUCAUUCCGGAGAAGCCAACACAUGGAAACAAUAUUUCAAGCGAUAAGGAUCCAGUCUUUUCAAGGGCACAGUACCAGGAAGUAAAUGAUCUUCCCCUUAAUUUGGGGCAGGUUGCUCGACGUGUGUUAACCGUGCGAUGUAAAUCUUGCGGCCGUAAGGGCCACAGGGAGACGGCAUGCGUCAGGUGGGUGCACCGUAAUCGAGGAGUUUGGAGACCAAAGACUAGACCCGAGCCUGCCGAUACGCAUUCUUCCCUCUCGCUGUCUGUGCCAUUCUCUGCUCCAUCCUCUGCCCCUACUGCAUCCUCCGAGGCCAUGGCCAACUAUCCUCUCAAUGUCGUCCCCUACCUUCCGUCGGGGAUGACGAUCGAGCUCGGACCAGCAGAUUGGAAGGUUCGGGAUGACAUGGUGGUCAGCGCCAUCCCUCCGCCACGCCAUGACUUUCUGGCCAUUGCGGAGGCCAACCGAUUCAUCCCGCACCAUCAGAAGGCAGACAUUCGCAACAUCAUCGAAGGUUUGCUCCACGAGUCCCACUAUUUCCCUACUGAAGUGUCAGAUCAUCCUCUCGGUGUGGGUAUUUUUGGAUUUACCAACUCAGUAGUCAGAGAUACUGUGGUAGGUACAACCUUUGAACUAGAUGAGAAUGAAGUUGAGGAACAUACGGUGAUUUCUUUUGUCCCACAUGAUGCUGCACUGAACAUGCGUCUCACUACCUUUGGGCCUGAAGUUUGGCUUCUGUAUGUUGGAUUUCCGUAUGAUUAUCAGACGCAACACUACAUGCACAAGUCAGUUGACAAGUUUGGUGCCUUAGUUGAUUGGAAUAACCCGAGAGGGGAUAGAAGGUUUGUGCUCAUUAAGGCUAGAAUCAUCCACAUGCGCCUGGUCCCUAAAAGUCUAGUUGUUCAUCAGCUUGGCGGUGCUCAUGAGAGUUGGACUGUAGCUGUUACUAUGCUACGCAGCAGUGACUGGAAUGCUCACUUGCCAGAGGUGCUGCCGGCCGGAGAAGAUCCACCUCCAGAGGAUGGAAUCCCACACCCUCUGCAUGGUGAUGGUCUUAAUGCUGAACAGAUGUACCAGCAGCAGUUACACAAUUGGUUGGCCCAAAACGCUGUCGCCAACAAUGCUCAGAAUCAGGAUGAUGAUAAUGUUGUUGUGGAUCAGGAUAAUGAUAUCGAUAUUCAUCCUGAAUGGGGUGUCUGGCCUCCUCCUCCCCCUCAAGAGCCUCCAAUGCUCUACAAUUUCCAGGAAUGGCUUGCUGGUGAAGGUUUGCAGGUGAAUCAUGGGAUCGUGCCUCCUAAUAACACUCAUGAUAGCCCUGCUGCUGCUUGGAAUGACUCCAUUUCUAUGAGUACUACUUCUGAUUCGAGUGCCAAUGUGUCAGACUCCUAUGUUUUGGUGCCCCUCAAUCUCAUGAAUCAAUUCUGGCCGCAGGAGGCUACUAGCUCAGCUCCACCUGAACCUGCAUCUUCCGAACUGCUGCCAAGUGACACUGUUCUGCCUAAUAACAGUCUAGACAUUUCCCUCACUGUUUCUGAUGCUGGUCUGCAUGUGGACAUGAUCACCCAUGGCAACUUUACUCCUGCUAUGCUGUUAAGAGAUUGCAUUCCAAUGACUAGGCUUAACUCUUACCUUGCUACAGCUGUUAGACCUAUAAUUGCAUCCUUUGGCCCCUGGAAUGGUCACUAUGGUUUCAGACAAAGUUCUGUGACUUUUAAUGUUUCUGUUGCAGAAAAUGCAGGCACUCUGAGUAUUACCUCUACUUCUACAGUCCCCACACAGUUUGGCACAUCUUCUGUGAAUAUUGAAGCAAUUGCUGAGGCCUCUAAUUGGGAGUUAAAUGAGUCUCUGGAGAUGUAUAUCAGUGAUGGGACUGUUGGAUAGCUGAACAAUCCACAUGAUAUCUCUGACGUCCUUGUCACCACGGUUCAGGAUCAGCAGGAGGUUUCUGUUGUCAGUGAUGAAACUUGUUGGGGAUAUUACCACCGGGCGUAAACCGUCCAGGAGAGGCCGGGUUAACCCCAUAAGUAGUUCAUCUGUAUCUGAAGUCCAUGAAGACAGACGGUGACGCUUCAUGAAGGCCCAGGGCCCAAAUUCGGUUUAAGGCCUGUCGACAUAAACCGGCAUCGAUAUGUAAACUUGUGUUGUAAGAUAGAAGUAGCAGAGACCGAGCCGUACACGAUUAUGAGCCGGCCUCGGGAUUCUGUAAACCGGCGGGCGUCAACCCAUGUAUAUAAGGGGACGACCCGGCGGCGGUUCAGGGACGAGAGACAACAACUCAAGACUCAGGCAAAGCGUAUUCGCUCCUUGGUCAUCGAAAUCCCAAUCAAUUCCAUUACAACUAGACGUUGGCUUUUACCUUCAUCGUAAGGGGCUGAACUAGUAUAAAACUCUCUUGCGUCCCUUGUCUCCUUUAACCCCUUUAAGCUAACCCGUAGCGAUGGCUCCAUGACUAAGUCCUUUCUCUAGGACAUCUGCCAUGAAAAAACCACGACAGUUGGCGCCCACUGUGGGGCUAUCGCACGAUGGUUUCAAGUUCUUGGAGGGCAACUUCGAAGGACUCAAGGGUUACGCUGUGGGCCGGAUGACCAAGAGUCGUCGCGGCAAGCUCUACAUCGACGAUGCAGGCUGGGGCCCCGAGGCCGGCUCAAUCGAGUACGGGUACCGGGUCCCCUUUGGUGGCAUACACGUUUUCAUUGGCAAGAUCGGCGAACCGGGCCCUGAGCCGGACAUCUGCACCGACCUCGUCGAAACGACUCAGCGUGCGAGAUCUGCCCGGGUCAAGCCUGUCAUGAAGCGUGCCUUCGUGGGAGUUAUCCAUGGAGGGAAAUCUGAGGAUAGAUCGGAAUCUGGUGGUGAGACCGUCGUUUAUUCCGGCGAUGAGUCAUCGACCGGAGAAACCCAGUCAUUAUAUCAGUUACAAGAUGGCCGGAUUGGGGGCUGUUCCGAUGGCGACAGUAUUCCGGACCCCUUUGAUCUGCCAAACCGGGUCGCGAUCUUCAUGGCCGACACGCAACCGGCGCUCCACUCUUCGACCGCAGCGGCGAUGAUUUCCGGAUCGGCAGCAGUGGCAGCGGCCGGGGCAGGAGGCCCUGUGCGACCGCCAGCUCAGGUUCUAUCUGAUUUGUUUGACGCGUUGGCAACGCUGAUGGCGGAGGUUAACCCGGCGGAUCAGGAUGCACACAAUGCGGAAAUCACGAAAGUGAAAGAUCAGAUCACCCAGGCCAAAGCCGACUUAGCAGCUGAGGAUACCAGGAUAGCCGCGAAGCGGGCCGCUUUGGAUGCACAAGCUUACCGGAUUAUGCUGGAUCAGAGUGCAUCGAACGAAGUCCUGAAGAGGAGGCACCGAUCUCGCCUGCCGCCGGUUUAUGACGCUAGAAAUCUCUUUAACACCCCAGGAGCAGGGACCAGUAAUCCACCGGUGGUAAACCAGGCAGAGGCACCUGGAGCAGGGGCGCCGGUUCAACCAUGUUUGGCGGAUCCACCUCGUCAGAACAACAUUGUAACACAACAUGUCCCCACGCCGCCGGGUCAUUACACUAACCCGAUGGACGACAUUGUCGCUGCCGCUUCACGGCUGGCGGCCAUCCCGAUCGAAGGCGAUUCUCCAGCGGCGGUCGAGACACGUCUGGUUAAGGAGCUUCUUUAGACAGCCUUGGUUCAACAGGAGGCUUAUUCAUAUAGUCGCGAUCGGAUUCAUUCCACUCCCCAUCCAAGCCGAAGUUACAGCAGGCGUAUGGAUGAACCGGCAGUGUCAAGCAAUGCGCGGAACCGUGAUCCGCCCCAUGGCAAUAACCCGGCGGGUGGUGCUGGUGAUGCUCAGGAGGUGGUGGACCGGGCUCGGGCACGCAGAGAGGCCGAGUUAGCGGCGCAGCAUGAAGCCCGUCAGCUUACUCCGGUUCGUCCAACCACAUCGGUGGAACCAGGAGUUACCUCUAGUUCUUUGGGAGUGCCAUGCCUUGUCCCAGCGUUGCGCAAUGUGCGCCUGCCCAAGGAUUUUAAGGCCCCGCGCAAGGUGCCGAAGUACACCGCCGAUUUAUCCCCUGAAACAUGGGUUGAAAGCUAUGAGAUGGCCAUGGAGAUGUUGGAUGUGGAUAAUGCGGCAUGUGCGAAAUACUUCACCAUGAUGCUAGAAGGGACAGCCCGCACUUGGUUAAAGAGCUUACCGGCUAAUUCUAUCAGGUCAUGGGCCGAGUUGAGAGCCCAGUUUAUUCAGAAUUUCAAGGAUACAUGCAAGCAGCCCAUGUCAAUUGUGGACUUAGCUGCCUGUGUCCAGGAGGAAGGAGAGUCAACAACCCAUUGGGUGCGCCGGGUUUCGGAGAUUUUGCAUUCAUUAGAUCGCAUCAACGCUGACACCGCAGUUUUAACAUUGGAAGGCAAUUGCCGGUUUGAACCCCUGAAGUUGAAGUUGGGACGGCUCAAACGUCAUUGUAAUGACAUGGGAACCCUCAUGGCUGCACUGGUGAAGUAUGCUGACUCUGAUAGUACCAAGGAUCCCGAGUCUGACGAUGAUAAGACAGGGAAGGGAAAGAAGUGCGGCAACGCCAAGGGGCAGCACCACAACCCGGCGGGUCAUGGAAACGGCGGCAAGCGUAAGGCGAACCACGGUUUAGACUUUGUGGCUAACACUAAUACACAUGACAAGGGCCAGCGGCGUAAGGGUAAACCGCCCCAGCGCGGUGGAAGGCCAAGUCCUAAUCCGGACCGUUUGUCUUAUCUGUUGAACCAGCCCUGUCCAAAGCAUGGGACGAAGGAGGACCCAUCCACGCACCUUUGGAAAGAUUGUUACAUCAUGCAAGAGUUCAAAAAUUCUGAUUCUUUCCGGUAUGAUCAUGGACCAGGAGGCGGUUCGGGCCCCGGGUCUCAUGGGCCGAGUUAUGGUGGAGGAAAUUCCGGUUCAGGCUUCCACGGUAAUCAGGGUGGACAUCACAAUCAAAGUAAUCAGGGUAAUCAAGGUGGCUAUAAUCAUCAGGGCAAUCAGCAGCAGCAGCAGUCGGGUUACUAGAGCAACCCGAAGUAGUUGAAUAGCGGACAGUAUCAUGUCUUCACCACUAGCUUGGACAAGUGCGAUCAGAAGCUUCAUAAAAGGGUGGUGAAUGCCGUUGAACCGGCGGUGCCCCGUUAUUUGCGUUGGUCCGAGCAGCCGAUUGUGUGGAGUAGAGAAGAUCAUCCACCCCGGGUUGACAAUCCGGGUCAUCUGGCUCUGGUGGUGGCACCUCAGGUGGGAGGUUAUAAGUUCACUAAGGUACUCAUGGAUGGAGGGAGUAGUAUCAAUAUCCUUUAUUAUGAAACUUUCCGUCGCAUGGGGUUAACAGAUAAAAAUCUUAAACCGUCCAAUACGGUGUUCCAUGGUGUAGUGCUUGGUAAGUCGGCAUAUCCUGUUGGUAAGAUAGCUCUGGAGGUGGCUUUUGGAGAUGAGCAUGACUUGAGAUCAGAAACCUUGACCUUUGAGGUGGUGAAAAUUAGCAGCCCGUAUCAUGCCCUAUUUGGAUGGCUAGCUUAAGCUAAGUUUAUGGCACGACCUUGUUAUGUCUAUCUGUAGCUCAAGAUGCCGGGUCACAAGGGAACUAUAACCGUGCAUGGGAGCCGCAAGAUUUCUCUGGAGUGUGAAGAAGGUGAUGCGGCUUAUGCUGAGUCGGUUUGUGCAACAGAAGAGUUGAAGUU
rnacentral:lncRNA from 1 species